rnacentral:lncRNA from 1 species
UGAUGCGUACUUUCAAAACAGUCAGGUCUUAGUAAAAGACUACUUUCAAAACAUUCGGGUCUUGGUAGAAGACUACUUUUAUACUAGUAGGAAAUAUGGGAUUUUCUAGAGUUUUCAUACUUAUACUAAAUGUUUCAUCAAUCAUUCGCCAGAAUUUCAUAUCAAAAAAUGAAAGCAAUGACAUUAAAUAUUUAUGAACUCACAAGCUUAAAUGUUGACCUACACUUUCAAAAUAACUUGUAUUCUCAGGUUACAAAUAGAAAGGUGUCGAUGCAAGGUUUAGAGAAGACGGAGCAUUCAAGACUCGUCUUUUAUUUUUAUCAGUUAUCAUGUUGUCUUGUACUAUGAAAGAAUACACUUGUAACUAAAAUUAUACUAUUAAUGCAAUGGACGAUGUUGUUGCUUGUUUACUACUUUACAUUUGUUGUGAUGCAUACAUGACGUCCUCCGCCCCAGAACGUUUCCGCCGUUCUCGGUUUUGGGGUGUGACAUGAUGAGUCCGCGGUUAUACCCUUGGAUGACAUUCAGGUGGAUAGGGGAUUGAAUUAUGUCGAAAGCCCAAUUUCCAUACUAGACAGGAUGACGAAGACGCUUCAGAAUAAGGAGGUAAAGAUGGUAAAGGUGCAAUGGCAACAUCGAAGGGGCUCCGAGUGGACUUGGGAGCCCGAGGAGGAGAUGCGGGAACAUUACCCUGAUCUGUUUGUGUCCACCGACUUCGAGGGCGAAGUCUAGUUCAAGUGGGGGAGAGUUGUAACAUCCAAAAUAAAAAGGUAUGUCAUGAACCCCCUUUAAAAUUUGAAUUGUUGCAUUUUUGGUCCCUUAGUACGCUGGGCGUACCUAGGAGUACGUUUAGCGUACUAGGGCCUUUUAUGGACGCGGGUGUUGGGAGGUAUGCUGGGCGUACCAGGGUGUACGCGGGGCGUACACGUCAGGGGCCAGAAAACCGUAAUGACGGACUUGAGGCCUAUAUAAACGACUUUAAGCCCUUGGGGCUAAACCUCGGAGAGCCUCCACUACCCUUAAACGUCAUUCUACUGUUGGGAGCUUUAAGGAAUCAUUUUGUGAGCUCUUAAGGUGUGUUUUUGUGCUCUCUAGUGUUCAUUUCAAAGAGAAGGGUUGGUCUAGCAAGCUUGGAACAGGAGGGAGCUUCAAGAUCCUGCAUCAUAAUCAUAUUUCAGAGCUUUUGGAGGUAAAAAGCUUGCACCUUUCCUUUUUGCUCUUUAGUUUUAGCUAGGGUUUUUGUAGUUGGUCCUCUUGAUGGAUUUUGGGCCUCAUUUGUUGGCUAGAACGUCCCCAUUCGUAAAUAAGGUCAGAUCUGGGGUCCUUAAACAAUUUGAGGGUAUAAAAAUAGGAUCUUGGUGGAAUUCAUAACCUUGUGCAUGAAUGAGAGGCUUGAGAAUGGUCUUAAUGAUGUCUUUGGGGGCUUAAUGGACAUGCAAAGGCAUAAAGUUAGCAACUUUAUGCCCUAAGAGGUAUUAAAGGACUCAGAUCUAGAUUUUGGUCGUAAAAGAAUGAAGUAAUAAGCACUUAAUAGAGAAAGUGCUUAACUGAGACUUACGUCGGGCGUACUCCAAGUACGCUGCGCGUAACCCCUGAAGACCCGGUACGCUAAGCGUACCUGGAGCGUACAUUGGGCGUACGUGGAACAGUUUGGGUCAAUCGUAUUUUGGGCUAUCAAACUUUUGGGCCUCUUAUGGGUUUUUGGCAUGUUUGGAUUCUUAGGGUAAAGCCUUUUAUCAAUUGGAUCAUGGACAUAUUAAGUAGGCACAUUAAGGACAUUGGACUUAGAUCUUGGGCCCAUUUGCAAUGCAAGGGUGUUUGGGCCUUUGGGGUUAGGGUUUAAAGGUUGGGCCUUCCCUUGGGAUAACUUAUGGACCAAUCAUUGAUGAUAUUAUUAUUAUUGUUAUUAUCCAGUUGGGAGGUUACGGGUCUUUGAGAGUGCAUUACUCGUAUUCUUUGGGCAAAGGUGAGUCUUCUCACCAUACCCAUGGGUCUAUGGCACCAAGGCCGGACCAUUAUGAGGUUAUGAUUUAUGUGAUUACUCUGUGUCUUGAUAUGUAUUAUGAUCUUAUGUUUUGCAUGAAGACCCUGGGGGGAGCCCGUGGCCUUGGGUGUAAGACCAUGUGGGGUAGCCCAUGGCAGUCCAAGUAAAGACCAUGUGGGGUAGCCCAUGGCAGUCCAAGUAAAGACCAUGUGGGCUAGCCCAUGGCCUUGGGUGUAAGAUCAUGUGGGCUAGCCCAUGGCAGUCCAAGUAAAGACCAUGUGAGGUAGCCCAUGACAUUUUGUUGGUUCUUUGUAUACAUGGCUUAUAUGACUUGUACUUGUGUCUACGUAUGUGUGGUAUGCUCUUGGGAACUCACUAAGCAUUUCACUUACAGGUUGUUGAUUUGUUUCAGGUACAUCGGAGCCGAAAGGCAAGGGCAAGGCUUGAUGGCGCGGCGUGCACUCUAUCUAUCUAUAUCUUUGUUCCUUGAUAUGUUGGGGACCUACUCUAAUAUUUUAUAUAUAAUGUAAAAGACGAUGUUUUAACUAAACGUGUGUNUAAAUGAAAAAAAAAUCAUUGUAAAAAUCGAGCUGUUACAUGAUUGUAGUGUUGCAACAAGUCUAAAACGUACCUAGGUACCAGAAAAAUUCUAAAACCAAACAUAAAGUUUAAAAUACUAUAGGGGUAUUUUAUGAUGUUAUAGCAACAAAACUAAAAACUUAUCAACUUCAUAAAUCAAUAAGUUCAAGAAUCAAUCAUAUAAUUAAAAUAAUGCAGGAGUAUUUUAGGUUCCAUAAAUAACUUUUGUGAAAUUUUAAAAGACCUUUUUUGGUAGGCCUAUAAUUACUAAGUGUAUACGUUAAGGUUAUAUAUAGUUGAGAUUUUAUGGAUUUAGAAUAGGUGAUUUUCACUCUACUUCAUGUUCCUUGUUUGGUUGUGGUUUAAGAGUAGGAUCACUUAUUCGAAGGACUAUUUGAUCUGAAUUAUAUAUAAUCUGUACACACUAUGUAAUUAUAGAAAGACCGGAAAGGAUCACCUUCGUAAAAAUUUAAUUUUUAUUAAUUUCCUAAAUUCUUUAGACAUUCUCAUUCUCGUAUAAAUCACUUAGAUAGAUGUAGUCACUCUAACCAUCAACAUAAGAGUCAACCAGGAUCUAGCAGAAUUUCAUUAGGAGGAUUCCGAGAAAGAAACGGAUGAGGAAUAAAGAAACUAUAGAAAUAAUUUAGUGCCUUUACCUUAAUAAGGGCGCCGAUGAGAGGUUCACAUGAACUUUUGGGAUUCGAACUUUCCAUUAUGAAGUAAUGAGGAUCAUCGUUAGAAUCGGAAGUAAGACAAAACAGGGAUUCAAUAUACCUAGGAGGAAAUGGACACCAUAUAGAUACCAGGAGAGAAUAAACCAUUACCGCCCAGAUUAGAAUAGAGAAGAGGGGGAAACGACAUGUAUUGCAUGCGAAGUGGUUUACUAAUUCAAAAUAAAAUUAGGGUUUUAUCGCGGAAAAAGGGUUUUUCAAAUGCAUAUGUAAUCACCAAAAUGUAACAAAAUCAAACAAAAAUCAAGAGACACAUUCAAAAUAAAAUUAGGGUUUUUAUCGCGGAAAAAGGGUUUUCCAAACAAAAAAAAAUGAGAUUAAAACACUAAAUUGUUUCUUACAUUAUGUAAAGUAGGUAGAUCGGAGAUUACCAUACUAUUUUGGCAGUUCCAAAAAUGCCUCCCUAGAUUUGUAAGGCGCCAAGAGAUUCAUUUAAUAGCUGGAACGUCAUAGUAACAGACCCUCACAUCGUCUCGAAAGGGAUGUGAGUAAGUGGAAGUUGAUUCCUAGUUGUCGACAAGCUGGAAGACAUUGUAAAGAGGGUUUAAAGAAAACUUACUAAUUUGAAGCUCACAUGAAAGGUAAUAAACAAGUAUGAACCAGUCCAAAUGAGGGUUUAGUUUAUUUAGGUUGUAGGACUGCUUCAACUUCCCUAACACAUCAUUCGUCCACAUAGAUGGUCAGCCUAAUCAUAUGUAACAUGCCACUCUUCCACGUAGGAAUGACAACCGGGCAACCUUUUAAAUUUGAGAGUAAUAGUUUAAUUGGAAAGUAAAAAAGAAGUUUAAUAGUUUAUUGAGCAAAAAAAAUAGCGACCAAAUCGGAUAAAUGACUAAAGUUUAAUGUGCUACAUUGGCAUUGUCCUAUAUUUUUAUGUUGUUUGUAAAACAAUUUAAAAAAUUGUAGGAAAGUUUAAAAAUUUAUAAAAUCAUUAUAAAAAAGAUGCAAAUAUCAACCAAAAAAGUCAUAAAAAUGUAAAAGCAUUGUAAAAAGGUUGAACAAAAAGUUAUAGUUUUUUUUGUAUAUAAUAUUAAAAAAAGUUAUAAAAGUAUAAGAAAAAAAAGCUAAUUUUAGGAAUGAAUUUAUAAUUUUCUUAAAGUUUGGAUCAAACUCAUAACAAAAUUUUAUCUUUUCAUUAAAAAUUAUAAAAUUAAGAAAUAAUUUCUAUAUCUAAUAUAACAGACAACAACGAAAAAGAAAAAAAAAAAGUUUCUAUUUAACAACUUGAAUACACAAAAUAUAACUGGUUUCUAAAAAACAGUAAUAAUUAUAUUAAAAUGAUCGAUUAAUUAUUUUAUAUAAACAUGUAUAUUAUAUGUAAAUGAUGACAUAUCAACAGCCAUUCGUUAACAACGUAUUAAAAUAUCUUGGUUUUAAAUAUAAAACUAAAGAAUAUGGUUUUAAAAAUAUGUCUAAAAAAUGCUGAAAUAUAAGUAUAUAAUAAAUUUUCAAUUUUCAAAAUGUUAACAGGACUUUCUUUUAUUAAAUUAUAUUUUUAUUUUAGUUUAAAUUUCAAUGGAGUGGUUGCUUGUUCACAUCAUUCCAUAUUUUAAUUGAAUUGCUUAAUUUCUUUGGGUCUUAUGCCCCCUUAGUUAUACGUAAAUUGAAUUUACCAUAAAUACAACAGUUUAUAUNNNNNNNNNNNNNNNNNNNNNNNNNNNNNNNNNNNNNNNNNNNNNNNNNNNNNNNNNNNNNNNNNNNNNNNNNNNNNNNNNNNNNNNNNNNNNNNNNNNNNNNNNNNNNNNNNNNNNNNNNNNNNNNNNNNNNNNNNNNNNNNNNNNNNNNNNNNNNNNNNNNNNNNNNNNNNNNNNNNNNNNNNNNNNNNNNNNNNNNNNNNNNNNNNNNNNNNNNNNNNNNNNNNNNNNNNNNNNNNNNNNNNNNNNNNNNNNNNNNNNNNNNNNNNNNNNNNNNNNNNNNNNNNNNNNNNNNNNNNNNNNNNNNNNNNNNNNNNNNNNNNNNNNNNNNNNNNNNNNNNNNNNNNNNNNNNNNNNNNNNNNNNNNNNNNNNNNNNNNNNNNNNNNNNNNNNNNNNNNNNNNNNNNNNNNNNNNNNNNNNNNNNNNNNNNNNNNNNNNNNNNNNNNNNNNNNNNNUUUUUUUUUUGAAAAAUUUCAUAUAAUUCUCUAUCAAUCUACUAUUUUGUAAGUUUUAAAUAGUCAAAGUAUCAUGUUUUAGCAUUUUUAAGAAAGCUUACUUGUAUGCACUCCAACUGUUUGAUGAAAUGCAUAAACUAAAUUACCACGUUAUAUUCACAUAUGAAUAUGUUUUCGCACCUUAAUCAGUAUAUGAUUAUUAAAACACAAAACAAAUAUACAAUUUUAUAUGUUAUUCAUAUGUGAAUAACAUAUAAAAAUUAUAUAUAUUUGUGAAUAUAUCUUAUAAUAUGCAUAUGUUAAUAUCCUCUGUAAUAUUCAUAUGUGAAUAAACUGUGUAAUAUUCAUAUAUGAAUAUUCAUCUAAUAUUCAUAUAUGAAUACAUCAUCUAAUAUUCAUAAGUGAAUAUAUCAUCUAAUAUUUACAAGUGAAAAUACUAUGUAAUAUUCACAAGUGAAUGCAUCGAUUAAUAUUUAAAUAUGAAUAUCCUGCAUCAUAUUCACAAGUGUAUAUAUUAUAUAUUAUUCAUAUGUGAAUAUAUUGUGUAAUAUUUAUGAAUGAAUAUAUACCAUGCUAUACUCUUCCUAAUACCUGNGAAUCUACCAUAUAAUAUUCAUAUGUGAAUAUACUAUGUAAUAUUCAUUUGUGAAUAUACCAUGUAAAAUCACAUGUAAAUAUACAAUAUAAACAACAUAUAUCAUAUAAUAUUCACAUAUGAUUAUACAUUCAUAUGUGAAUAUACCAUGUGAUAAUUAGAAUGUGAUAAAUCGCUAUUAUUAUGAACUAAACGUAUAUUUUUAACAUUUUUUAUGUGUAUUCACAUGUUUUUCAAGCAUCGUUAUAACUCAAUAAAAGAAUAACAUUUCAAUCAAUGGUUGGUUCAUAUCUCGGUGGUUGACGAUUGGUUGACGUAAUUGAGAAGAUAUCAUUGACGAAGACGAUAUAUUUUUAUAUUCAUGUGUAAAUGUUAUACAAUUUAAUAUAUUCUUCAUUUUGAUCGUAUUAAAUUCAAAUGCAAAUGAUAUCCAUUAACCAAUACAGUGUUGUUUGUCUUAGUAUAAUGUUGAUUUUACAUGUAAAAUAAUAUUGUUACAUUAUACAAAAAAAACUAUGCACAAACCAAUUCUUAUAGUGUAUUAUUUAUUUUUAUAUAUAAAGGUUGUAUUCACAAAAUAAAUAAAUCAACAUGUAUAGUUUAUUCACAUAAAUAAAAAUAACAGAUUACAAUAACAAUGUUUUUAGUAGUAGGAUUGAAGUUAGUAACAUCAUCAGUAAAUAUGUCAUAAUGAUUUCUAAACUUUAUUCAUAUAUGAAUAAUGAUGAUGUCAUUACCGCAAUGAAAUUUAGUCUCGGAAUUGGACGAAAUUCGCAUAUUUGAUGUAAAAUGGUGCGAUUUACAAAACUCACCGCUUCGCCGUGACGUACGGUGUUUUUUGGUCAUUCGGGACUGUUUAGGACCUCAAAAUGACGUUUUUCUAUUUUUAUAAUUUUCUGAAAAAAAAAGUUAUCAUUUAUUUACAAAUGAAUAUAACAUUAAUAAAAAUAUAUAUGCUUAUAUAAUUAUUUUAUUAACCUAAAAAGAUUAGUUGUAUGUGAAUAAAUAUAUAUUCUUAUCAAAUAUUUUUUUUAUCUUUAACUUUAUAUAUUUUAUAGUCCUCGGUUUUAUUGACAGUUUUAUUCAUUUGUGAAUAAUACAUAUAUAUUCACAUUUAAUUAUUACAUAUAUAUUCAUUUGUGAAUAUUACAUAUGUUUACAUGCGGAUAUAAUUCGUAUAUGUUAUUCACAUAUGAAUUACAAACUUGCUUAGAACCUUAAAAUGACGUAUUACUUGUAUUAUGAAUAUUACAUGUAUUCAUUUGUGAAUAUUACAUGUAUUCGCAUGUGAAUAUUUUUUUUAUAUUAUUCACAUAUCAAUUACAUACUUGCUCUGUGUUUUUAAAAGAUAUACAUUAAUUCUCGUAUAAAGGCAUAUUCACUUGUGAAUAUUACGUGAUAUAUUUAGUUUAUGCAUUUCAUCGAACAGUUGGCGUGCAAAUAAAUUAAUUUAUAUAACUAUGGUAAAAAAUUCACAAUUGAAGCUAAUAAUUACAAAACAAAUCAAAUCCUAUCAAAAUCGAUUAAUAAUCAAUAGGUUUAUAUCAAAAAUUGUGAAAAAAAAUGGAUGAAAAACGAAGUUUUUCAAACUUGAAAAAUGAUUUUUAAAAAAUCUUCAAAUAUAUGGUUACGUUGAUAAACUUUCGAUUUCUACCUGUUGUUUGAUAUUGGCGAAGGUUCCUUUGAUGAAAUUUCGAUGAUUGGUGAUCACUAAAUGAUGUGACAUCGAUAAAUGUGGAUUAUUUUAAUGAUUUCGCUUGAUGUAAACGAAACUGGACAAGAUUGAAUCACGAGUUACACAUAAUAGUACAAAUAAAUGUUUUUAAUGACGAAUCACAACAUUUUGAUGAAUAAACAAAGAUUUUUGAUGAAGAAUUGAUGUUUUUAUGAAGUGUCGAUGUCUUUUUUUUAUGAAGAACAUGUGAUUUUGAUAGCGAACAAGUAGUAGAACGUAUGAUGUUGAUGAAGAACAUAUGAUGAUGAAGAACACAGAGGAAUAAUCGAGAUGAGUGAAUAACAGAUGAUGUUGAUGAAGAACAGAUAAACGAUCCAGAAGAAAUGGUAUUUGUGAUUGAAGGUUAAUAUAUCAUAUUUACAAAUUUGUCACCGUGUAUUUUAAGUUAAUAUGCUAAUUAAAUGAGUGGCUGAGAAUGAUUCCCUCAUUCUCACCUGUUCAGAUUCACAUUAUGAACCUCUUCAGAUUUAUAUUGUGAACUUUCUCAGAUUCAUAUUGUGAGUCUUCUCAUAUUCACAGUGUGCAUAAUAGUAAGUCAGAUUCAUAAUGUGAAUAUGAACUGAUCGAACUUUUUCACAUUGUGAAUGUUAAAAAUUGAAAUAUUUACAAUUUAGAUUUACAGUGUGAAUUUACACCGAUCGAUGUUUUUUUUUAGUCGGUGUUGAUGUUUAUUAAUAAAGUACAAAAAAUUAAUAUUUUUGGUAUAAUAAGUUUUUUUUAUAUAAAAAUAAACUUAAAUAUUGAAAAAACUAACAAAGUGAAUUGGGUUUUUUUUUGAAAAAUAGUUCGUUUUAUAUAUAUCAAAAUGGAUCUCUAUGGAAAGAGAACGAAAAAUCGAGAACAACGGUAUAUUUGAUUUUUUUUUCGAUAAAAAUGUGACCUAAAAAAGAUUUUAAACAAAAAAAGAAGUGGGUUUUUGGUUAGGAGAUGGAUUUUUUGGUAAAAUCCGAUGUAUUUGCAUCCAAUGUACAAGUAUACAUCUAUUUUCUUGGUCAUUGAUCAUUUUGAUUUCCGACGCUCACGAUUAGUUCGUUGGUUCCUUGUUAAUUAUGGUUCUAUAUUGAACAUCACACACACACACACACUAUAUAUAUAUAUAUAUAUGUUCAAAUGUUUUUCAUAUCUAUUAUUUUCUAGAAUGCACCAAUAAGAAUUUACUAAAGAACUCUAACCUAUUCAGUUAUGUGUCCUAAGAUAAGUGACCAUAUAAUCCUCCGUUCCACAAGAUAUCAUGUGGACAAAUGACAUGGAACAAAAUCAAUCUCAUUGUCCAAAACUUUGUAUCCCAAUUUCUGAGUUGUAAUGACAUAUAAGUUCAAAUCGAACACAUCAAUCAAGUCUUGGUCGGGCCCGACACUACAAGUCAACACCAAAUCAUCGAAGGGGCCCAAUAUAUCACUUUUCCUAUUAGCACAAAAGGAACUGAUAAACUUUGAAUUAUAUGCUUGUGCUAUUUAGUCAUCAAAUGAUGCACAUCAAUACAUUUUAUAACAUCAAGUUACUGAUGCGUUUACAUAUCAUCAAUACACAAUUGAUUCGUAAACCACGACUCAUAUAUAUGUUUAAAGAUUAUAAGACAUUAUUGUCUCAAAAUUAUUCGUGAUAAAUUCCAUGAAGUAAUUCUCUGAGCAUGGGUUAAUCCAAUAGUUAAAUUCUCCAUUUCAAAGUAAUCAUGAAUACUGCAGCAACACUAUUGCCAUGUCUAAACUCUUUAGACAAUCUACAAUCUGAUUCAUGACGAUAUUAAUUCAUUACUUACUUCCAAAAGUAUGAUCCGACUGUGGAUGUUUAAAUAAUCAAAAGUCAAAUACAUAUACUUUGUUACACGUUUAUAAAUACCUAUCUAACUACUAAAACUAAUAUCAUCUUUUAGACCAAUGCUCCUUGGUGUUGAACGUGCUUAAUCCUACUCAGACCCUUUUUGAGGGGUUCUGCAAGAUUUUCUUCUGAUGAUAUCCUCUUCACAACGAUGUUUCCUUCUACUCUAUUUAUGAUAAAAUGGUAUUUUCUAUCGAUAUGUAUUGAUCUAUCAUGAUAUAUCGGUUCCUUUGUCAAGGAAAUGGCUCCUUCAUUAUCACAAAAAAUCUCCAUUGGCUCCUGGAUGUUGGCACAACUCCAAGAACUUCGAUGAAGUUCUUCACUAAAUAGUCUCCUUCGAUGCUUCGCUUGCUGCUAUGUACUCUGAUUCACAAGUAGAAUCAGCUACCGUCUCCUGUUUGGAACUUUUCCAAGUCACGGCUCCUCCAUUUAAGGUAAACACCCAGCCAUACUGAGAACAAAAGUUGUAUUUGUCUAUCUAAAAGUUGGCGUCACUAUACCAAGUUACUUUCAAGUUAUCACUACCACCAAGCACUAGGACCCAGUCCUUAGUUCUUCGCAGAUACUUGAGAAUAUUCUUGACUAAUAUCCAAUGAGCUCUACCCAGAUUUCCCUGAUAUCGACUAACCACGCUCAAAGCAAAAGCCACAUCAGGGCGAGUACAUGUCAUAGCAUACAUGAUUGAUCCAACAGUGGAAGCAUAUGGAACUAGACUCAUUUCUUCUAUCUUUGCAUCAGUAUUCGGACUCCGUAGUGUUACUCAGUUUGGUAUUACUCUAGAUAAGCAAUUCUCCUUUCUUGAAAUUCUCCAUGAUAAAACUUCUUACACCUUUUCCAAGUAUGUACUUUGACUAAGUCCAAUUAGACGCUUUCUCCUAUCUCUCAAAAUCCUCAUCCCUAGAAUAUAAGUAGCCUCUCCCAGAUCCUUCAUAUCGAAACACUUUCCAAGCCAAGACUUAACCUCUUUCAAAGUUGGAAUGUCGUUUCCAAUAAGAUUAUGUCAUCGACAUACAAUACCAAGAAGGUUACUAUACUCCCACUAUCUUUGACAUGUACACGAUUCAUCUUCAUUUUUAUAGAAGCCAAACUCUUUGACCUUCUCAUCAAAGCAAAGACUCCAUCUGCGAGAAGCUUGCUUCAAUCCAUAGAUUGAUUUUUCAAGAUUACACAUUCUAUUGGGAUAAUUUGCAUCCACAAAACCCUCUGUAUGACUCAUGUAAACAUCCUCAGCCAAAUUCCCAUUAAGGAAGGCAGUUUUGACAUCCAUCUGCCAAAUUUCAUCGUUAUGAAACGGAGCGAUGGCUAGCAUUACCCUAAUAGAUUUAAUCUUAGCUACUGGCGAGAAGGUCUCAUCAUAGUCAACCACUGGGGUUUGAGUAAAUCCUUUCUCAACCAAUCAAGCUUUAAAAGUGUGUAACUUUCUAUCUAUGUUGGUCUUCUUCUUGAAGAUUCAUUUUCACCCAACUGUCUUACGACCCGGUACAUUGUCAACCAAAUUCCAAACUUGAUUGUCAUAUAUAGACUUAAUCUCGUUGUCCAUUUUCUCUUUCAACUUGGCAGACUUAGGGCCUGCCAUUUCUCUAUUGUAGUUAAAAGGCUCAUCCAAAUUUACCAGUGUACUAUCAGUUAUAAACAUAUCACCAUAUGUGGUAAUAUAGAAACCAUAAAACUCAGGUGGAAUUCUAACUCUACUGGAACGCCUAAGAGGUAAUGACUCGUCAAUUGGUUUAACUAGAACUUCUUCUUCAGGUAGAGCCCUAGCAUUUUCAUAAAUUCCUUCGUCAUUUGACUCUUGAAUUUUUCAAGAUCAAUUAUAUUCCCACUGUCCUAUUUGCAUAUGAGCUCUCUCGCGUGAAAGACUCCCCUUCGUGCUAUGAAGAUCACGUUGUUACUGGGUCUAUUGAAUAAGUAUCCAAAGGACUUAUGUAGGUAACCGAUGAAAAUACAUCUCUCACUUCGAUCUUCAAGCUUAUUGUGAGUCUCUCGUCUAACGAAAGCUUCACAACCCCGAACCUUAAUAUGUCCUAACGAGGGAACCUUCCCUGUCCACAUCUCAAGAGGUGUUUUUGCAACCUUAUUAGUUGGGACAAGAUUAAGAGCAUGGGCGGCAGUCUCUAAGGCAUACCCCCAGAAUGAGAUUGGAAGUGAAGCUCAACUCAUCAUGGAACGAACCAUUUCUAACAAGGUUAGAUUACGCCUCUUAGCCACACCAUUAAGUUGCGAUGUCCUAGGAGGUGUCGGUUGUGAAACUAUUCCACAUUCCUUGAGGUAGUCGUGGAACUCGAUACUAAGAUACUCACCGCCUCUAUCGGAUCUAAGCAUCUUUAUCUUCCUGUCCAGUUGAUUUUCGACUUCUUGUUUAAACUCUUUGAACUUUUCAAAAGUUUAUGACUUAUGCUUGAUUAAGUAGAUAUACCCAUAUCUGCUAUAAUCAUCAGUAAAGGUCACAUAGAAUCAAAUUUCAUCUCUUGUGGUGGAUCUGAAGGGCCCAUAUAGAUCUGUGUGUAUGAGAUCCAACAAUUCUUCACCUCUUUCAUAAGAACUAGUGAAAGGUGAUUUUGUCAUCUUUCCUAAUAAACAAGACUCGCACGUAUCAUCUGACCUUAAGCCAAAUGAUUCCAUCACUCCAUCCAUUUGGAGUUGGUCGAUGUGUUUCUUGUUAACAUAUCAAAUACGAUAAUGCAACAAGCAUGAUUCAUCUGUACCAUUAGACGAAUCAAUUUGAAAAACACUAUUACCUAAAUUGUCUACAAUCAUCAAAGUUUCAUAUACACCAUCACAAGGUAAAGCUUCAAAAUAAAAAAUACCAUUUUAUAAGCAUAAAUAGAUCCAUUCUCAUCAUUAGAAGAAUAUCUAAAACCUUGUUUAAAUAAAGCAUGAAAUGAAAUGAUGUUUCAUGUCAUCUCUAACGAGUAGCAACAAUUUAUCAAAUCCAAAUUUAACUUACUACUAAGCACUAAGCUAUAAACUCCAAUCUUGGUAACAGGUGAAGACCGUCUAUUCCCCAUGAUCAAGUUCAGUCUUCCAUGCUCCACAUCCUCACUUCUUUUUAGCCCCUGCAAAUAAGAACAAAUGUGAAAACUACAUCUUGUAUCAAGGACCCAAGAAUGAGAAUAUGAUGAGUUAUUAGAUAGGAUAGUGUAAAUACCUACCGGGGUUGGCUUCAGCUUAACAUCCUUAAUAUCUUGCAAGUACUUCGGGAAGCUUCAUUUUCAAUGCCCUUUGUCUUGGCAGUAAAAGCAAGUAGCCUCUUUGGGAUCGAAGGCAGGGAGUGUCAGAACUAGCCUUUCCUUUGGGUCCAUUGCUUGAUGACCCGACUUGGGACUUUCCUUUCCAAUUCUGUUUUGGAGGAACUUUCCUCUUUUUCCCUUUUCCUUGCCCAAUGGUCAAAACUGGAGCAACAUCAGGAGUGGGGGAAAUACCUUUUCCCUUCAUCCCUGCUUCAGCAAUUCGCAGGAGGUUCUGGAGUUAAGCCAAUGUAGUCUCUUGGUUCUACAGAUGAUAAGUCAAGAUAAACUGAUCAUAAUAACUGGGAAAUAAGUGCGAGACUAUAUUAAUAUCCAAUUCCUCAUCAAAGUUCACAUUGAGCUUUAGCAAGCUUUCCACGUAUCGUUGCAUUCUCUGCACGUGGAUACUAACAAACUCACCAUCUUUAAUCUUGCUAGCGAUAAGGGACUUGACUACCUUAUAAUUUUCUUGAUGAGCUCGUUGAUGGUACUUUUCCAUCAACUCCUUUUUCAUCUCAUAUGGCCAGUAAUCAUCGUAGAACCUUUGUAACUUGAGAGUCAUAGUCACCACUAUGACGCAAGCAACUUUUGUUGCAUCAUUAUAGUGUUUCCUAUACUUAGCUAGUUCUGCAGCAGUCACUUUAGUUUCAUCAAUCUCGAGAAGUUCUUUGUCGAGCUCAUACUCCUUGUACUCGAUACGGAGAGCCAUUUUGAUGUUAUGCAUCCAAUCGUUAUAACUGGUGUCAUCAAAAGUUACUCUCGAGCAGGUGUUCAACAAUGAGAAGUUGUUGUUGGGGGAGUUGUUGUUAGAGGAGGAAUCGGAAGCAUCAUUUAGAGUAGACAUCUAUAAAAGAAAGAAAGUUUUGGUUAGAUAAGAAUAAUCCUCAAUAUAACAGCCAAAUAAAAUAUUAUGGAUAGGAUCCAACUAAAUAAUACACAACUUAGAAAAUGGAUGUCGUAAUCUAAUUGUAAAUUAUAUAAAGGUGGGUAAAUGAAGAUUUACCAAGUUCACCAUGAAAAAUGAAAUUUGAACGGAUUAGGUUUUUAAUGAAAUUCCUAGAUCUUUUGAGAUUCAUUAAACUAUUCAAUGGCAUGUUUAAUCUCGAUUAUGCUCUUCCAUUUGUGACUGGGAUACUGAGGAUCACAAAUAAGAUGUGAAUAACCAUGCAAAUUAGCUUGGUACUCUUGAUGUCAUUUAUCAUCUCAUUUUAAUGUGUCGGUUAGCCACACGCGCUCCAUUAAUCAACGAUAAUUUAUGAGAUACCCAUUGCCACUCUUUAUUAGUCCCUAUUAGUGUGUCAGUUAACCACACACACUCCAUUAAUGACUUAUAAAGUGUAAUGUGCAAUUUCAUGAGUUAGCAUACAAAUUCACAUUUUUCCUAAAGUGACUAAGAUUAAGAAUUUUUAUAAAAAAAAUUUAGUUACUUUAUAAUUCAUUAUACUUAUUAGUGAGUAUUAUUUGUCCUAUUAAACUCAUUCGGCUAACAACCCUCCACCAAUCAAGGAAGUGGUGGGUGAGAGUACGUACUAGAUCUGGUUGUUUCUAGAUAUUGGUGGAGGGGUGUUUCUACACUUCCUUAUAGAUCGGCUUCAUGAAUGAUACGUACUAGCGAUUCGAUUGACUUAGUCUUAUAUAUAUAGUAAAUAUUAAAUAUUUAAUUUUACAUAUACUAUAUGGUGUAUUUUAUUUCAAAAUACUAGGUUUAAUUACUAAAUUUCGAAAAUUAAAACAUUUAAUUUAAAUUUGAAAUUAAAUAUUUAUUAAUUAAACAUUUAAUUAAUUUAUUAAAUAAAUUAGGAUUAUCCAAUUAAAUUAAUUAAGAUAGUUUAAUCCUAAUCCUUUCCCCUAAUUUCGAAAAUAACGGGUAGGGAUAUAUCCAAUUUUAUAAUUAUCCUAUUUAACUAGAUAAGCUGUUAAUUACCAAAAAUAAGAUAACCCUAUCAACAUCUAGAAUUUUCAAAAAUAUGGAAUUAGGGAUGAAGGCAAGGAUUUCAAUCCUUACCUAAAUUUUGAAAUAUUGGGGGGCAAGAAACCCUCCAAGACUGAAACUUGUAGGGCAAUGAAAAAGGGUUUCAACCCUUUCCUAAAUUUCGAAACUUAGGGCCUAAGAAAACCCUAAUUUCGAUUAGGGUUUAGUUGCCAUAAACCCUAAUUUGAUCAAUUCAACCAUUGCAAUCAAUUCAAUAGCAAACAAGCCAAGGCUCUGGUACCACUGAUGGGUUUCAAGCAUAACAAACAAAAACCUAUGUGUACAUGCAACCCUAAUUCUUGAUCAAUGUUUUCUCUAAUUGAGCAUACAACUUUGAACAUCAAAUAAAAAACCCUAAGACUAAUAUUAUAUUUUCAAAAUUACUAACUACAGUUAAGAAAAAAUACCUUGAUUGUUAUUAACAAAUAACAAUGAAUCCUUGUGUUGUUGAAACCUUGAGAGUAAGCACCAUAAAUGUCGGGCCUCUAGUGGUUCACACUCAAGACUAGCAAGAGAAUGAAAGAGGAGAGAUGAGAAGGGGGCUUAAGAAUUUCGGCUAUCACUCUAGGGUUUCCAAUGGCCAAAAAUCCUAAGGGGUAAGGGUCUAUUUAUAAUCCAACAAGGAUGUCAUGGAUAACCCUAAUCUGAAUAUAAUAAUAUUAUUUCAAAUUGAUAAUUAUCCAGCUCCUUUUUUUAUCCACAUGGGAUAAUCUAGAAACCCUAGAUUAUCCAUAUAGAAUCCAUCCAAGCCUCCCCAGGAAGGUUCUAGAUCCUCUUGUUCAACUAUUGAACAAUUACACUUUAGACCAUGCACUUUUAAUUAAUUCUUUUAAUCCCAAAAUUAAUUCAAAUUAAUUUCUGAUUAAAUAUUAAUUAAAUAUUACAAUUUCUUAUUAAUAUAUUAUUCUCAUAAUAUAUUAACAAGUUAUUUAUUCAAUUUAUUAAUCAAAUAAUAAAUUCAACCUCUCUCUCCAAAAGCCAUCAUGUCUAGUUGCUAGUUUCAAGGGCAACCCAAAAGGAUUGUGUCACUAUCAAUUCAGGUAUAUAUCAAUUAUUGUUAUGGACUUAGACACAUAAUCCAAAAGUUUGCUCUAGUUGCUAAGAUCAACAUUUUUCGAGUAUUGUUAUUCUUAGCUGCUAAUCUUGAUUGGGCGUUACGACAAUUCGAUGUAAAGAACGCUUUCUUACAUGGAGAUUUUUUCAAAGAAGUAUAUACGGAUCCUCCUCCAGGGUGUAUAACGCGUGAGAAACAAAAAAAAAAACAAGGUAAGCAAGUUAAAGAAGUCCUUGCACGGUCUCAGGCAAUCCCCAAGAUCAUGGUUUUGAAGGUUUUCUAAAGCUAUGAAGAAAUUUGGCUAUAAUCAAAGCAAUACGGACCACACGUUAUUCUUGAAAAGGAAACACAAAAAAAAUUAAUGCCCUUAUCGUAUAUGUUGAUGAGAUGGUUGUUACGGGUGAUAACCCCAGCAAACAAAAUGCUCUAAAAAAUUGCUUGUCUCGUGAAUUUGAAAUGAAAGACUUUGGUCCAUUAAAAUACUUCCUUUGGAUUGAAGUGUCUCGAUCCAGGGCCGAAAUCUUACUAUCCCAAAGAAAGUAUACUCUAGAUCUUCUACAUAAAACUAGAAUGUCCGGUUGCAAACCGGCAGAUACAUCUAUGAUUGAAGGCCUAAAGCUUAACAAUGAGACAUAAUAUGUGUCGGUUGAUAAAAAAAAAGGUACCAAAGACCAGUUGGAAGGUUGAUGUACUUGGCACACACACGACCAGUCAUUGCUCAUACAUUAAGUGUGGGCAGUCAAUUCAUGCACAAUCCGAGUGAACAACAUAUGAAUGUUGUCAUAUAUUUACUAUGAUAUUUAAAGUAAGCUCUUAGAAAUGGAUUUCUCUUCAAGAAAAAUUCAAACUACCGAAGUAUUGAAAUGUACACAGAUGUAGAUUAGGCAAGAUCAAAAGUGGAUGGUCGAUCGACAUCUUGUUAUUUUAGCUUUCUUGAAGGCAACUUAGUAACAAGGAGCAGUAAGAAACAAAAUGUUUGUGACAUCCCCAUUUUCACGGCCAAAAAAGACCGAUUUUGUUUAUGCUUUAUAAAAAUCAGAGUUCUUCUUUUAAUAAAAAUGUUGCGGAAUUCGUUCCCAGAAAAACACGAUAAAUACGUUAUUAAAAUUUUUUCGAAGAAACGUAUUUUAUUCAUUUUAAAACGUUUGGGAUGUCAUCAUCAAUACAGGAACAUAAGCAUAAACAAAACUUACAUUUAUUUACACUAGUGAUCUACAUCUCUUUAAUCUCUCAGUGUAAUGUGACUUCAUAUCAACACCUGUGAUAUAAAUAAACUGAGUGGGUCAGGUUGGAAAACCUGGUGAGUACAUAGGGUUUUCAACCCACAAUAAUAUAAUUAUUAUGUUUAAACAAUCAAACAAUCAACCCAAUUACCCAUCCCCAUUAUCUUAUUUACUCUUAAGGAUUUAUCCUAAGAGUCAUCUAUUCUGCAUUCGUUUAUUCCGAAGUCCCUUACUUCCAGGGUUAUAGGACUGGCACUAAGUCCAUAGCUGCCAAUGUUCAUUCAUAAAGCACUAAUUCCAUAGCUGCUAUAGUCUAUUCAUCGGGUACUAAAUCCAUAGCUACCAGUGUUUAUCUAAUAGGUACUAAGUCCAUAGCUACCAAUUCCUUAACAGGUACUAAAUCCAUAGCUACCAGUGUUUGUCCAAUAGGCACUAAGUCCAUAACUGCCGAUGUUUAUUAGUUAGGCACUAAGUCUAUAGCUGCCAAUGUUUACUCACAUCAUCUUUUAUCUCUCAUCAUUCAUCUACCCGUAUCAUACCCAACAUAUUCGUGUAUAUAAAAUACGUAUACAAUUUAAAUCAUCUAAAACAUGUAUAAAAAUGUUCAUCCAACAUAGACAACAAGUAUACAGAUAAUAUGCACACAUAGCACGUAUUUUAUAUAAAAUACUUCAUAUCUAUGUGUAAGAUGAAAGUAACUAUGCACUCACUUGAAAAUGUGGUGAUUCUGAACUCAGACAACGCUUUACUUCUUGAAAAAAAAAAAAUUUCCUUUGACGAAACAGCGGGUUUUAUAGAAAACCAGACUUUGCUUGGAGCAGCAUUCCCGUGUGGAAAAACUCUUCUUCUCGGAGCCGUCGAGCAGUUAGGGGCUUCCGCCUCGUGCUAGGGAGGUUCCCUAGGCUUUUCGGGGGGUUUCGGGGCUAGAGAGAGGUUCUAGAGAGAGAGAGAGAGAGAGAGAGUAAAGAGAAGAAAGAAUGAGAAAGGUGUGAAGAAAAUGAAGGUGGGAGAGGUUCUAUUUAUAGGGUGAAAAUGGCUGAACUUGGUGCCACAUGUCACCAUCUAGUGGCAAGACUUGGGGAGAAAGCAAUGACCAAGAUUGUGCCACAUCACCCAUUUUCGCACAGCACACUUCCGACUUCUAAAAUCCGUAACUUUCACAUACAACCUCCGUUUUUGACGUUCUUUAUAUCCACGCGUAGGUAAAAAUAAUAUCUACAACUUUCAUUUUGACUUCGUCGGCUAAUUCUCGACCGAUCUUAAAUUUAACAGUACGAGGCGUUUAGACUGUUAAAUGACCGCGAAGAAUUCGUAACUCCUUCAUACGGACUCUGUUUUUGCCUGUCUUUUUACUGUUAAGUUCCUAUUAAUGAGAUCUUCAACUCUCAUUUAAGUCACGUAAGCCAAAAACCGUUCGAACUAAAAUUCGAGUUUUGGGUCGUGUACUGCUAAGCCGAAUCUUAGAAAAAUCAUAACUUCUUCAUACGAAGUCAGAUUUAGGCGUUCUUUUUAUAGAUUUUCUCGGUUUAACGUAUUAUACGACUUUCGUUUAGAUAACUAAGGCUAAAAAGUCCUCCAUCGUAAAAUCACUAUUUACGCUUCCCGGUGUCGUGCCGGUUCCGUCGCGAAACUUCGACAGGUCAUAACUUCUUCGUUAUAACUCCGAUUUCGACGCUCUUUAUAUAUACAGAAACCUUGUGACAUAUUCUACAACUUGGUUAAGAUUAUUUAUUCUAAAUAACCUUUUGUCGAAAAGUCAUUUUCGACCCCUAUUACCUCUAAAUUGACUAGCCCGGAUCUACGGGCGUUACAAUGUUGUAGCUCGAUCUAGUGCAGAAGCAGAAUUUAGAAGUAUGGCACUUGGUAUUUGUGAGGCAAUGUGGCUCAAAUGUCUCCUACAAGAUUUGGGUUAUCCUGUCAAGCUACCCAUUUAACUAUUUUGUGAUAACAAAUCAGCUCGUGAUAUUGCUCAUAAUCCUGUUCAUCAUGAUCGUACUAAGCAUGUGGAAGUGGACAAAUUCUUCAUUAAAGAAAAAUUAGACUGCAAGAUUUUGGAAUUACCAAAAAUCCGGUCAGAAGAUCAACUAGCGGAUAUCCUGACCAAAGCCACUUCAAAGCAAGUGUUUUCCAGACUUCUGAGCAAGUUGGGCAUGUGUGACGUAUAUGCUCCAACUUGAGGGGGAAUGUUAAGAUUUGUUUUAAAUAAAAGAUAUAUUUUAGUUUGAGAUUAGAUAGAGAGAUAUAAGGAGUUGUUUUUUUUCCUGUAUUCCAGGGAUUGAUAUCAAUCAUUUCUUUUAUAAAUAUUGUAUUAUCUAUUUGAUUGAAUAAUAAGAAAUUAGGUUUUCUAAGACAUGGCACACCUUUUUUUGAAGUGUCAAUAGGCCUGGUAAUUCUCGACAUAACCCGCGACACGACACGAUAUAAGUGGGUUUGGGUUGAGUUUUUCAACCCGCCAACCCGUUUAUUAAACAGGUUAUAUAUGAGUUUCUCAAAAAAUAUACGGGUUGACCCACCAACCCGUAUAUAACUUUAUUAAAAGAAAAUUAUAUAUUUUUUAAAUGUAUUAAGUAUUAUACACUAUACAAAUUAUACUUUAUACUAGGAUAUGAUACCCGUUACCAUUGACCAUUUGACCCAUGGGUAAUCAUUUGCUGAUUUGCAUUGUGACACGUUUGGCGUUUGCCCUAAAUAAUGUCAGUAUCUCACAAACAAAAUCGAAUAAGCCCUCUUUUGGUCUCCCUUAUAUGAUGAGCGACAUAAUGAACUUACGAAGAACAGCGACAUGAAUGAUUGAAUCAUCAUCCAACGGCGUCGAAACAUACGAUUAAAUUUAUCUAUGUUUGUAUUAAUGUUUUAGUUUGAACAUGUUUCCAUGAAUGUUUUUAGUUUUCAUUUGAAUGUUUAAGACUUAAGUUUCUAAAAUUCAGAUAUGUUUGCAUCAAGAAUUUAUUCAUGUUUAAUUAUCAAUUUUAUUUAUGAAAUCUGACCCACGAACACACAAACCCAAAUUGACCCACGAACCCAAAUCCGACCAACGAACCCGCCAACCUAUAAACCCGAAUAAAUAAGUGGGUUGACGGGUCAUAUAUGAGUUUAUGUUCCAAACUCGUCAACCCGUGACCUGUAUGGUUAAAUGAGUCGUGUUCGGGUUGGUAUAUUUUGAUUCGCCAACCCGAACACGAUACGAUUGCCGGCCUAGUUGUGAAGUCACAGCUCGUGCGUCAAAAUGCAUUUGCUAGAUGGAUAGGUUUAUAAAUUCCUCCUUUUGAUUAAGUAAAUGACAUUCUCCCUUUGGUUGAUUUGAUAGCCUUGCCUCUGUCUAAAAAAUGACCAUCAAAUCUAUAAUUGUCAGCUUCUGGCGGGUGCUUUGGAUCUUUUGUAACAACAAUCUUUUCGGAAACAAGAAGUGUAUAAAAAGAUACGAUUUUCAGUCGAUAGUGGAUUAAUCAUUCAAUUGGUUUGUUAGUCGGAAUCGUAAAAUUACUUUAAAUUGGAUUUCUUUGUUACAAAAUCCAAUUCAUUGUUGUUCCUUUGUAAUUUUUUUUCUAUUGUCUUGCUAUUAUUAAAUAAAAAUCAAUUGUUAAAAAAAAAAAGGUCACUUAGAGAAGCAACAUGCCCCCCACAACGGAAACAUCUAGUGUUUAAAAUACAUAAUUUUACCCAAUAUAGACCGAUUAAAUAGUAGGAUUUACUGUGUAAAACGGUUCCAAUACCAUUGUUUAACAGACACGUUACUUGUGCUACAAAUUAAAACCCAUAUCAUAUGCAAUACUUUACAUCUUUUUUGGUCAUUUAGAAACACAGCCCAUUACCACCUACAUGACUUAAAGAUCUUUAAUCGAAUCGUACGUAAAGAUGGUUGGAUUCUCAUUAUGUUUGCUAGGAAAAGAAAUAACCACAAUAACAAGUCUCGAUCCUAAACCAAACCCUUCGAUUUUCAAGCUAUGAUUCGGAUUGCACAUGUAAUGCUUUUCCUCUUCUAAUCAUAUGUCUACUUCUUUUCUUGCAUACCGGCUGUAGUGUUUUUCAAGAUCUGCAAAACAAACAAUAUAUUAGUUAUGUGCGCCUUAAAAUAGUGAGUUUUAUAAUUUUUUAUAAUUAUAGUUUAUCCGUUUAACUACGCAAAAUUAUUUUUCUAAAGUCAAUUGACUGUUACCAUUUUUUGACCCAAUAAUAUAAACCUUUUUUUUUUCGGUUGCUCUUGAUUUGGAAAAUGAUAAAUAUUUUGUUUUUACUUUUGUUGUAGUUACAAUAAUGAUAAAUAGAGACACUUACAUGUCUAAGCAUUUGAUUCUCAUUUUGGAGAGUUGAAAGUCGCUCUUCAAGCUCGGAGUUCUUCUUUUCAAUUUCUUUUACUCGCACUUCCAAUUCAUUCAAGUAUGCCUUCUUCCUCUCCCUUGCUUGUUGAGCCGAAACUCUGUUGCGUAACAACCUACUUUGCCAAAACAAAUGACUAAAUUACCCUUAGCUGAAACAAAUGACUAAAUUACCCUUAGCUGAAACAAAUGACACUUGCUAAUCAAAAUAUUUUUUUUAAAGUUCGUUUUACCACAAAAAAGAAAAUAUACAUUUUUUUGGUAUAGUUGUUUUACCACACAUAAGAUAAUAUACAUUCAAAAUCCAAUCCCCCACACACACCCUUGUUAGUUGGUAUAGUUGUUAGUUUUAUUUAAAACUACAAAUACAAUAAUUUCAAAAAGGAGGUUAAUUGCAUAAAUAUAUAACAUACCAUUUGAUUUUCACAAAGCAACAUUUUUCGAAAAAAAGUAUUAAGGUAAAACGUUUUGUUCAAAAAAUAUGAAAAUACCCUUGAGUAUUUUGUGAACAAAAACUUUUAUUUGAUUGUACUCUUUUCAAGGUUUUGUAAAAAAAAGUUUUUUAACCAUUUAUUUUUAACUUCUUACCUUAUGCCUAAAAUACGAUCCACUUAUAAUUACUACAUUUAUUUGAUGUAAUAAAAAAUCCAAAAAAAUAACUUCCAUAUAGAUUUAAAAAAAAAAAAAAAAGUUAUUUCUAUGACUUCCGUAGAAGUUAGGUAUUAUUUUUUAGAAAAAGCGGCUAGGAACAAAACAUGUUAUGCCACGUUCCUAUGAGAUGUCAUACGCGGGACCCACAUCGUCAACCAGACUUUAAAUUAACACCGAUAUAUACUGACGUGGCAAGACAAAUUUAAACGACAAACAUAUAAAAAAAAUCCGGUUUUUAAUUAUUUCGAUUCCGGUUUACCUCUUCAACCGUUUAUUUUCUUUAUCGGCUGGGGUUCUGCCUCUUUUCCUUGAACCAACGUUUGAGCUUUGAACCCGGUCUGGACCAGCACCUGAUCCGGUGUCUCCGCCGGAAACUGAUGCUCCCGCAGCUUCUCCACCCAUCUCCGGCACUCUUCUUAUCUCAUCAUCACUUUCCAUUCCUAUUAUCGCGAACAACAAUUUAGGGUAACAUUUAGAAUAAUCUCUUUCAAAUCACUAAUCUGUCGCAUCUAAAAAUUCGUAAAUUAGAAAUGCAGCUCAAACACACACACAGAAACAUUUAUGCUUCAGCUUGAUCAUAUGGGUAUACAUGAAAUGACAAACGAAUUCGAUUUACAUACAAAAAUUCAUAAGUACAUUCAAUUUAUACACCGAAAUUUUAAGAAAUCGAGAUCAAAUUAUCAGAAACUAAAAAACAAGUCAAAGGAAAAUCCACCUUCUUUGAUUUCGAUAUGAAGUGCAGAGCUCGAAGAUCUCUCACUACUCGAAGGUAAACUCGCCACCAACGAACUUGUCGCAGUUGGCUCUUGCAUUUUGCCCAAUUUCUAGAGAGAGAAACUAUAUAUAAAUCUUAGAGAGAGAAAGUAAAGAGGGAGAGAGUUUGGGACUUUUCUUUUAGUUCUUCACGUUACAGAGGCGGAGAGAGGUUAUUCAGUAGCAGAGAGAAGGGAGAUGUGAUUGGAACCGUUGGAUGAAUCAUUGAUCCAACGGUGGAAAAGGUGUAAGCGUGGUACAAUGAGGAGCCACGAGGUAUCAUGUUAAUCCAAUGAUGUAGAGGUAAGAUACGUGGAUGAAUUAGCGACGUUUGGUGAUAGAUGAUGACCAACGGUUAUGAUUUGUUGAAGGCAAGUGAGUAUAUAGUGGGACCACUUUUUAGGUUUUAUGUUUAUGUGUGCCCAUGAAAGUGUUGCAACGUGUUUGUUAUUAGGUUUUCGACAUUUUCAAUGUUUUUAAUGGCUUGUUUCUAUAAGUUGAAGCUUUUAAUUAAAUAUAAAAAAGAAAAAUGUUUGGGAAUGUAUUUUUUUUUGUUAUUGUUGGUCUAGUUCGAUAGUACUAGGACUGGAAAAUUCAACAUCAUUGUCAUUGCAUUUGACGGUAUGACACCAAAGUUAUUUUUUAUAGACUUGUAGUUAUCAAGUGUUGUAAAUAUAACUAGGUCCCGACUAAUCGAAGCACCUGACCGACUAGAAAACAUCUAACGCUUAAUCUCCGUCAAUAAAAUGAGCGAAACAGUAACAAACGAUGAAAUUUUAACACUUUAAAGAAAUUUUGUCUCCAUAGAAACUAUUUGAGGAAUGAUUAGUGUUGUAUUAAUCAUAUUAACUUAUUUUUUGAUAAUACUAGAGGUAUUUACGAAUUUUGUUAUGAUAUUAAUCAUAUUUAAUUUAUUAAAAUUCAAUGAAUUAGCAAUUAUGGUCCCCGAUUAAUCCAUAUCUAACCGAUUAAUCCAUUAAUCUUAGUCCACCGACUAGCUAAAGUCGAUCAUUUUUUACAACCUUAAUAUUAUCAAUAGAUAUUAGAUAUAUGUGAUGUUACAAUUUACAAGUAAAGAUAUCUUUUAGACGGUAUAUAUGUUCUUUUGAUGGAAAUAUAUUACCUUAAUGUAAUGUGUGAUAUGUAAGUUAUCAAAAUUAAGAAUGUAUUUUAUUGAUACUUAAAACACACUUGAAAGUGGGAGCAUGCAAUGAGAUGGGUUGUAAGAAUUGCAUGUUUAUACAAUCAUACUAAGAGUGUCCUGUCAUUUUUUUUUUCUUCUUUAGCGUACAAUCUUUGCCAAAAUGGUUCUUAGCAUUAUAGUAACUACAAUCAUACCUAGAGUCUCUCAGUUAGUUUCUUUUCACUUGAGAUCUCUUUCGAAACAACUUUGUUCUUAUCUUUGAAAUUAGGUUUUGAACCAGACUUGUCACCACCAAUAUGUUUACAAAACCAUAAUUUGAUGAUGGCUUCCUAUAGAAGUUUUUGCUUUGUUGAUAAACAUAAGGGCAUGAUUUUCUCCAUNUAUGGUUUUUGGGACAUCCCAAAACUGUAAACACAUAAAAUUGGGGGUUUUGGUACUUUUGAACCAGACUUGUCACCACCAGUAUGUUUACAAAACCAUAAUUUGAUGAUGGCUUCCUAUAGAAGUUUUUGCUUUGUUGAUAAACAUAAGGGCAUGAUUUUCUCCAUCAAAUUCAUCAUUUUUAACUUCUUUGUAAAAAAAAACAAGCUGGUUCAAAUGAUCCUUUUUCGUAACGAGAGGAAGAGGACCAUCAGAAUAUUUUUAUUUGAUUUCUUACAUGAUAUCAGCUUCAUGAGUCUUUAAGAUGUCGAACAAGCCAUUUAAAGUAUAUGAUUAUAUUUUUUUUGUAACAUCCCAAAAUAGGAGCCAAAAAUUUCAUUUUUAAAACAUUUAAUUUGCAAAACAUUAGAAUUAAAACAUUCACGAAUCGUAUCAUUUCAUAAAAGAUGUUGCUUGUCUGGAAACCAUAUUAUCAAACAUAAUACUGUCAGAGUACAAAAUCCCAGGAGGAUCCCAUAGUGCGGAAUAAAAAGUGUGUGUUUGAUGUACCGUUACCGUGCCAGCUCCUUCCCCUUCGAAGAAGAAGUACCUGAAACCAAAACUGAAAACUGUAAGCACGAAGCUUAGUGAGUUCCCCCAUCUUACCACAUACCAUACAAUCACAUAUCAUACACACUGUCGGACAAUUCUGGGGUGCCCGACCUACCCGGCACGGCCAUUCUGGGGUGCCGACCUACCCAUGUCAAGCCGUUCUAGGGUGCUGACUACCCAUGUCAAACCAUUCUGGGGUGCUGACUACCCAUCGGUCCUAACUCUCCCUCACUUGGGGUCCUGAUCCGCACUAACUGUUGUGCGCAAUCUAUCACCGCCCCAUUAGGGCUCAACCAAUCCAUGCCUAUAAUCACCUUGUUCCCCCGCAAAGGGAUGGGAACCAAACCACCAAAUAGCGCUCCUCAAAUAACCUUAGGACACAAUCCCUGAAUACUGCUGACGCUCACACUGAUCGAUCAUCGGCGAUCUCUACCUCUAAAGGGCAAUCCAACAUGCCCGAAGACUCAGUAAACCUCUUGCUAAGCGCAAGGGAAACAAAUGAUCGGGUGGCACCCGAGUCAAACAACACCUGAACAGGAAUGUUGUUCACAUGGAAUGAUCCUAACGCAUAUACACAUAGCACAGAUCAAUAUCAUAACAUCAUAAAAAUAAGAUAGAAGGAAAGAAUCAUGCCCGUCACCACAUCGGGUGCGGCGCGAGCCUCCUCGAUAGUCAGCUGAAAUGCUCGGCUCCUCACCACUGGAGCCUCUGCCUUGACCUGCCGGCCAUCUGUAAUCCGAAGGGUAGUUGGAGCUGGCGCCUUAGCCGGCACUGAUGCUGUCAACUGGGGGCAAUUGGCCUUCUUGUGGCCCCUCUGGUUGCAGUGGAAACACAGCAACUCCGAUGUCUGAAUCACAGGUGCUGGGGUGGUACAAUCCCUGCUGAGGUGCCCCGUCUUGCCGCACUUAUAGCAGCCCGACGAUCCCAGCCUACAUGCCCCCUCAUGAGGCCUGCCGCAUUUCUUGCAGCGGCUUGGUCCUGACUGGCCUUUUGGCCUACCAUAUGGUCCCUUGGGCUUCUUCCCCGAAGCCCCUCCUGCCUGAACCUCCCUUGUCUUCCUCUUUCGGAUGUGCUCCAGAUCUAUCUCCCUCUCCCUUUCCCUGGCAAUCAUAGAGUCCAGGGUAGGGCAAGAUGAAAAACUGACAUGCUCUCGAAUAUCAGCUCGUAGCAUGUCAUGAUAGCGGGUCCUCCUCAUAUCCUCAUCACCCGCGUACUGGGGCACCAGCAACGCCCUCUCCCAGAACUUGGCGGUGAUCUCCUCCACAGUCUCUGCCGUCUGUCUCAUAUCUAGGAACUCCCUGGCCAGCUGCUGAAGCUCAACAGCCGGCGCNUAAACUCUGCCCUAAACCUGGUCAUGAAGUCUGACCAAGUCAUAGCCUCGAGAACCGAGGCUCCCAACGAGUCACCCACGGACUCCCACCAAUCCCUAGCUCGAUCUCAUAAAUACCCUGCUGCAAACCUCACCUUCGACCCCUCAUGGCAGAAGCUAAUCAUCUUUGCAGACUCAAUCUCUUCAAUCCAUCGCCUGAUAGCUAUGGGGUCCUUUGCCCCCUGAAAAUCCGGCGCACCACUGCCCCGGAAGUCCUUGAAGGACAGUGUGUGAGAUCCCGACUGGCCAGAUGCCAUGUCGCUCCUGAAUGCCCUGAGGCGAUCCUCCAUCAACUCCAAUAUCCCUUCCUUGAUCGACCCGAAGAUAAUGGGGGUCGACUCAAGGAUGGCUCUGGUGAUCUCUGACGCGAUGAACCCGCGUAGCCCCUCAUCUACUGGCUCAAAACCUGAUCCCGAACCCGAUCCCUCUCCUGAACUGCCAACUGCUGGCCUCGAGCGUAGUACCACCAUUCUGAAAUACAAAAUAAUAAUUGUUAGCGAUACUGACACCUCUGGAGGGAUCACACUUACUACAAGUUCCCUGGUCUUAUCUUGGCCUUCCUUAGUUUCGGAUACGGAUCCUCUGCUUUCAGUAGUACGGGCCCAUACUACCUUCCACAUCUAUCCAUACCUUUUCCAAGGACUGCCUUGACUCCACCAGGUCCCUUUCACUACCGCUGAUCACUGCUAUACUCAUCCUAGGCUUGCUCCAGGAAAUCUCCAACUCUACCCUACCCGGUCCUCAGCUACUGAAGGCCUCCUUGUAAUGCUAAUUAGUCAUUACCUGAAUACCAUCACAUGUGGUGAGGCUCAGAUAAUCCUUCGAGUAACAUACUCGGCUCUACACGGUUAGGCUUAGACAAAAGCCGCGCAGUAAGGCCAGAUCCAACACUCUAAGAUUAUUCAACCAUGAUCACAUGUGACGUGACGUAUUCAUCUAAUGUCAAACUCCCAUCACUCAGAGUCCCCACGAAGCACAGAGCAAGCAACAUUCAGACACAAGGAAACAAUCUCAGGCAAAUCCGUCCUCAUAGAGGAAAGCUGUACUAGCAUACAAUGCUAAACUCAUACUAUCAGGCAUAACCCUAACAGGCUAUCCUACUGUUGUCUACUCAAUUCUAGCAUGCAAUUUUCAUACACUGAAGCACAUAAGGCAUNUUAGUCCUAUUCUAGCAUGUUGUUCUACUGAAACUGAUAAACAUAACAUAAGCUGGUAUGGGUACUUUGGGGAAUACUUACUUGAGCUCGGCCGGUCGCGCACAUCACACACUUCGUUCCUUCUUAAAACUCUUUACUUAGCUUUUCGGAAAAAUAUUUUCUUCUUUAAAAUCUUUUAAAUCCCUUGAUUUGAGUUCAGACAUCCCUCGAAGGCGUGUCCGAAUCCCUCAAACCAGGGCUCUGAUACCAACUUGUAACAUCCCAAAAAUAGGAGCCAAAAAUUUCAUUUUUAAAACAUUCAAUUUGCAAAACAUUAGAAUUAAAACAUUCACGGAUCGUAUCAUUUCAUAAAAGAUGUUGCUUGUCUGGAAACAAUAUUAUCAAACCUAGAUGAUAUCACAAAGACAAUCAUCUAACAUACAACUCCUACUAGUGGGCAGGCAUUGUGGCCGUAGGCCCACCGCUACUGGAAGGUAGCUCACCUCAAAGUAGUUGCUGAUCUGCGUGGGAAUUGACUGUCUUCUGCUGCUGCUGUCCCGGAAGUCCUCCUGCUAAAAUCCCCACAAAACACCCAGUCAAAUACUGCUAACCGACCUCAUGGUAAAAUGACCAUUUACCCUUGACCGAGCCAAGAGUCAAAGUCAAAGUCAACUUCCAGUUGACCCGACUCGUCGAGUUGGCCUGCCAACUCACCGAGUCCCUAUCCUUUUGUCUGACCAUAACCCCGUCUCUACUCGUCGAGUUAGGCGUUGACUCGACGAGUUUUCCUUUUAAUCCAUGGUCUAAUAGUCCUUCAUCCUACUCGCCGAGUUGUAUGAACAACUCGCCGAGUUCAUCUUCAUCCGAAGAACAUGCUAUGUUGAGACUCGCCGAGUUGUAUGAACAACUCGUCGAGUCUGUUCUUGAGGCAAGAAGAUUGCCUUUGACUCGCUGAGUCAGGGCAUUGACUCGCCGAGUUUCUUCAUGGGUGAGUCUGGCUUCCGACUCACUAAGUCACACCCCAUGACUCACUACUCCACUCCGCAAACACAAAAAGGGGAAACUCGGGGACUCGCGACUUGACUCGCCGAGUCUGUCGCAUGCAAACACUAAAUAUUCGAUUUUGCUUGGAUCCAGCUCAUGCCAUACAUAGAUCUGGGUUUCUAGGGCCUGGUUAACACGUAAAGUUUCCAACUCUACGUGUAAAUAAACACCGAUGAGGGUUUUAGGGAUCAAAAUGCACUAAAAGAGUAGAUCUAGGGCUUUCAUGCCAUAUCGCUCCAUAAAGGCAGUAGAUCUGAGCUUCUGGAGCUCAAUCAUGCCUAGAUCUAAGGGUUAAUCAACUUAUUACAAACCCUAAUUCAUAAUCAAGCUUGGAAAUGGCUCAAGAAGGACUUUAAUGGAGCUAUAAAGGUCUAAUAGCAUGAAAACAGAGGGAAACUGAGUUAUACCUCAAGGGAAUCACUUGAAAUAAUACCAAGAUGUCUAGCCUCCUUCUUCUCUUCUUGAUCUACUAUUCUCUUCUCUCAAAAUCUUCAAGAAACACACCAAAACACUUCAAUCUCUCAAGGAAUAAGGGUUUGGACGAUGUUGGGAGCUCUGAGGGUGAAGGGGGCGAGGUUGGGGCGCAUAAGGUUGGUUUAAAUAGGGUGCAAACCCUUGAAAUUUAGGGUUUCAUCAGACAGCAGGGACUCGCCGAGUCCAAAAUGUGGACUCGCCGAGUCGCCAACUUAAACGUGCUCCCAAACCCGUCUCUACUCGGCGAGUCUGGCCUACAACUCGCCGAGUCCAAGGCCAAAAUGCAAAAUAUAUAGAUAAAUUUUUACGUACCAGGAACCAGAUGCUACAUUUUUCUUGACUUUUCACCAUCGAGGUGAUUAACUUCCAUUCUCUUCUGAGAGACUACAUGAAUGUGAUGUCGAUCUCCCAUUGACUUUUGAAAAUUUGAUGCUUCUCGAGAUUUUUCAUAAUCUAACCAACUCGAUUAUAAGCUUUCCCCCAAGGUUUCGUCCAACUUCUAUUUGAAAUCAUGAAACUUGGACAGGUUGUUCGUCACUUGAGAUUUCUUUCCCUUUUCGAUUCCUUCGUAGAGAUCCUUUAGGAAUGAUAUUGCGAAGCUCGUGUUUAGCUUUUCAAUUGUCGUCCUUCUUCUUAUUUUCUAUCGAUGUAAGAGCUUCUUUAGUACCAUCAACACCAAAUUGAACACUGAUAGCAACCAUAUGUUGAUCUUGUUGAAUAGAUGACUAUAAAGCUUCAUCAAUGGCUAAUAGAUAAUCCUUCAUUUUGUCAACUCAUUUAUCGUAUUCACCUUGAUCGUAUUCACUUGGAAAAGGCAUAUGAGAUUUGGUGUGUGAACCAUUAUUAUUAGAAUAGUUGAGAUAGAGAGUUUGCAUGUUAAAAUUUCCCAUAAUAAAGACAUGAUCGAUUAAAAUCACUGAAGACUUCAAAGAUUUAGGGUAAGAAAACCACAAAAACCAUAUUUGAUAAAAAGUGAUUAACAAGGAAUCAAAUCUCAUGAUAAAUCCCAAAUGAUAUAUGCUAUGAUACCAAUUGUUGGAAGACAAAAACUAUCAAGGAAAAAUAUAUUUAUGUGAAAAAAAACACAAGCAUAACCACUUUCAAAUGCUUGUUGAUUUCAAAAUCCCAAAUAUUCAUGAUGAACAUGAGUAGAGAAUACGAAGGAUUACUAUAACGCCGUGAUUUUUACUAUAUUCUUUUAUUUAUUUUAAAAACUUUUAACGGAAGACUUAAAAUAGUUUAUUUCAAAAAACAUUUCAUAAUAAAACCACAAUGUUAUAUCAUUUUGAAAAAAAAACAAGCAACCAAAACGUUUUAAAUAUAACGGAAGCAAUCUACAUAAGGAAAUAACACAUGUUGAAGUGGCACCAUUAUUCGAAAUUAAAUGACCCAAAAGGUGACCCAACCCCACUAAACCCAAUCUCCUAAGCUACUUGCAUCGAUCAUAAGCCACAUAGAAAAAAAAACAAGUGUCAGCACAUGCUUCAUGAGCCGAUGAAGUUGUGCACAACCAAAACGAAAAUGUACAAUCCCUUAAUGGAUCAUUCAUACACAUUAUGAUCAUAUAUCAACCAAAUAUAAAACAACAUUCAACUGCAUAUCAUAAUCCAUUUCAACCAUUUCUCAUUCAAUAUUUCACUGUGUCAUUUUUACCACAUGUCAACCAAUUAUUCCAUAUAAUUUCAAUUCAACCAAUUAGUGUAUGUAAUUCCUUUCAACUUAUCUGUGACAUCCCCAUUUUCACGGCCAGAAAAUACUGAUUUGUUCAUGCUUAUUUAAAUAUCAGAGUAUCAUUUUUGAAAAAUAGCAUCGCAGAAUUUGUUCCCAGAAACAUGAUUAAGAUGUUAUCAAAGCAUUUCCAAAGAAAUGUAUUUUAUUUAUAUUAAAACAUUAGGAUGUUAUCGUCAAUACAGAAACAUAAGUAUAACGAAAUAUUACAAGCCUAAUACUCCUUGAAACUCUCAGCAGAAAGUAUCUUUCAUAUAGAAACCUGUAAUACAAUAAAUCGAGUGGGUUAGGUUAGGAAACCUAGUGAGUAUAUAGGGUUUUAAACCCAUAUUAUAUAAUUAUUAGGUUUAAUCAUCAAACAGUUAACCCAAUUUUCCAUCCCCAUUAUCUUCUUUAUUCUUAAGGAUCUACCCUAAGAAUCAUCUAUUCUUCAAUAUUUAUUCCUUAGGAUUUUCCUAAGGAAUAGGCAUGAAGUCCAUCGCUGCUAAGCUUUAUCUAACAUGCAUUAAGUCCGUAGUUGCCGAUGUUAUCUAUUAGGCAUAACUACCAAUGUUAUCCAUUAGGCACAAAGUCCAUAGCUGCUAACGUUCAUUCGUAAGGCACUAAGUCCAUAGUUGCCAUGUUUUUUAGAGUACAUAUGGUGAACAUGUCGUUCACAAACACCUAUAGGUUGCGAGCCUGCUAGCGUUCUACUUAACUAUCUAGAAUAAUAUAUGGUCGUUAUCUAUACUCUGCUAGAUGACUGGAUCAUCUUUUAAGUCAAGGAUUUUCAUCAUCUUUCACCUCUCAUCAUUUAUAUCAUCUUUCUUCUCUCAUCAUCCAUAUCAUCUUUCAUCUAUGCAUCUUUAGCCAAUAUAGUUAUAGGUAUAGAAAUACAUAUACAAUUUAAAUCAAGUAAAACAUGUAUAAAUCGUUCAUCUAGCAUAGAUAUCGGGAACACAUAUAAUAAGCAUAUAUAGCAUGUAUUAAUAUUAAAUACUUCAUAUUUAUGUGUAAGAUGAAAGUAAAUAUGCACUCACUUGUUAAAGUGACGACUUGAAAUUCGGCCAGCGCUUCGCUUUUAGCAAUCAGGGGCGAAACCAAUUGGUUGGUAGGGGUAGCCCAUGCUACCCUUCAGUUUUUCCCGAGAUCGAAUGUUACUCCGGUUACAAAUCGAAUGUGCCCCAAAUUAAUACUCUAAGAUAAAAUAUCGAUGAGUUGUGAUACUCCUUACCAAGAGUUGAAGACGAAGUUUUGCUGGAUUUCUAUAAUUUCAAAUCGAAGGUAAUCCUAAUUUCCCCAAUUUCAAAUCAAAAAAAAUUUUAAUUUGAUUCGAUAGUUUUAAGGUUUUGAUUUCUCCCAUGGCGAAUAUAAGGUAUAAUUGAUUUCUCCAAUUAAGCCUUACUUUUAAUUUAAUAUGUAUCAUAUAAUAAUGGAUAUGUCCUUUUUUAUGUGCCCCCUACAAAUCAAUAACAAAAUCAAUAAAUUCAUGAUGUUUGGUUUGUGUUCAUUUUGGAGGAUAAUGAAUUAAAUUUAAAAUAUUUUUGAUAUCUUCAUCCCGAAUGGCAUCAUUGCCCUAUUUUUCUGGAAAUAGUGAAAUCCUUUUUACUUAAUUGAUUUUCAAUAUGUUAUAGUUCCUACAGAUAAUGCUUACAUUUUUUCUAUUUGGUUACUGUGUUGUUGUAUUUAUUUUGUUACUGUUACAUCUAUGAUCAUUUAUAAGAGUUGGGGCAACCUCAAGGAAAAAUAAGAAAUUGUUUAGUAAUGGUAGGUUAGUCAAGUUAUGAGUUCAUAACUGAAAUAUAUAUUACAACUCACAAGAACUAAAACAAAUUUUGAUUAUAAAUGCCUUUAGUAUAAACAAAUUCAUUAUCCUAUUUUGUAUAUAUUGAUNAUAUAUAUAUAUUGAUGAUCAGUUAGCAAAUUUGUUGUCCUUACAUAAUAUUUGAUUUAUAUUCAUGAUUAGGUGAUUACUUGGCUCAUUUCCUUGAAAAUUAGAAACUUAUGGAGCAAAGACUAGAUGGGGUGCAAGUGAGCUGAAAUCAUGCUUCCAAAAUUUUAAUGAAACUAAACAUUUACUUUCUUUGUUCAAAUAAUUGUUUCAUGAAUGCACUGUGUGUUUUAUCUAUAAUGUGUACUUAUAUUUUUUACCGAUAAGACAAUAGUAAAUAUGUAACAAAUAUAGUAUAUCACCCAUAUUGACAUCGAAAUAGAAGUAAUAGAUUUUAGUGCAUUGUUAUUAUGGGUAAAAAUAAUGUACAUUGCCAUUAUCGAUGAAGAAAAAAAUGUGUUACCCCUUAUGGGAGUUUCUGGUUCUGCCCCUGCUAGCAAUUGUCUUUUCCUUUGACGUAACCUAGUAUUAUUAUCGCUAAGUUUUAGUCUAUUAUUUAUUACGACUAAUUAUUAGUCUAGAUUCAUCAUUAACUCAAAGUCUACUUCAAGAUAUAUCAAGUAAGGAACAACUAGGUAGGAUCAUAUCGGAGGUAGGGUCUGUUUGGUAUAAGUAUACUAUUUGGAAAUCCCAUUUUAAACACCUCACUAAAUCACAGCCUAUACAUCAUCCCCGUAAGUGGAUCAAUCAGUAUAACGCCUUGGAAUCAUUGAUAAAUAUUGUUUAUAGGUUCAUAAUAACGAUAAUAAACUUAAACAUAAGUUAUACUUAAAGUAUGACAAACAUUACUCACUUACAGGGGGGUUUAGCGAGGAAUCGGGCUCUGCGGAGGCGAAACUUCUGAGCCAAAAGCUCUUCAUCUCAGGGCCUUCAGGUGCUCCGAGACUCGCUUCUCUAACAGCUAGGAGGUUCUGGGAAAGGUUAAGAGGGUUUGCGGGUGUUUGAGAGAGAAGGGUUGAGAAAGGUGUGAGAAAACAAGUGAUUUGCGCCUCUAUUUAUAGGUUAGGGAUCAGGCGUACGUGGGGUAGCUGGGCGUACUAAAUAUGUACAUUGGUGUAACACCCGAUUCCUGGUACGUAUUUAAUUCAAGAAAACUUCAUGUUUUACUCUGGGACUCGACGAGUUGGAGGCCCAACUCGUCGAGUGGACUUGUCUUUCUUCGGGGGUUUAAGUGACCUACUUGACGAGUCGGGAGACCGACUCGGCGAGUAGGUGCUGUUUGAGUGAAACCCUAAAUUUAAGGGUUUUCACCCUAUUUAAACAACUUAUUUCCCCCCAUAUCAGCCUCCAUCGUCCCUCACACUUCCAGAAGACCUUAAACUGAAACCCUAGCCUUGUUUGAGUGAUCUUAAGCCAUUUUUGUGCAUUUUUGGUGGUUGUGAAGCUUGAGAAGAAGAAAGGAGCUUGGGAGUUCCAGUUGAAGCUAGAAGAUCCAGAUAUUGUGUUCCAUCUACAGCUUAUUUAAGGUAAAAAAGCUUCAAUCUUGACUUUCCAUGUGUUUAAUCAACUUUAGGGCUUGGAUUUUGGUAUCUUUGGGGCAUUUCUAACUCAUUUUCGGGUUGUAGGGUGUAAUGUGGAGAUAGGGCUUCAGAUCUUGGACUUUAGAAGGUUCUCAUGGCAUAAAGGUGCCAACUCUAUGGCCAUGAGAGCCCCAUGCAUCUUGUAGGUCUCAUUUUUGGUCCUUUUGAGCUUAAAGACCCAUGCUUAGACGUAAAGUUCGUAAUUUUACGUGUUAUAUCGACCCUAGGAGGUCAGAUCUACCCUUUGGAUGAGAUAAUCUCAACAUAAAUCGAUUUUAUGGACAUGGACUUUAGGGGACUCGAUAAGUCGUUCUUGGGAAUUGACGAGUCGAGCGUUGGUUCCCCAACCUUUUGUUUCGGAGGAAUCUGGUUGAGUCUAGAAGGGGGCUCAACAAAGAUGGACGUAAUCAUGGAUCUGAGAAUCAUGGGACUUGGCGAGUCCAAGGAAAUCUCCCAACUCAUGAAGGUGGACUCGACAAGUUGUUCAUACAUCUCGACGAGUCAUAUACUGAACACAUUCAUAUGAGGGAGAUGAAUUCGACGAGUUCAAGGGUGAACUCGGCGAGUCGGUUGAAGAUGGUCCCAAUAUUAUGGUUGAUGGAGAACCCGUCGAGUUGUUGCUAGACUCGACGAGUAGAGUCGGUUUGAAUCAUUUUGAAGGAAUAGGGACUUGAUGGGAUGGUAGACCAACUCGGCGAGUUAAGUCAACUGGAGGUUGACUUUGACCAAAGUUGGCUUUGACCAGGAUUUGAGUUGACCCUUGUAGAGGUUGUGAGUAUGAAUUGAUAACUUAGAAGAGUUGUCGUGUAGGAAUUGAGGAGUCGUGAAAGUCGAUUUUCACGCAGAGGACAGUACAGACACUACGCAACAUUGAGGUGAGUUACCUUCCAGUAGAAGUGGGUCUAAGGCACCAAGGCCGACCCACUAGUAGUUGAUUACAGCUGAGAUGAUUGUCUUGUGAUAAUUGUCUGGUUUUCUAUUACUUGAUGUGUUCUAUGUGAUGGUGGUAUUAGGAGGGGAAUAGUCCCCCUAUCGGUUGUUAGGAUCGAAGGGUAGGUCGGACACCCCAGAUAUGUCUGACAGCAUGUUUAUGAUAUGUUAUUAUGUGAUAGUAGUAGGGGUGAAAUAGUCCCCGUGACCGGGUGAGAUAGACCGGAGGGCAGGCAGGCACCCUAGAAUGGCUUGACACGGGUAGUCAGCACCCCAGAAUGGCUUGACACGGGUAGUCAGCACCCGAGAAUGGCUUGACAUGGGUAGGUCGGGCACCCAAGAAUUGUCCGACAAAAUGUAUGAUUGUAUAGUAUGUGGUGUGAUGGGGGAACUCCAUAAGCUUUGCACUUGCACUUUUGGUUUCAGGUAACUCUUUAUCCAAGGGGAAUGAGCCGGCGGUGUAGCAGGCAUCACACACAUACAUGAUUUCCGCAUUAAGUUUUCUCGGAUUGUAUUCUGAUUUUUAUUACUAUUGAUAAUAUGGUUUUGACACACGUUGUUACGGUUUUUUAAAAAUUGAUAUGACAUUGGCAAUGUUUUUGGUAAACUAUAUUAUAAGUUACUUCAUUAAAAAUGAAAUUUUUGACCUUGAAAAUUGGGAUGUUACAAGUUGGUAUCAUAGCCUUGGUUUGAGGGAUUCGGAUACACCCUCGGGGAUGUGUAGACUCAAAUCGAGGGCUUGAAAGAUUUUUACAAGAAAAUAGUUUUCUAAAAUCUAAGUUAAAGAGUUUUGAAAAAAACGAGGUGUGUGAUGCGUGUGACCGGCCGAGCUCAAGUAAGUUUUCCCCAAGAUACGCAUACUUGUUACGUUAUGUUAUAUGAUAUGAAUAUGAGAACUACAUGCUAGAUUAGGGCUAAGGAUCAAGGAGGAUGUCUUGUAUGUCUGAUAUGUGCUUAUGAGAACUGCAUGCUAGAUUAGGGCUAAGGAUCUAGGAGGAUGCCUUAUCUGACUGAUAUGUGCUUAUGAGAACUGCAUGCUAGAAUAGGGCUAAGGAUCUAGGAAGGAUGCCUUGUAUGCCUGUUGUAGGAUCUUAUUGAGCUGUAUGUUAGAGCUGUUAGUCAGCAAUAUGGUAGCCUGAGUAGGUUAUGCUUGAUUUGGUUACUCAAUGCAUGAAUGCUUCUUGCUUUGUGCUGAUAGGAGUUCCGAGUAGCUUUAACUAACUAGUAAGCGGAUAUGUAAUAGUAACCGCAAGCUAGUUAGGGAAAGAUGGUAGGGACUCCUUGUGCAUCUGAUGGCGGAGAAUAGGUCAGAGAGUGCCCUAGGACAAGCCUAGGAUGUGAUUAGUUGGAAAGUUGUAUUAGUAAAAAGGGACUUGGUGAAGUCGAGGCGAUUCUUGAGGAAAGUACGGAUAGAUGUGCAAUGUAAUAUGGGCCCGUACUACUGGAAGCAGAGGAUCUUUACUCGAGUCAACGAGGGCCAAGAUGUAACUAGGAAACUUGGAGUGUGUUUGAGACCUCUCUAGAAUAUGUAUGAUCCUGACUUUUAUGUGUUUAUUUUCAGUAUGGUGAUUACGCGACAUGGAGUUAGAGGUUCAGGAUCAGGAUCAGGCUCGGGUGUUGGAUCCGAGCAAGUUGAUGACGGGCUGCACGAGUUCAUCAUGUCCUAGAUCACGAGAGGUAUCCUUGAGGCGACCCCGUUCAUUUUCGGGUCGAUCAAGGAAGGGAUUAUUGAGCUGAUGGAGGAUCACCUCCGGAUAUUCAGGAGUGAUUUGGCGUCUAGCCAGUCGGGUAUGCACACACUGUCCUUCAAGGACUUCAGGGGGAGUGGUGCGCCGGACUUUCACAGGGUGAAGGACCCCAUUGCUACCAGGAUAUGGAUCGUAGACAUUGAGUCUGUGCAGUUGACGAGCUUCUGCCCGGAGGGGUCGAAGGUCCACUUUGUUGCAAGGUGUUUGAGGGAUAGAGCUAGGGAUUGGUGGGAGUCAGUUGGUGACUCACUGGGAGCCCCAGCCAUCGAGGCUAUGACUUGGUCAGAUUUCGUGACUAGGUUCAAGGCUGAGUUUGCGCCAGCUGUGGAGCUUCAGCUGCUGGCCAGGGAGUUUCUUGACAUGAGACAGACGACCGAGACAGUGUCGGAGAUCACUGCCAAGUUCAGUGAGAGGGCCUUGUUGGUACCUCAGUAUGCAGGGGAUAAGGAGAUGCGUAAGACCCGCUACCAUGAUAUGUUGAGGGCUGAUAUCCGGGAGCAUGUCAGCUAUUCAGCUUGCCUGACCCUAGAGUCCAUGAUUUCUAGGGCGCGGGAGAGGAGAUUGAUUUGGAGCACAUCAGGAAGAGGAAGGCAGAGACUGAACAGGUUACGCGGGGUUUGGGGAAGAAACCCAAGGGAUCUGACAGUAGUUCGAAGGGCCAGCCAGGCCAGAGCUGCUGCAGGAAAUGUGGCAGGCCGAAUGAGGGAGCUUAUAUAGCAGGAUCGUCAGGUUGCUACAAGUGCGACAAGACGGGGAACUUUCGCAGGGAUUGUACUGCCCCCACCCCCACAGUUCAGACACCAGGCCUGAUUUGCUUCCAUUGAAAUCAGAGGGGCCAUAAAAAGGCCAAGUGCCCUAGGUUGUCAGCAGCACCGGUGGUGGCGCCGACUCCAGCGACAGCACGAGUUGCGGAUGGCUAGAAGGUCAAGGCAGAGGCUCCAAUGGUGCGGAGCCAAGCAUUUCAGUUGGCAGCCGAAGAGGCACGCGCCACACCCGAUGUGGUGACUGGUAUGAUUUCUUAUCUCUAAACUUUUAUAUUAUGUCGUUGUGAUUUUGAUAUGUUAUGUUAUGUUAUGUUAUGUGCAAUGUUCAGGAUCGUUCCAUGUGAAUGGUAUUCCAGUUCAGGUGUUUUUUGAUUCGGGUGCUACCCGAUCAUUUGUCUCUCUUGUGCUUAGCAAGAGGUUUCAUGAGUCCUCGGGCAUGUUGGAUUGCCCUCUAGAGGUCGAGAUUGCAGACGACCAGUCAGUGCGAGCAUCAGAGGUUUUCAGGGAUUGUGUUUUCAGAUUGUUCGACGAGCGCUACUUGGUAGACUUGGUUCCCAUACCUUUGCGGGGGAACAAGAUUAUUAUAAGCAUGGAUUGGCUAAGCCCCAAUGGGGCGGUGAUUGACUGUGCGCAACAGUUGGUGCGGAUCAGGACCCCAAGUGGGGGAGAGCUGGUGAUUCAGGGCAAGAGGCCAUAGCGAGGACCAACCUUUUGUUCAACAACGAGGGUUAAGCGCUACCUCCAGCAGGGUUGCGCAAGAUAUGUCACCUAUGUUAUGGAUACUCGGGAGGAGGGUAAGGUGACGGUGGGCGAUGUGCUAAUGGUACGAGAGUUCACGGAUGUAUUUUUUGGAUUAGUGUCUAAGUCCAUAACUAUUUUGGUAUGUACUUGACCCGAUGGUGCAUGGUCCUUUUGGGUUGCCUUCACCAAAGCAACUUGAUUGGAGAAAUAAAUAAAGAGAGAGGUUAUUAUGGUUUAUUAAUAUGUUAUAAGAAUAAUAUAUUAAAGGAGAAAUCAUAUUUGUUUAAUUAAUAUUGGUCAAUAAUUAAUUAAGAAUUAAUUUUGUGAUCAAGUGUAAUUAAUUAAACUAGAGGGGCUGAAUUGUAAUUAUGUGAUAGUUACAAAAUAAGGUAAGGAUUAUCUUAUUAAUAGGUUGGACGAAUUUAAGGUGAUAAGGCCUUAGAAUUCGACUAGGAUAAGGGUUUUCAAGGCUUAUCUUAUGGUUACUUGAUGGGCAAGCAACUAGAUAAGGAUAAGGACUAAAACCCUAAUCUCUACACCUAUAUAAAGACCCCAAGGCUCAUGAAUUCGGCCAUGCCUUCCCAAGAGGUCCUAGAGACGAAUUCUUAUACCUCUCCUCUAUCUUUAUACCUUCUCCAUUUGCUCUUGGUGUUUGUAAGCCAUUAGAGGAGUGACACUUGUGACUCUAAGCCUUCCAAAGUCAAUUCAAGGAGGAAUUGGGAUUGUUAUUACUACAUAACAAUCAAGUUAACAUCUUAAACCUAAUUAUAUGUUAAUAUCGAUUUCCAUAUGCUAGAAUUAGGGUUUAUAGUCUUGGAUUCAAAGCAUGUACAAUAGAGAAACCUAGAUCCAAGCAUUAGGGUUUGUAUGAGCACAUAGGAUGUCUUAUGACCAAAACCCAUCAGUGGUAUCAGAGCCUAGACUGGUUUCAAUUGUAUUGAUGCAUUACAUGUUCAAAAAAUUCGAUUUUUGAUGUUCUGGAGGCUGGACUCGCCGAGUCCAUAGCUGAACUCGCCGAGUCCAUGCAGACUCGACGAGUCCAAGCUUGACUCGACGAGUCAACUCGUCAGAUGGAGUAUAUCUCGAGAUUUCUUGCUGUUUUUGCUUUGGGAUAGUUACCUUAUCAUAUUAGAUCAAUAUAAAUCCGAUUUUAUGAUAUAUUUGACUAUAUUCUUGAUCUAAUUGAAGAUAUUUAUCAAUUAAUAAGAUAAUUGUUUCCUUAUGUGAUAAUUGAUUAAUUAUUUUGACUAAAUUGAUAAAUUGUUUUGCAAGAAAUCAUUAAAUAAAUCAAAUAUGGAUAAUUAUGUGAUUAAAUGUUAAUUUAGAUUAUUUGUUAUUUGAUCCUUGUUGUUAUGAAAAGUUUCAUAUUUUCCCCUUUAGGUUUUAUAGUUUAAAUUUGAACCCAAAAGUUUUGUUGUUUUGAAAUUUAAAUAGUUAAAACCCUAAUGUUUUGAAAAAGGUUUCAAAACUUGCCCUCAAGUUUUGGAAUUUAAAUUUUGAUUAAAUGGUUUAAUUUUGAUGUAUAUUUAAAUUCUAAACCCUAAUGUGUUGAAAUGUUUCAAAACUUGCCCUCAAGUUUUGGAAUUUAAAAGUUGAUUAAAAGUUUAAUUAGGAAUGUUAAAUUCUAAAACUCUAGUAUAGUUUUGAAAAAGUUCAAAUCACACCCUUAUGGUUUUAUUAAUUAAUUAAGGUGUAUAAUUAAAAGAGGUUUAAUAAAUCCAUAAAAGUUUAGGUUUACAAUUUAAUUGAAUUAAAAGUAUAAUUGUUAAAUUAGACCACCUAGUAUUUUGAAAGUAUAAAAUACACCCUAUACUAUAUAUAACAUUAAAAGUCUAACAUUAUAUAUAUGUAUGAGUAAAAGUCAGUCUUACCGUUAGUAGGCCUCAUUCACGAAGCUGGUCUAUAAGGGGUGUUUAAGGAAAUUGCCUAUAAAAUGGCGAUUGAAUGGGUAUCCACUCUUACCCACCGCACUCUUGACUAGUGGAGGGUCGUUAGCCGAACGGGUAGGAUAGGACGAAACCUUCCAUUAUAAGUAUAAUGAAUUAUUAAAGUAACUAAAUGUUUUCAUAAAAUUCCCAAUCUUAGUUACUUAGGCAAAAGUGAAUUGAUGCAAUUCCAUGAAAUUACACUUUGUGCCCUUGCGAAGACGUUAGUGGAGCGUGUGUGGUUUACCGGCACACUAAAUGGUUCUAAGCAAAGGUAGCAAAGGGUGACUCAAUGUUUGUCAUAGUUCGGUGGAGCGUGUGUGGUUUACCGGCACAUCGAAUAGGUGACUGUAACAUGUGAGGGCACCAUGUAAGUUUGCAUGGUUAUUCACACCCGCUUUGUGAUCCUCGGCAUCCCAGUCACAAACAAGAGGGGCAUAUCGAGAUUUAAACAUGCCAUUGAAAGUUCAAUGAAUCUCAAAGGAUCUAGGAGUUUUCAUAGAUUUAAAACUUAAAUUUCUUUUUCGUUUUUCAUGGUGGAAAUUAGUGAAUCGUCAUUCACUUACCUUCAAAUAUUCUGCAAUUAGGGUUACGGCAUCCCUCUCCCGAGUUGUAGAAUAUUGUGUUGGGUCCUAGCCUUAGUAUCUCAUUUGGGUGAUUUACUAAGGACUCAAUCAAUCAACUAACUUGAAUUCGUUUUCUCCCGUUUUGUAGAUGUCAAAGUUCGACAACUAUGGUCUUCCCAAAUCCCGUGGAACAAGCAUUCCACAUGAAGAUGAUAUUCCACGAUUCGAUCGAGGAACAAGAAAUCAUGCUUCACUUCCUCCUCCUCCUCCAAUUAUUCUCCCUAACCCACAAGUUCAAAGGCUUGAAAAGUUCAAGAUCACUCAAGCCCUUUUGGCAAGUAAACAUAAAGAAGGAAAGUCGGUGUGUGCACACGUCCUAGGGAUGAAGUCACACAUUGAUAGGUUAAGAAUGUUGGGAUCCGUUGUCUGUGAGGAAAUGGCUGUUGAUUGGGUUCUUCAGUCACUUCCUAACUCAUAUAGUGAGUUCGUAAGAGAGUACUAUAUGAUGAACCGCGACGUGACCCUUAUAGAUCUCACCUAUAUGCUUAUUGCUGCUGAAUCAGCAAUGGUUUGGCGCAAUAGAAAAGCAAAGUUGAUUGGUGAAUCUGCCUUCAAGACCUCUAUGGAUAUAGACAAUGGCAACGAAAGACAUGCUAUGAUCGAAAAGUUUGAUCAUAAGAGAAAGGCAAUGUCUGAAGUAGUUCCAUGUCAUGUUCCAAAAGAGUCAAUUUGCUUUUAUUGCCAAGAGAAAGGGCAUUGGAGACGAAGCUGCCCCAUUUACCUAAGAGAUCUAAGAGAUGGGAGAGUCGAAACGUAUGGCUCUAAUAUAGGUAAAAUCCAUUAACUAACUCUUUUAAGCUUCUAUUCUAGAUUCUUAAUACAUAAUGUGAUAAGAUUACAAUUGAUGUUUUGUAGGAUCGAAGAAAAGAAAGGAAGCUUAAGGGAAGAAGUGAGCAGAAUCUAACCGUGAAGGAAUGGAUUUCGAUCGCAUUUCUCGAAGAUUAGAUUCUUGAGCUACUACUUAGAGUUAGAAUUAGAUUGCUAAGAAAGAUGUAUUAGCAUAGUUUUUCAAUGAAUUGCAUUGUAAGGACAAAUUUUUUCCGCAAUAAAAUAAAUUUUGAUUUUAUAUUAUUUAUUUAUCCUUGCAAUGGCGUAUAUGAAAAAUUGAUGUUUGAAUGUUUCUAUUAUUAGCAAUAAUGGAUUUGGUUCUUAUUAUGUUAUUUAUGGAAAGUCGAGAGUUUACCAAAUAGGGAGAGUUUCUCAUCGCCCAAGUUUCAAUUGGACAGAAACUUGGAAUCAUGCAACUUGGUUGCACGAUGAAUGAGAAAUUUCAUAUUUGGAAAUUAGACUAAUUCAUUGACAAAGUGUCAAGUGAAGGACUAGGAGAUCGAGUACACAAAGUUGCGUGUUGAUCAAGUCCACCAUAAGAGUAACAAAGAUAUUCGUCAUGAUUUACUAAAGGUUUAGUAAAUAUGAUUAUACUUACAAGAUUAAGUGUAAUUCUGAAUUGAUUGAAAAAGUUUAAAUCAAUAGCAGAACGAAUAAGAAGAAUCAAGUAGGCAGAAAGAUAAAAGUUUCUCCAUUCUAAGAAGAAGGGAGAGUAGCUUUUAUGCUUUAUGAUAGGUCUUAAUGAUUAAGAACCAUAUCUCAAUUGAUCCUCUAAGUGAGUCUUAGUACAAUUGUAUGUCUAAGAAGAGGAAUCAAGAAUUGAAGAAAUGGUUAAAUCAAGAAGUCAAUCAUACUUCGUUCCAAAACAAGUCUUAGAGUUAAGAUUGUGACAUUGAGUGAAAAGUAUUAAGAAGGUUUAUAACAUUCAUCAAAUGUGGAAAGUUGUGAUGUCUUGGAUAAGACAAAGACCAACUAGGACCAAUUUAUGAAGUGUUUUGAUAAAAACUACACUAACUCUUGAAUAUUUGUUUGUCAAGAAAUGUUUAUUGACAAGAGAAUCUUAUAUGUCAAGGAGUCAGUGGGAGUCUUAAUGGUCUUGAAAGGUUUCAAGAACAAAUCAAAUAAACCUUAUCGAUCAUCACUAGCACACGAGUUGAGGUUUACAACCUAUCGUGUUGACAUUAUUUUGUUUCUGUGCCAAUCCAAUCGAGUUAAUUAUGCAUGUGAGUUCUAUGAGUUCUCAUUUUGAACGCAUAAAAGGCAAAGCACCUUAAUCAAUGAAAGGUACAUUGAUAGGAAAGGGUGAGCUGCUUAACUACUUGGAAGACAUGGUGGGCAGCUGUGCUACCAUAAGGCAAGAAAUCAAGAUUAAGAAAGUUCGGUCCAUAUGAGUUUGAAUUUGUCGUAAACUUUGGUUUUAACAAAUUCACAUGGAUAGGAACACAUACACCGUUUAAAUCUAAGUGUCAUAAGAUUUCCUCCUUCAUGAAAAUGAUUGUGAGGAAAUGCUUUCACUAAGAAAGAUUUUAAGAAGAUAGUGAUUGUAAAAUUGCAUUCUCGAAUUCGAUUAUGGUUACGGUAUCCCUUUCCAUAAUUUGAAUUGUGAGGUUUGGCAAUUAGUCUUAAUUGUUUAGACACACAUAUGAACUAUCGAAGGCAAAGGUGUAUAAGUUCAAGAAGCCUUGAUAAAGGAUUAUCAAAGCACUAAGUAUUAGAAACAUGAACUUAAGAAAUUCAAUAAGUAUUGUUUUUCUGAAAGUUAAGAUGUUUAUGAAUACAUGUCGAAGCUAGUGGGAGCAUAAGUGUUAUGUUUUAUAAUAAUCAUCAUGAUAGUGGGAGCAUAAAUGUUAUGAUUGUAUGAUUAUUAAGGCACGUAUUGCAAGUUGGCAAUAUUAAUUAUAGAAAACAAGAGUUAUACCUUGCAAAGUCGUAAGGGUUGUAAAGUUGUUUUGCUAUAAUUAAGGGAGAGAAUAUUAUGCUUCAUUUCAAAUCUAAAGGAUUAGGUUGAGAAAUGUUAAUAAAUUUAGUCAAGGGUACAUAGUGUGUUCUUAAAAUUUCGAUUAUGAUUACGGCAUUCCUCUUCACAAUUCGAAUUUUGAGAACAUAGCAAAUAAAACAUUAUGCGUCGUGUCCCAUACGCUUCGGGUAUAGGAUCGAUUGCAAAUGCUUUAAUGUUUGACCAUUCUAAAAUUUUCCAAAUGUCGAGCGCAUUUAGAGGGAAAAGGGACUAGAAUUGGUUUUGACUAAAAUAAUUAAACAACUAUCAAAGGACAAUCCAAAGUUCGACGAGGAUUGGUCGCUUGUGAGUAGUUGGAAGUAUAGUAUUGGAAAAUAUGGAAAUGUUUCCAUAUUGGAUGGACCAUAUCGACAUCAUUACGAAUAGAUAAGAUUCUAUUAAGAAUGAGUUGUCAUAUGGAACAUAUGGAAGUGUGUCCAUAUUGGGAAUUGAAUAUUGAGAAAUCUAUGACUAGAUUAGAAACUUCUAUGCAAAAGGAUGUUCAAAGAAUGUACUUUGAGUGAGAGACAUCACGUCUAUGGAAUUGUCUUGUAACAAUCUCCGAUAGAGGACUUUGUAAUAUCAUUGGCAAUAGUCUUUGUGACUUUGGUGCAGUGACAUUACGAAAGGAUAGUUGCAUAGAAUGUUAGAAUCUAGCAUAUUCUAUAAGUAGCAAGAAUUUGAUAUUCUUUAACUUAUGAAAAACGGAUUUGGAGUUGUGAAAUGAGAAGGAUUGGAAAUGUGUUCAAUGUGAUCUAUUUCACAAAGUAAGAACCAUAGGUAAACAUUGUGUGCAUGCUAGGAGCAUGGGACAAGUGUUGGAAUUCAAGUAAGAAGUUGAUUACCCGAAACGACAAAUAAUGAGUAAUCAAUAUGGUGAUAAAUAAAAGGUGUUUUAUUUAUACUCAAAGGUUUGAGGCCAUAUGGGAUUAGUAUUAUUCUUGUGUUUCACAUUUGCAUGUUUUGACUUCCAGAAUAAUUGAGUUUAUUAAGAAUAAUCGAAUUAUUCAAACGGGCCACAGUCGUUCAUAUGUUGGAAGUAGAUAUGAAUGAAGACUGUCGUGAAUUGGUGUGUGGAUUGUCUAAAAGAGUAUUAGACAUAAGCAAAUGUUUGCUGCAACGUUCAUGAGUGCUUAUGAAUGUGAUUUGAGCAUUGGAUUAAACCCACGCUCACUUGGAUCACUCCAUGAAUUGUAUCACGAGUGAUUGGUGAGACGAUAACAUCUUAUAUUCUUGAAACCGAGAUGUGUGAGUUGUAUCUUGCAAAUCGGUUGCACAUUGAUAAUAUGUAAACGCACUAGUAACUUGGUGUUAUAAAACAUAUUGUUGUGUGUGAUUCGGUGAGUGAGUGCAAGCAAGCAUUGUAUCAAAGUUUAUCCGUUCCUUUUAUCCAAAGUAGGAUAAAAGCGAUAUCUUUGGGCCCCUCGAUGGUUUAGUGAUGACAAACGUAAAUGCUCGGCCGGGCUAGGGCUAAUUUGAUUUGUUCAAUUAGUCAGUCGUCAUAAAUCGGAAAUCGAGAUAUAGUACAAAGAGAAUGAUUUGAAAUCAUAUCUCAUAUGAUAUCUAGAAUGGAGGAAUAUAUGAUCCCUUAUCUAAGGACACGCGUAUCUGAUAUGAUCAGAGUUGACAGCGGCUUUGGAAAGCUACGAUUGCAGAUCGGGAUCCGAAGUCAUACGCAGAAUAGUUGUUAGACUUAUCCAAGUGGGAGACUGUUGGAUUAGUGUCUAAGUCCAUAACUAUUUUGGUAUGUACUUGACCCGAUGGUGCAUGGUCCUUUUGGGUUGCCUUCACCAAAGCAACUUGAUUGGAGAAAUAAAUAGAGAGAGAGGUUAUUAUGAUUUAUUAAUAUGUUAUAAGAAUAAUAUAUUAAAGGAGAAAUCAUAUUUGUUUAAUUAAUAUUGGUCAAUAAUUAAUUAAGAAUUAAUUUUGUGAUCAAGUGUAAUUAAUUAAACUAGAGGGGCUGAAUUGUAAUUAUGUGAUAGUUACAAAAUAAGGUAAGGAUUAUCUUAUUAAUAGGUUGGACGAAUUUAAGGUGAUAAGGCCUUAGAAUUCGACUAGGAUAAGGGUUUUCAAGGCUUAUCUUAUUGUUACUUGAUGGGCAAGCAACUAGAUAAGGAUAAGGACUAAAACCCUAAUCUCUACACCUAUAUAAAGACCCCAAGGCUCAUGAAUUCGGCCAUGCCUUCCCAAGAGGUCCUAGAGACGAAUUCCUAUACCUCUCCUCUAUCUUUAUACCUUCUCCAUUUGCUCUUGGUGUUUGUAAGCCAUUAGAGGAGUGACACUUGUGACUCUAAGCCUUCCAAAGUCAAUUCAAGGAGGAAUUGGGAUUGUUAUUACUACAUAACAAUCAAGGUAACAUCUUAAACCUAAUUAUAUGUUAAUAUCGAUUUCCAUAUGCUAGAAUUAGGGUUUAUAGUCUUCGAUAACUUGCAUGUACAAUAGAGAAACCUAGAUCCAAACAUUAGGGUUUGUAUGAGCACAUAGGAUGUCUUAUGACCAAAAACCCAACAGUAUUCCCUAGGGAUCUUCAGGAAUUGCAUGAUAAAAUUUCCUGACUUCAUGAUGCCUGCUAGCCUAGGGUUUUCCUUAUAUGAAAUUGACAUCAUUAUUAUAGUUACUUGUGUGUGUAUCACGGUCAUAUGUAAUUAAGAUCUUAUAGCCUGAUAUUGUUUGAUUUGGCCUUUUGUUUUGUUCUUGGUUGAUUGGGAUCUUAGGGUAGGAUUGGAUAUUUGGAAGUCUAUAGGGUCCAGCAUUAUGUAUGGCUAGCACACACUAAUGUUGUAGGGUUGGUGGAAGUUUCGUGGGUGGAUAGGUUGUUUGGGACGAGUCCACUGACUUCGAGGCAUUUAGCCUUCCUUUAGGAGUGAGGCUUGUGUGCUCGAUAUGAUUAUGUGUAUUGUUAGUGUUCGAUUAAUGUCUAAGUCCAUAACUAUAAUUGGUAAGACUUGACCCGGCUCGACAUGGUCCAUUUGGGUUGCAUGGCAUCAUGCAUUUGGAUAGACUAUAAUGAGAGAAAUAACACUUAAGGUUGUUAAUAUAUUAUAAGUUCUAAUAUAUUAAUAAGAUUAUUUAAUUAGUAUUGAUCAAGAAUUAAUCUAGGAUUAAUUAAAUGAUCAAAAGAAGACUAAUUAAAUAUAUGGGUUGAUUGUGUUAAUCAUCCAUACUUAUAUAGUGGGCUAAUGCUCCAUGGAUUGUCAAGUUGGGCUAAAUCCCAUAAGAUGCUCCAUGGUGUAUUUGUACCCAUGGAUCAUGGAAAUGAAAGGCCAUGAAAAUUAGGGUUUACAUGGUGUAACCCAAACUAUAUAAUGAUCUUAUUCUUGGAGAAAAUUAGCUACUAUGAGAUAUAGAAAGGGCUAGCCGAUUUUAUGAAGUGUUCCAUUUUCUCUCAAGUCAUUCCAUGUGCAUUUGGUGUUGUGUGAACCAUUUGAGGUGUCACACUUGGGGCACUAGGCACUCAAGAUUCAUGAAGACAAUCUACAUCAAAGAGGUAUGUAAUUCCAACUUAAUAUAUUCAUCUGAAUCAAUGUUAUUAUGCUAGUUAGGAUGAAUACCUUGGAAAGUUCAUAUUUUCAUGUAUAAUAGAGAAAACAUAGAUCCAAGGUAUUUAGGGUUGCAUGUACACUUAGGAGUGUUAGAAUGCUCGUAACCCAACAGUGGUAUCAGAGCCUAGGCUUGCUUUCUCUUAUACUUGACGCAAAUGUGUUUUUUGAAAGUUGAAUCUGUCCAAAACAUAAAACUCGACGAUUUUAUGCCAAAAACUCGACGAGUUCUUCAUGUUGGGCAUGAGCUCGACGAGUUUCUCAAGGAACUCGACGAGUUUUGGCCCCUGACAGCUUGUUGUUUGCUGUUUUGGCUGGAAUUGGACUAGGAACAUUACCCUAAGCUGUUUUUGACCUUAUAAACUUGUUUUUGAUGUGGUAAUGUUCAUGCUAAUCCAAUUUCAAAGAUAAUUGUCAAUAGAUUCAUGUUUUGUAUUAGUUUAAAAGUUAUGCUAAUUACAUGNAAUUACAUGAAUGGUUUGAUGUGAAUUAUCUUUGUUCAUAUGAGUUGCUUAGAUUAAUAGAUAGGUUAAUUGAUUAUGUGUUUUCAAUCCAUUUUAAUCUAAGAGUUUAUUCUAAAAUGUAUUUUUGUAACUUGUCCUCAAGUUAUAUGAAAAGUCACAUUUAAGUUUCAUAAAACUCAUAAAAAGAUUGGCAAUGGUUACAAAAAUGAAGAGUUUUGUCCUCAAGCUAUGGAGGUUCAAGUGUCACUUCAUUAAGUAACAAAAUGUGUAACCUUAAUUAAUUUCAUAAGUUACAAAAUAAAGAAAAGUUACAUUCUUUUAUUAGUUUAAAGUCUUCCAUAACUUGUCCUCAAGUUAUGGAACUUGAAGAGUUUUUUAAUUAAAACUAAUUUAAACACAUAAGUUAUGGAAUUAAUUAGUUUUGAAUAGUUUCAAAACGUGCCCUCAAAUUUUGGAAUUUGAAAAGUUUUCACUUAUGAAUUCCAAGUUAGCCCUUAGAAUUUUAAAAGUUAAAAUUCAACCCUUAUACUUUAUAAUAUUAUAAGUUAAUAUAUAUAUAUAUAUAUAUAUANNNNNNNNNNNNNNNNNNNNNNNNNNNNNNNNNNNNNNNNNNNNNNNNNNNNNNNNNNNNNNNNNNNNNNNNNNNNNNNNNNNNNNNNNNNNNNNNNNNNNNNNNNNNNNNNNNNNNNNNNNNNNNNNNNNNNNNNNNNNNNNNNNNNNNNNNNNNNNNNNNNNNNNNNNNNNNNNNNNNNNNNNNNNNNNNNNNNNNNNNNNNNNNNNNNNNNNNNNNNNNNNNNNNNNNNNNNNNNNNNNNNNNNNNNNNNNNNNNNNNNNNNNNNNNNNNNNNNNNNNNNNNNNNNNNNNNNNNNNNNNNNNNNNNNNNNNNNNNNNNNNNNNNNNNNNNNNNNNNNNNNNNNNNNNNNNNNNNNNNNNNNNNNNNNNNNNNNNNNNNNNNNNNNNNNNNNNNNNNNNNNNNNNNNNNNNNNNNNNNNNNNNNNNNNNNNNNNNNNNNNNNNNNNNNNNNNNNNNNNNNNNNNNNNNNNNNNNNNNNNNNNNNNNNNNNNNNNNNNNNNNNNNNNNNNNNNNNNNNNNNNNNNNNNNNNNNNNNNNNNNNNNNNNNNNNNNNNNNNNNNNNNNNNNNNNNNNNNNNNNNNNNNNNNNNNNNNNNNNNNNNNNNNNNNNNNNNNNNNNNNNNNNNNNNNNNNNNNNNNNNNNNNNNNNNNNNNNNNNNNNNNNNNNNNNNNNNNNNNNNNNNNNNNNNNNNNNNNNNNNNNNNNNNNNNNNNNNNNNNNNNNNNNNNNNNNNNNNNNNNNNNNNNNNNNNNNAGUUCAAUGAAUCUCAAAGAUCUAGGAGUUUCAAAUCCAAUUAAAACCUAAUAAUUCAUUUCGUUUAUCUUGGUGGAAAUUGGUGAAUCGUCAUUCACCUACCUUCAAAUAUUUUAUAGCUUGGAUUACGGCAUCCCUCUUCCAAGUUAUAAAAGUAUUGUGUUGGGUCCUAGCCUUAAUAUUUCAUAUUGGGUGUUAUAUUAAGGACUUUAAAUCAACUAUCUUGAAUAUCUCCCAAAUAGAUGUCUGGUUUAGACAUUUAUGAUCUUCCCAAAUCUCUUGAUACAAGCUUUCCUAAAUGAAGAUGAUGUCCCAUGGAAAUCAUACUUCUUUCACCUCCUCCAAAUUAUUCUCCCUAACCCACAAGUUCAAGGCCACUCAAGACCUAUUGGCAAGGCAACAUCUAGGUGUGAUCACAUCUUGGAGAUGUAGUCACAUAUUGACAACCCGGGAGAGUUGGGUGUCAAAGUCUUGAGAAAGUUGGUGGUUCUAUCACUUUCUAAGUGACAUAGUGAGUUCCUCUGGGACUCCUAUGAAACAGAAUAUGAGAAGACCCUUAAUGAUCUUAUCUAUUUGCUAAGAUCAACUUCCCAAAACUUUAUGGAUAUUGACAAUGUGACAUUGGAUACCUAGUAAAGCUCUCUCUUCCCAAUGAAAAAGGAUCGGCCAUAGUCAACUCGGUUGACCAAAUGGUAAAAGGAAAGGCUAAGUCUGUGAUAGUCCCAUGUUCCAUUACCAAAGCGUCCAUAUGUUGAAUUGCCAAAGGAAGGGGCAUUGGUUGCGAAGCUGCCAAUUUACCUAAGGGUGUUAAAGUCAAUAAGUUUGACUCUACUUCAGGUAAAUUCCACUAUCUAACUCUGCUAAUUUUCUAUUAUGAGAUUCUUGAUACAUGAUGUGACUGGGUCACAUGGUGAUGUUUUAAGAAUCAAAGAAAAGUGAAGGAACUUAAAGAAAGAAUAUGUUGAAUCUGAUCACGUAGAUGGAUUUCUAUCGUAGAGUUUGAAGAUCGGAUUCUUGAGCUACUUCUUAGGAGUUAUGAGAUAUUGCUUAGGAAUAGAUAACAACAAGUUUUCAUAUGGAUUGUAAGGAUGAGUUUUUUCCUCAAAGUUUUAAAAUAAACGGAAAAUUUUUAUUUUAGUUAUUUUAUGUAUCCUUACAAUGGCGUUAGUGGAAAAUUGUUGCUUAUAAGAUUCCACUGAUAGCAAUAUUGGAAGGGGAAUUUUAUUAUUUCAUUUGUGGUAAUGUCUAAAUUUACCAAAUAAGGAAAGAUUCUCGUCACCCAAGGUUUCAAUUGGACCGAGACUUGGAAUCGUGCAAGUUGUAUAGCAUGAUGGAUGAGAACUUUCAAGCAUUGGAAAAAAUUAAGACUAACUACUUGUUCACAUGGAUGUGUGAGUCAAGUAACAGAAUAAGGGAUCGAGUACACAUUCUUGUGCACUGAUUAAGUCCACCACAAAAGGUCGAUAAGACUAUUCGUCAUGAUUUAGUUAAGUUCAGUAAAUAUGGUUAUACUUACAAGUUUAAGUAUAAUUCUGAAACAUUGGAAAAGUUUCAACGUAAGGUAGAACGAAUAAGAAGAGUCAAAUUAGGCAGAAAGAUAAAAGUUUCUCAAAUCUGAAAAGAUGGGAGAGUACUUUAGUAUCAUUUUUUGUGAUCAUCUUGAUGAUUAAGAAACCAUAUCACAAUUGGUCUUCUGAGGACAUCUUAGUGCAUUCUUAUGGCUAAGAAGAGGAGUCAUGAAUGGUUGAAGUGGUUAAAUCAAGAAGAUGAUUCAUACUUCAUUCCAAAAACAAUUCUUAGAGUCAUACUCUAAAAUUGUAAAUUGAGUGACAUGUCUUAAAGAAGGUCUAGAACACUUGUAAAAUGUAAGAGUAAAAGUUUUCUACUCUUGUACAUUUGAAAUUGGUAAGUUGUGAUGUUUUGGAUAAAACAAAGACCAACUAAGGCCAAUUGUGUGAAGUGUUUGUUGUGAUUAGAAUCCACACUAUCUCCUAAAUAUUUGACAAGUGAGUCUUAUAUGUCAAGAGGACAUUGGGAGUCUUAAAGGUAUUGAAAGUCUCAAGAACUAAUCAAGAAUACAACCUGAAGUUCUUCACUAGCACAUGACUUGAGGUUUAUAACCUAUCGUGUUGACAUAUGUGACAACCCGAAAUUUCUAUUUUGUACAAGAUGUCAAUUCAAUAGAAGUCAAAACAGUUUCUGGAAACUUUCAAGCUUUUUGGAAUAAGUUUGAGUAUUUUAGGAUUAACCACUUAGGAGAUAUCAGGAGAGAGGAUGCCCUAGGGUUUAUUGUGCAACAAUAAAGUCCCGACACAUCAAAAGCUUAGAGUUUACGGCCAAAACAAGGAGUUUACGGCCAUAAACCCUAACUGAAAGAGGUAUAAAGGUGACACUUAGUUAUUUUUACCAUUUUUCCAACUUUCAAGAACAAAAACUCAAACUCUCUCAAGUAUCAUCCAAAGAAUUCUUCAAGAUCUUCAUCUAGUAAGUGUUUCUAGCCCUUUUAAGUCAGUAUAUCACUUAACCUAGUGAUUUAACACACUUCUAUCCAUCAAAUCUUUCCAAAAGGUUGAUUCUUCAAGUUUCACCAAGAACACACACUAGUGUUCUUGGACUUUUGGACCUUUUUAAAGAUUCUAACUAGUAAGUACUUCUAUCCUAGAGUAUCAUAAGGCUUAUUACACUUCUUUACAUCAAGAAAACACCAUUGAAACCCAAGAUCAAAGGUGUUUACGGUCCAAGAACACCUUGGACCGUAAACCCUAAUUUAGGGACCAAAGUGACCCUAGUCCCUUCACAAGCUUUGGAAACUAGUCUAGACUCAUUCCUUUAUAUGUUUAGGACUUGAAAACAUCAAAGUACCAUAAUCCAUAAGGGUUUACGGUAGUAAACGCAAAAGAAAAUGAUCUUAGGGCCGUAAACUCCUCAAAGGAGGGAAAUGGUGCCCUAAUCUCUUCCAAGGGCUUAACCAUCAAGUAGAAAUGCUUCUAAAGACUGUUAGAACUUAAAAACAACACAUGGUCAAAGGAUCAUGAGUUUACGACCGUAAACUCAAUGAGUUAUGGUCAAAAAACCGUAAACUCAUGUAAGGGGUUCCCUUGAACCCUAAACUCAAUAGCAAUGUCCUACAACACUUCGAUGCAAUCCUUAGCACUUAUAACACCUAUAUAAGGUGUUUAACAUGCCCUAGGAUGUCUUAACUUUAUUAUUUAGUUGUUUAAAGACUAAUUGGAUACAUAUAUGUGUUAUUAUAUGUUAACCAGGAUCAUUGUGUAUGUACAAGUCUUCACUUGACACUUAUAAUCCUACAUGAGUCCGUUCAUCCAAGCUACUCAUUUCAGGUGAGUUCAUACCCCUUAAUUAAUCUUUUAAAUGUUUUUAAAUGUUUCUAAAUGCCUUAUGGGGGGAUACAAGUUGAAUCAUGUUUAAUUUUUAUAAUAAUCACAUGUUAUUGAUAACUAGCAUGCAAAUGGAUUUACUAUACGUUAACUGUUUUACCAAACAGAUAUCUUCAAAUGACUUCCUUAAACAUUUUAACAUGUUUAAAACUCUUUAUGAAACUGUCUUACAAAUUGUAUGUUUCCUUUCAAAAUCUGUUACAGUCGUGUUUCAAACAAAGGUUUUUCUUACACUUAAUCCGUCUUGUCAAACUGUUCUCAAAGCGUUUUAUAAACUGACAUCAAGUCAUAAAUUCUUAUUUAUUAAACUUUUCGAAAGGUUUUACAAAACUUCUUUUAUACUUUUAUAUUAGUUAUAUAUUAUGUAUACCUAUAUAGACAUAAAAGUUCCAUCAGUUAGUUCAGUUCCAACACUCUUGGGUAGCAAGGGUGUAUAAACCUACUUGAACACUCAACUUAAAUUCUAGUAAACUAUUAUAGGUAUAGUUUAUGAGAUACAAAACAUUAUUCCUAAUACAAGGAAUCACACCAGAUUCAAUUCAUUCAUGAGUCUAUACUACAUCAAUAGGAGGAGAUACUUUUACAUAGAUACAUCAAUGUGAAGAGAUACUUUUACAUAGAUACAUCAAUAUGAGGAGAUACUUUUGCAUAGAUACUAUAUGAUAAGAUACUAUUACAUAUUAUAUGUGUAGAUAUUAUUAUAUUACUAAUUUACUUUGUGAGACAUUCACAUAAAUGAUGAGGUAGAUUAGAUCUGUCUAUCCUAGUACCAAAGGAUACUGUAAGGGACUAACAAUUCCUACACCCAGCUGUUAGCCACAGUGGUAAAUGCACAUCUACGGAUGUCUAUGGUAGAUACCAUUAUAGGUAUACUUUAAGGUACUAACUAUUCCUACACCCAACUGUUCGCAACAGAGGUAAAUGCACAUCUACGGAUGUCUACGAUUAAUACUAUUCGAUAAUUCCUAUGUCGUGUUUAUCCAAGUACCAAAGCAUAAUACUUAAGUUAUUUAUAUUAUUACCAUUAUUUUGUGAUACAUUCACAUAACCGAUGAGGUAAAGUAUAUUUGAGUAUCCUAGUACCAAAGGAUACAAUUUCUUAGGUUUGAAUAAUAAUAGUUGUACCAGGUAAAACCUGAACCUAUGUAGAGGUUCAUACUUUCAAAACGUCCGGGUCUUGGUAGAAGACUACCUUUUAUACUAGUAGGAAAUAUGGGAUUUUCUAGGGUUUUUCACACUUAUACUAAAUGUUUCAUUAAACAUUCACCAGGCUUUCAUAACAACUUUUCAAAGCUAUGACAUUAAAAUACUUAUGAAUUCACCAGAUUUAUUGCUGAUACUCACUUUCAAAAGAACUUGUAUUCUCAGGUCACAAUUAGAUAGGUACCAAUGCAAGGUUAGAGAAGACGGAGCAGUCAAGACUCGUCUUUUAUUUUGAGUAUUCAUUAUGUUGUGUUAUAUUGUGAAAGAACACACUUAUAAGCAAAAUUAUUCUAUUAAUGCAAUGGAUGAUGUUGUUGCUUGUUUCCUACUUUACAUUGUUGUGAUACAUCACAUGUCGUCCUCCGCCCCAGAACGUUUCCGCCGUUCUCGGUUUUGGGAUGUGACAGACUGUUAUCAGAGCAUUGUUUAUAGUGAAUUGAGUAUAUCAACCCAUAAAAGAUAUACUAACUAUAAAUACAAUGGGAUUAAAAUACUCUGACCAAGAGUUUAUAUUUUUAAAUCACAAAAUAUUUAAUUAAGUAUACGUGCCUGCAUUCAUACUAAAAUCAGUGUCACAAUGACAAGAACAAAAGUAUUACGAUUGUUGAAUAUCACAAGUAAGCUUAAGGAUGUAUGGUCAGUCCUGGGAGUAGCAUAGCCUGAUCAACUAUGCUGGUCCGAGGAGUGAUUAGCAUAUGCCCAAGAAUGGUUGUGAUGUGGUAACAAGUCUAAAAACUUACCAACACAACCACAAUGAAAUACCAUAGGGGUAUUUAGUGUUACUGUAAUUACUUAUUUGAGAACUAAAUAGAUUUUUAUUAGUAUGUCAAUAGUUUUUUAGUUGAUACACUAAGUUUAUAUGUACUAGGAUGUCAUAGACUUAGAAUCUGUGGAUCUUUGCUUUAUGUCCUGUCCUCGUUGGGUUGGGGGCUUAGGGCUAGGGUCACUUAUUCGAAGGUCUAUCCUAUCCUAACUACAUAUAACUGGUAUGCACUAAACAAGUAUUGAAGCAACUGAUAAAGAUCAUCUUAUAAUUAUCUUAGUUAGUUCGUCUAUUUAGUUAGUUCUUAUUAUCCCUUUUCUCGCAUAGAUAUCAUGGUUGGAUUCCAUCCCCACGACAACCUGUACUACUCUAAUCAUGGCGAUGUUGGAUGGCUCGGAGAGGAGCCAGAGAAUGACCACCCAAUCCCUAUAGAUGGUCACCAAGUUGAAGACUUUGCUGAUGGGUCUGACUCCGAACCUGAAGUGGAGAACCUACCCCCAAUGGCUCUUGUUCCAAAUCCUAACCCUCGUCCGACUUUUCAUGGUCUGAUGCCCCCUUGGGUAGGAUGUUUGGAUACAUGGAGCGAAGAGCAAGAUCAACCUAUGUCGUUUGAUGGAGACCGAAGCUUCUCCAUCACAAGCGAAGGAAGCUCAGCAGACAGAAUUCUUCCAAUUCUGGUCCGUAGAGUUGCCCGAAACGAGAUUCAGGGCAUGACAACUCUCCAUCGUAUCACAAAGGUUGAUGUCGAUACAAGGAUGCAUACCAUCCGAACUAAUCUCCUGGAGCACAUUAAUGAGAGACCUGAGGGAGACCAUGAGACCCUACUACAAUCUCUAACUGAAACGCGAGCUAAAAUCAUAGAACUCCGAGUACGCCAGAGGGUGUACGAAAGACACAUUCUUGAUAUGGAACGUCAAUUGGCUGAACUAAGGGUUCACCAGAGGGAUGACUGUAACCAGUAGGAGAAGCUUUCUUUUCCAUCCUUGUUUAAAGGAAUCGUUUUCCUGUCUAUGUCCUAUGUGGCAUUUUCCUAUGAAACUACCUUGUACUGUAAGUACUUUUAGUUAGGCCUUUAUGCGGCCAAAACUUUCCUACUCCGGAUAUGAUGUAAGACCUUCUGCAAGGUCAAUUUUUUUUCCCAAACUUAUUACAUCAUGAACAUCAGGGAUAUUGACAGUCGGCUGAUUUCUGUGUCACCCUUUGAUCAAAUACUUUCAUCAUACUAUCGUUGGAGUCUAUCUGAAACCCACUCUAGUCAAGCUAUUGGACUAGGGUAAUUUAGCUCCGGGAUCAUUCCCAAUUCUCUAUCAAAGGUUGGAUCAUUUUAUUCACCAACCAAUGGUACCCCGGUUUGAACAACAAACGUCAUGAGACCAUUCUACGAACAUACUUCUACUCUGUACUAGGAUUACAUCAUAGGGAUGUAGGUCAAACCCUCGAGAACUUAUUUCUACUCUUUUCACGUAUGAUCGGAAUACAUCUAGGGUCAACCUAAAAUCGCUCACGAACUCCUUACCUUUCAUGUUGCAGAAUCAUGUCGUCAUCCGGAAAUGGUCAGCCGAACGACGAAACCCCUAUCCUUCAUAUCGAUGCAGCUACCUUUCAAGCUGCAAUCUCAGCUGCCAUGACUACUGUUCCGACUCACCUUAAUGCUAGCAAUGCAAAUGUUAGCGGAAUGGGUAUCAAUGAUUCCAACCCAAGUGACAACCAAGUACAUCACCGGGUAACGAACCACCACAACACUCCGAAUCUCAAGCCCAAGAGUAACAAAUGGAAAUUAUGGGAUAGAGCUAAAGGCAAAUCACCACAAGGGGCGAACAAAAGACAAUAAUCUGUGGCAGCCUUAGCGGCCACGACAUCUGUACCUCCCACUGCCAUCCCUACUAGUAUCCUAGUUAUCCCUAACCCAGCCAGACAAUAUGCUGGAAAUCUCCCAGAGUGCAGCAAAUGCAACUAUCACCAUCAUGGACCUUGUCGGGUCAUGUAGUGCUUAAACUGCAACAAAAAGGGACACACCAUCCGUUACUGCAAGACUCGGAUCCAACACAAUACUUCAACCACAAAUGUCGAAAUUUCCCAAAUAUGCCAUCUAUGUGGCGUAAUGGGACAUUUCAAAAGGCAAUGCCCAACAGAGAAGGGUGACGGGGGAACAGGAGGAGUUUGAACCCCAGAACCUUACUAUAACAUAGGUUCACUUCCUAUCGGCAGUAUUUAAGUAUGCUUUCAAACUGUUUAAAACUAGUGCAACUCGAGUCUUAUCUUUUUCAAGAUCCCGUUGGUAGAGGGAUCCUCGUGCUGCGUAUGCUUGUCUUUUGUAGUAUACCUUGUUCGCAGCAAUAGUCUUGUAAUUAAUCUACAGUACUGAAACUCUGUUAAAAGUUGAGCUUUUGUAUUUCUUCUGUAACGCCUUUAUGAAUCAAAUCUAAUGUCCUUAUUAUUCCGAAUAGUCCGACAUUUUCAUUUGACUAGAGUCCAUUCGAUCCUCAUAAUACCAGUUUCGGGGGUAAACCUCUUUCUCCGAAAUCGUCUUCCUAGCGAAACCGUCAUACAGAACAUCCCGAGUGUACGCGACUUUCCCGACACCUUUCCAGAAGAACUCCCAGGAUUACCACCACAACGCCAAGCCGGGUUCAGAAUCGACUUAGUGCCAAGGGCUACUCCCGUAGCCAAAUCUCCAUAUCGUCUGGCACCAGCGGAGAUGCAGGAACUUUCCAGUCAGCUUAACAAACUUCUUAAGAAGGGAUUCAUUAGGCCAAGCUCCUCACCAAGGAGAGUUCCGGUCUUGUUCUUCAAGGAGAAAGACGAAUUGUUUUGUAGGUCCAUCGACUACAGAGACCUCGACAAUAUCUCUAGCAGAAACCAUUACUAUCUGCUCGCAUAGAUGAAUAGGCCGACCAACCGCAAGGGGCGAUGUACCCUUCAGAAAUGGACCUGAGAUCCGAAUAUCACUAGUUGCGAGUUCUAGAGAAGGAUGUCCCGAGGACAAUCUUCCAAACUCGAUGCGGACGCUCCAAGUCCGUAGUGAUACCCCUCGGAUAGGACCAAUACGCACGUGGUAUUCAUGAACUUCAUGAAUAGGGUUCUCCAUUUUUUACUUAUCUAAUCUCGUAGUAAGAAGGAAACCAUCAGGAGCAACUACCACAAACCAUGGAAACAAUACAAUCAGAGAAGCUUUACACAAAGUUCUCUAAAUACGAGUUCUGGAAUUGAAGAGUCAAAUUCCUAAGACACACUUUUAGUGAUGUGGGAAUUCUGGAGGACCCUUUCAAUUAACCAAAACCGUUGAGAAUUUGUCAAAACACCAAAGACGUUGACCGUAAUUCUCCAAAUUCUAGGUCUCGCUGACCUACUGUCGUAGUUUAUUUAGAAGUCCACGCAAAUUACAAAACCCCUUACGACUUUGACCCAGAACGGAGCAACCCUUGACUGGGAAGAGAACCAAGAUGGAGAAACCCUUGGAAUUCCAAGUGAGAGACCAAAUUCUUUUGGAAGUCUCACUUUGGGAAGGCUUAAUACGCUUUGGAAAGCAUAGAAAGCUAAAAUCCAAGAUAAUUAGGACCUCCGAGAUUCUUGUCAGAAUCGGCCCUGUAACUCACAAAUCCAACCUACCCCACGAACUUAGUAUCGUACAUUCUACCCUCCAUGUCUUAAACUGGUAAAAGUAUCAGUCCGAAGAGACUCUUAAAAUCUCACUCGACAAGAUCGAGUUCCACAAGAGCCUCACUUUCGUAGACGAACCGUAGUGACCAUGGACCGAGAGGUCAGACGAACAAUUCAGACCCGCUUCCCAUUAGUGAAGGUUCGCUGGAAUGCCAACCGAGGACCUGAAUUCACUUGGGAGCGCGAAAAUCAAUCGAUUAUGAAGUAUCCCCACUUUUUGGCUCGAUUAUUCAUGCCUACUCCUUACCUAAACUCUAAUUUCUGGACGAAACUCCUUCUAAGGAGGGGAUGAUGUGACAACCCGAAAUUUCUAAUCUGUACAACAUGUCAAUUCAAUAGAAGUCAAAAUAGUUUUUGGAAACUUUCAAGCUUUUUGGAAUAAGUUUGAGUAUUUUAGGAUUAACCACUUAGGAGAUAUCAGGAGAGAGGAUGCCCUAGGGUUUAUUGUGCAACAAUAAAGUCCCGACACAUCAAAAGUUUAGAUUUUACGUCCUAAACAAGGAGUUUACGGCUGUAAACCCUAAGGGAAAGAGGUAUAAAGGUGACACUUAGUUAUUUUUACCAUUUUCCAACUUUCAAGAACAAAAACUCAAACUCUCUCAAGUAUCAUCCAAAGAAUUCUUCAAGAUCUUCAUCUAGUAAGUGUUUAUAGACCUUUUAAGUUAGUAUAUCACUUAACCUAGUGAUUUAACACACUUUUAUCCAUGAAAUUUUUCCAAAAGGUUGAUUCUUCAAGUUUCACCAAGAACACCAAGAACACACACUAGUGUUCUUGGACUUUUGGAUGUUUUUCAAGCUUCUAACUAGUAAGUACUUCUAUCCUAGAGUAUCAUAAGGCUUAUUACACUUCUUUACAUCAAGAAAACACCAAUGAAACCCAAGAUCAAAGGUGUUUACGGUCCAAGAACACCUUGGACCGUAAACCCUAAUUUAGGGACCAAAGUGACCCUAGUCCCUUCACAAGCUUUGGAAACUAGUCUAGACUCAUUCCUUUAUAUGUUUAGGACUUGAAAACAUCAAAAUACCAUAAUACAUAAUGGUUUACGGUAGUAAACCCAAAAGGAAAUGGUCUUAGGGACGUAAACUCCUCAAAGGAGUGAAAUGGUGCCCUAAUCUCUUCCAAGGGCUUAACCAUCAAGUAGAAAUGCUUCUAAGGACUAGUAGAAAUUCAAAAAAACACAUGGUCAAAGGAGCAUGAGUUAAUGACCAUAAAAUCAUGAGUUUACGACCAUAAACUCAAUUGGUCACAAAACCGUAAACUCAUGUAAGGGGUUCCCUUGAACCCUAAACUCAAUAGCAAUGUCCUAUAACACUUCGAUGCAAUCCUUAACACUUAUAACACCUAUAUAAGGUGUUUAACAUGCACUAGGAUGUCUUAACUUUAUUAUUUAGUUGUUUAAAGACUAAUUGGAUACAUAUAUGUGUUAUUAUAUGUUAACCAGGAUCUUUGUGUAUGUACAAGUCUUCACUUGACACUUAGAAUCCUACAUCAGUCCGUUCAUUCAAGCUACUCAUUUCAGGUGAGUUCAUACCCCUUAAUUAACCUUUUAAAUGUUUUUAAAUUUUUAUAGAUGUUUAUAAAUGCCUUAUGGGGGGAUACAAGUUGAAUCAUGUUUAGUUUUUAUAUUAAUCACAUGUGAUUAAUAACUAGCAUGCAAAUGGAUUUACUAUACGUUAACUGUUUUACCAAACAGAUUUCUUCAAAUGACUUCCUUAAACGUUUUAACAUGUUUAAAACUCUUUAUGAAACUGUCUUACAAAUUGUAUGUUUCCUUUCAAAAUCUGUUACAGUCGUGUUUCAAACAAAGGUUUUUCUUACACUUAAUCCGUCUUGUCAAACUGUUCUCAAAGCGUUUUAUAAACUGACAUCAAGUCAUAAAUUCUUAUUUAUUAAACUUUUCGAAAGGUUUUACAAAACUUCUUUUAUACUUUUAUAUUAGUUAUAUAUUAUGUAUACCUAUAUAGACAUAAAAGUUCCAUCAGUUAGUUCAGUUCCAACACUCUUGGGUAGCAAGGGUGUAUAAACCUACUUGAACACUCAACUUAAAUUCUAGUAAACUAUUAUAGGUAUAGUUUAUGAGAUACAAAACAUUAUUCCUAAUACAAGGAAUCACACCAGAUUCAAUUCAUUCAUGAGUCUAUACUACAUCAAUAGGAGGAGAUACUUUUACAUAGAUACAUCAAUGUGAAGAGAUACUUUUACAUAGAUACAUCAAUAUGAGGAGAUACUUUUGCAUAGAUACUAUAUGAUAAGAUACUAUUACAUAUUAUAUGUGUAGAUAUUAUUAUAUUACUAAUUUACUUUGUGAGACAUUCACAUAAAUGAUGAGGUAGAUUAGAUCUGUCUAUCCUAGUACCAAAGGAUACUGUAAGGGACUAACAAUUCCUACACCCAGCUGUUAGCCACAGUGGUAAAUGCACAUCUACGGAUGUCUAUGGUAGAUACCAUUAUAGGUAUACUUUAAGGUACUAACUAUUCCUACACCCAACUGUUCGCAACAGAGGUAAAUGCACAUCUACGGAUGUCUACGGUUAAUACUAUUCGAUAAUUCCUAUGUCGUGUUUAUCCUAGUACCAAAGGAUAAUACUUAAGUUAUUUAUAUUAUUACCUUUAUUUUGUGACACAUUCACAUAACCGAUGAGGUAAAGUAUAUUUGAGUAUCCUAGUACCAAAGGAUACAAUUUCUUAGGUUUGAAUAAUAAUAGUUAUACCAGGUAAAACCUGCACCUAUGUAGAGGUUCAUACUUUCAAAACGUUCGGGUCUUGGUAGAAGACUACCUUUUAUACUAGUAGGAAAUAUGGGAUUUUCUAGGGUUUUUCACACUUAUACUAAAUGUUUCAUUAAACAUUCACCAGGCUUUCAUAACAAUUUUUCAAAGCUAUGACAUUAAAAUACUUAUGAAUUCACCAGCUUUAUUGCUGAUACUCGCUUUCAAAAGAACUUGUAUUCUCAGGUCACAAUUAAACAGGUACCGAUGCAAGGUUAUAGAAGACGGAGCAGUCAAGACUCAUCUUUUAUUUUGAGUAUUCAUUAUCUUGUGUUAUAUUAUGAAAGAGCACACUUAUAAGCAAAAUUAUUCUAUUAAUGCAAUGGAUGAUGUUGUUGCUUGUUUACUACUUUACAUUGUUGUGAUACAUCACAUGACGUCCUCCGCCCGAGAAUAUUUCCGCCGUUGUCGGUUUUGGGGUGUAACAACAUAUUCUGUGCCCAUUCCAGUUAAAGUUGGCUUUGCAUAUGAGUUCUUAGAGUUCCCAAUUGGUUGCACAACAACUUGGAAGCAAUGACAAUCCCUUGAGCUGCCAGAUGGCAAGAAAUUAAGAUUGAGUUCAGUCCGUAUGAGUUUGGAUUUGUCAUUAUCCUUGUCUUGUGACUGUGGUUUUGACAAUUCAUGAAAAUGAUGGUGAGGAAACACUUUCACUAAGAAGAUUUUAGCUAGAUAGAAAUUGUGAUAUUUGCAUUCUCAAAGUCGUUAGUUGAGCGUGUGUGGUUUACCGGCACACUAACAUAGACUUGUGAGAAAUGGCAAAGGUCUAAAAAAUUGAGACUAUGAUUACGGCAUCCCUUUUCAUAGUUCUUAAAAUUGUUUAGACACACCUGUGAGCUAUCUAAGAUAAGGUGUAUGAUAUUGAUAAAGUUUUAUCAAAGCAAUCUAGUAUCAGAAAUCUGAACUUUGGUAAGAAAGUCAAUAAAGUAUUGAUUUCUAGAAGUCCAGCUGAUUUCUGAGUACAUGUCAAAGCUAGUGGGAGCAUAAGUGUUAUGCUAAUAAUCAUCAUGUUAGUGGGAGCAUGAUAAUUAUGAUAAGUAUUGCAAGUUAGCAAUGUUAAUUAUAGAAAACAAAAAAUUUCAAUUGGGAAAAAGUUGUUUUGCUAUAAUUAAGGGAGAGGAAAUUAUACUUCAUAUCAAAUCUAUAAGGUUUAGAUCUGAGGUUUUAAUCAUUUAGUCAAGGAUAUAUAUAUGAAUUUCAUGUUGGAAUGGCUCAACAUAAGGAAAUUCUGUAUAUGGGUCCAUUAUUUGCGUUCUAAAAUUCGAUUAUGAUUACGACAUCCCUUUUCAUAAUCUGAAUUAUGAGAACUUGGCAAAUNNNNNNNNNNNNNNNNNNNNNNNNNNNNNNNNNNNNNNNNNNNNNNNNNNNNNNNNNNNNNNNNNNNNNNNNNNNNNNNNNNNNNNNNNNNNNNNNNNNNNNNNNNNNNNNNNNNNNNNNNNNNNNNNNNNNNNNNNNNNNNNNNNNNNNNNNNNNNNNNNNNNNNNNNNNNNNNNNNNNNNNNNNNNNNNNNNNNNNNNNNNNNNNNNNNNNNNNNNNNNNNNNNNNNNNNNNNNNNNNNNNNNNNNNNNNNNNNNNNNNNNNNNNNNNNNNNNNNNNNNNNNNNNNNNNNNNNNNNNNNNNNNNNNNNNNNNNNNNNNNNNNNNNNNNNNNNNNNNNNNNNNNNNNNNNNNNNNNNNNNNNNNNNNNNNNNNNNNNNNNNNNNNNNNNNNNNNNNNNNNNNNNNNNNNNNNNNNNNNNNNNNNNNNNNNNNNNNNNNNNNNNNNNNNNNNNNNNNNNNNNNNNNNNNNNNNNNNNNNNNNNNNNNNNNNNNNNNNNNNNNNNNNNNNNNNNNNNNNNNNNNNNNNNNNNNNNNNNNNNNNNNNNNNNNNNNNNNNNNNNNNNNNNNNNNNNNNNNNNNNNNNNNNNNNNNNNNNNNNNNNNNNNNNNNNNNNNNNNNNNNNNNNNNNNNNNNNNNNNNNNNNNNNNNNNNNNNNNNNNNNNNNNNNNNNNNNNNNNNNNNNNNNNNNNNNNNNNNNNNNNNNNNNNNNNNNNNNNNNNNNNNNNNNNNNNNNNNNNNNNNNNNNNNNNNNNNNNNNNNNNNNNNNNNNNNNNNNNNNNNNNNNNNNNNNNNNNNNNNNNNNNNNNNNNNNNNNNNNNNNNNNNNNNNNNNNNNNNNNNNNNNNNNNNNNNNNNNNNNNNNNNNNNNNNNNNNNNNNNNNNNNNNNNNNNNNNNNNNNNNNNNNNNNNNNNNNNNNNNNNNNNNNNNNNNNNNNNNNNNNNNNNNNNNNNNNNNNNNNNNNNNNNNNNNNNNNNNNNNNNNNNNNNNNNNNNNNNNNNNNNNNNNNNNNNNNNNNNNNNNNNNNNNNNNNNNNNNNNNNNNNNNNNNNNNNNNNNNNNNNNNNNNNNNNNNNNNNNNNNNNNNNNNNNNNNNNNNNNNNNNNNNNNNNNNNNNNNNNNNNNNNNNNNNNNNNNNNNNNNNNNNNNNNNNNNNNNNNNNNNNNNNNNNNNNNNNNNNNNNNNNNNNNNNNNNNNNNNNNNNNNNNNNNNNNNNNNNNNNNNNNNNNNNNNNNNNNNNNNNNNNNNNNNNNNNNNNNNNNNNNNNNNNNNNNNNNNNNNNNNNNNNNNNNNNNNNNNNNNNNNNNNNNNNNNNNNNNNNNNNNNNNNNNNNNNNNNNNNNNNNNNNNNNNNNNNNNNNNNNNNNNNNNNNNNNNNNNNNNNNNNNNNNNNNNNNNNNNNNNNNNNNNNNNNNNNNNNNNNNNNNNNNNNNNNNNNNNNNNNNNNNNNNNNNNNNNNNNNNNNNNNNNNNNNNNNNNNNNNNNNNNNNNNNNNNNNNNNNNNNNNNNNNNNNNNNNNNNNNNNNNNNNNNNNNNNNNNNNNNNNNNNNNNNNNNNNNNNNNNNNNNNNNNNNNNNNNNNNNNNNNNNNNNNNNNNNNNNNNNNNNNNNNNNNNNNNNNNNNNNNNNNNNNNNNNNNNNNNNNNNNNNNNNNNNNNNNNNNNNNNNNNNNNNNNNNNNNNNNNNNNNNNNNNNNNNNNNNNNNNNNNNNNNNNNNNNNNNNNNNNNNNNNNNNNNNNNNNNNNNNNNNNNNNNNNNNNNNNNNNNNNNNNNNNNNNNNNNNNNNNNNNNNNNNNNNNNNNNNNNNNNNNNNNNNNNNNNNNNNNNNNNNNNNNNNNNNNNNNNNNNNNNNNNNNNNNNNNNNNNNNNNNNNNNNNNNNNNNNNNNNNNNNNNNNNNNNNNNNNNNNNNNNNNNNNNNNNNNNNNNNNNNNNNNNNNNNNNNNNNNNNNNNNNNNNNNNNNNNNNNNNNNNNNNNNNNNNNNNNNNNNNNNNNNNNNNNNNNNNNNNNNNNNNNNNNNNNNNNNNNNNNNNNNNNNNNNNNNNNNNNNNNNNNNNNNNNNNNNNNNNNNNNNNNNNNNNNNNNNNNNNNNNNNNNNNNNNNNNNNNNNNNNNNNNNNNNNNNNNNNNNNNNNNNNNNNNNNNNNNNNNNNNNNNNNNNNNNNNNNNNNNNNNNNNNNNNNNNNNNNNNNNNNNNNNNNNNNNNNNNNNNNNNNNNNNNNNNNNNNNNNNNNNNNNNNNNNNNNNNNNNNNNNNNNNNNNNNNNNNNNNNNNNNNNNNNNNNNNNNNNNNNNNNNNNNNNNNNNNNNNNNNNNNNNNNNNNNNNNNNNNNNNNNNNNNNNNNNNNNNNNNNNNNNNNNNNNNNNNNNNNNNNNNNNNNNNNNNNNNNNNNNNNNNNNNNNNNNNNNNNNNNNNNNNNNNNNNNNNNNNNNNNNNNNNNNNNNNNNNNNNNNNNNNNNNNNNNNNNNNNNNNNNNNNNNNNNNNNNNNNNNNNNNNNNNNNNNNNNNNNNNNNNNNNNNNNNNNNNNNNNNNNNNNNNNNNNNNNNNNNNNNNNNNNNNNNNNNNNNNNNNNNNNNNNNNNNNNNNNNNNNNNNNNNNNNNNNNNNNNNNNNNNNNNNNNNNNNNNNNNNNNNNNNNNNNNNNNNNNNNNNNNNNNNNNNNNNNNNNNNNNNNNNNNNNNNNNNNNNNNNNNNNNNNNNNNNNNNNNNNNNNNNNNNNNNNNNNNNNNNNNNNNNNNNNNNNNNNNNNNNNNNNNNNNNNNNNNNNNNNNNNNNNNNNNNNNNNNNNNNNNNNNNNNNNNNNNNNNNNNNNNNNNNNNNNNNNNNNNNNNNNNNNNNNNNNNNNNNNNNNNNNNNNNNUCAAUGCAUAUAAGUUUAGAAUCUAACAGAUUUCAGUAAAUGGCAUGAAUUUGGAAUUCUUGCAUUUGUAGUAAGGAAUUGGGACUGUGAAAUGAGAAUCAUUGGAAUUAUGUUCAAUUGAUCUCUGUCAAAGGGUAAAGAUCAUAGACAAACAUAGUAUGCAUACUUGGUGUGUGGCAUGACUAGUGUUAGAAAACAUAGUGUACAUGCUUGGAGCAUUGGACAACUAUUGUUUUAAAUUCAAGAAUAAAGUUGAUAGUUGAAACAGUAUACAAUGAAUAAUGUAUAAUCAUAUGGUGAUAAAUAAAAGGUGUUUUAUUUAUGUUCAUAGGUUUUGAUACCAUAUUGGAUUCAAUUAUUAUUGUGUUUCACUUUGCAUGUUUUGACUUCCCGAAUAAACUAGGUUAUUCUUCCGGAAUGACUAAGUUAUUCAAACCAUCCACAGUCGGUCAUAUGUUGGAAGUAGAUAUGAAUUAAGACUGUCAUGGGUUGGCUUGUAGAGGUCUAAGGUGUUGGACAAAGGGCUACAACACUCAUGAGUGCUCAUAAGUUCUGAGUAUUGGAUUCAACCCGCGCUCAUUGGAAUCACUUCAUGGAUUUUAUCACGAGUGAUCAUGAGACGAUAAUAUCUUAUAUUCUUCAAACCUAGAGAUAUGAGUUGUUACUAUGAGUUGAUAGUACAUUGAUUGCACGAAAACGCAUUUGGUAACUCGGUGCUAUAAAACGUGCCUUUGUGUAUGAUUCAACAAGUAGUAGAACAAGCCAUCUGAGUCGAAGUUUAUCCAUUCCUUUUACCUUCGGGAUAAAAGCGAUAUCUGUGGGCCCCUCGAUGAUUUGGUGAUGUCAAAUGUAAGUGCUCGGCCGGGCCAGGACUAAUUUGAUUUGUUCAAUUUGUCAGUCGUCAUAAAUCGGAAAUCGGGAAACAACAAAUGGACAGAGAGAAUGAUUAUAAUCCAUUUCUCAGUCCAUAUGAAACUAGAAUGGAGGAAUAUAUGAUCCCUUAUCUAAUGGACAAGUCAUUGACAAAGGUCAGAGAUCAUCAGCAAGGUCAGAAUUCGACAGAAGCUUUUGAGAGCUACGAUUGCCAGUCGGUUCUUGAAGUCAUAUGCAAUAAUAGUUUUAGACUUAUCCAAGUUGGAGACUGUUCGAUUAAUGUCUAAGUCCAUAACUGUAAUUGGUAAGACUUGACCCGACUCGGCAUGGUCCAUUUGGGUUGCAUGGCAUCAUGCAUUUGGAUAGACUAUAAUGAGAGAAAUAACACUUAAGGUUGUUAAUAUAUUAUAAGUUCUAAUAUAUUAAUAAGAUUAUUUAAUUAGUAUUGAUCAAGAAUUAAUCUAGGAUUAAUUAAGUGAUCAAAAGAAGACUAAUUAAAUAUAUGGGUUGAUUGUGUAAAUCAUCCAUACUUAUAUAGUGGGCUAAUGCUCCAUGGAUUGUCAAGUUGGGCUAAAACCCAUAUGAUGCUCCACGGAUGCUCCAUGGUGUAUUUGUACCCAUGGAUCAUGGAAAUGAAAGGUCAUGAAAAUUAGGUUUUACAUGGUGUAACCCUAACUAUAUAAUUAUCUUAUUCUUGGAGAACAUUAGCUACUAUGAGAUAUAGAAAGGGCUAGCCGAUUUUAUGAAGUGUUCCAUUUUCUCUCAAGUCAUUCCAUGUGCAUUUGGUGUUGUGUGAACCAUUUGAGGUGUCACACUUGGGGCACUAGGCACUCAAGCUUCAUGAAGACAUUCUACAUCAAAGAGGUAUGUAUUCUAUCUUGUUAUAUUCAUUGUUUUGUAUGCUAGAUUAGGAUAAUACCUUGGAUGUUCAUAUUUGCAUGUAUAAUAGAGAAAACAUAGAUCCAAGGUAUUUAGGGUUGCAUGUACACUUAGGAGUGUUAGAAUGCUCAUAACCCAACAGUUAGGGCGAUGUGAUGAUACUUGUGUAACAUCCCCUAAUUUCUCGGCCAGAAAAGACCGAUUUAAUUUAUGCUUUUUAUAAUAAAAUCAGAGAAAUCUUUUUAAAAGAUGUUGCGGAAUUUGUUCCCAAAACAAAACAUGAUAAAAGUUUAUCAAAACUUUCUUUAAGAAAUGUAUAGUUUCAUUUCAUAUCAAAACCUCGGGAUGUCAUGUUCCGAUACAGAUCAAAAGCAUAAACAAGACAUUAUAAGCCUUUCAACAGUUAUUUACAACUACUGGCCUAUAAUCCAAAAAUCUCUCGUUGUCCUCCGACUAUGCUCGGGGUCCACUACCUGUAACAUAAAAAGCUGAGUGGGUCAGGCUUGGGAGCCUGGUGAGCAUAUAGGGUUUUCAACCCACAAUAAUAAUAAACUUACUAAGUUCAUCAAUCAACAAUAACCCUGAUUACCCGUUCCCGUUAUCCUCACUUUAUGUCCCUAAACACUUGUCACAAGGGACCUAGCCUAAAGAAUAUCAUCGGGAUGGACACUACUGCUAAGGGGUUUCCUCAGCCAUACAUGUCCUAAAGGCAACCAUGAGGGGGAUGGAGUACAGCGAAUGAACACUCUUAGUUCAUUAACACCUACAGGUUGCGGACCUGCUAAUGUUUCCCACUGGACUGUCUAGAAAGUCCGUGGUCGUCAUCCAAACUCCGCUAGAUGACUGGAUCUCAAAACACAUCGAGGCCUCUCAUCAAUUUUAUUUUAUCACACAUCACAAUCUACCCAUGUUCUACCCAACAUAUUUGUAGAUAAAAAUACUUAUACAGUUUAAAACUUGUAUAAAACAUCAACACAACAAUCACCUCAAAUAAAUAAUUAAUAUAUUUACACAUAGCACGUAUUAUAAGGUAAAUACUUCAUAUCUAUGUGUAAAAUGAAAGUGACUAUACACUCACAUGAUUUGAUGAUAAUCGGGCAGCAAUUCGUUUCCUAAAACGAUCGUUUCUAAUAAAACCGGGAGUUUUAUUGAGAAACCGGGCUUUGUAAAAGUCGGGCUUCGAAACCGAAAAGAUAAAUUUUCCGGGCUUCUCGGGCACUUCGUGGGGUAUUCCGGGCUUUACAAUCGAUACCGGGGCUUUGCGGGAUGUUAAUAUGAAGAAAAUAUGGGUUUAGGGGCUAAAUAUGGCAAAAUUCCAAAAAUACCCGGGAGGUCUCGCACCCUCCUAUUUAUAGGGGGAAGCUUCUGAUCGGACGGUCAGAAGUCUUCUGAUCCGACGGCUGAGAAGGCUCGCAGAGGGGUGUCUCGCACGAGGGCUGCGCGUGCGAAGGAGCUGCUGGCGGCCUGCGAUUGGACCGAAGUCCGGAUCCGAUGAGGGGGGUUCGUGGCACCUGCGAGGGUUCGGACUCAUGAGUCACUACACACGCGUCGGAUGCGAGGCUUGCCACCGAGGCUUCUACGUGUAGUCAGCGGAUUGGACCGCAGCUCGGACUCGGAAGGACAUGACACGCCUCGCCAGGUGGCUUCGUGACUCAGCAGCCUGGUGACUCAGCAGCUUCGGUGACUCAGCAGGACACGUGUCACAUGCGAGGCGAGGGUGACGUGGCAAAGUGUGACUAUGCGAAAUUUCUCGGUUUUCGCGCCAAAACUUCUAAAAUCCAUAACUUUCGCAUACGAGCUCCGUUUUUGACGUUCUUUAUAUGCACGCGUAGCUAAAAUUACGAUCUACAACUUCCGUUUAGACUUCGUCGGCUAAUUUUGACUUUAAAUUUUAUAUUAUUAUUUUUAACAGACCGGGACAGGAAAUCCGUUAAAAAUUCAUAACUUCUUCAUCCGACGUCCGUUUUCGUCAGACUUUUUACCGUUGUGCUCCUAAUGACGAGACCUUCAAUUCUCGUUUAGGUUGUGUCGGCUAAAAAUCGCUCGAUCUAAAAUUCGAGUUUUUAGUUGUCUACUGCUAAGCUGAAACUUCGAAAAAUCAUAACUUCCUCAUACGAAGUCAGAUUUGGGCGUUCUUUUUAUCGAACUUCUCGGUUUAACGAAUACUACGACUUUCGUUUAGAUUACUAAGGCUAAAAAGUAGUUUAUCAAAAACUCACUUUUUACGACAUUCAGCACCGUGUCGGUUUUGUCGCGAAACUUCAAUAGGUCAUAACUUCUUCGUUAUAACUCGGAUUUUGGUAUUCUUUAUAUCCCCGAAAUCCUUGUUUCGACCACUACAAAUUUAUGUAAAGAUAUCGGGCUUAUCUCACACUUUAAUUUUGACGCUUAUUUUUAUUUUUAAUUAAUUAAACCCUAAUAAUUAAGCAUAAAACACAUAAUUCACAUAAAAUUCACAUAAUUCCUUUUCAUUUCUUCUAAAUGAGUUACAAAGGUUAACCUAGACCAUUAUGUCAAUAUUAAUGCCUAGCCUAGAAACACGGGCUUUACAACUCUCUCCCCCUUAGGAUGAUUCCGUUCCCGGAAUCACACAACGACAAACAACUACGGGUAGCGACUCACUAUGUCACUCUCCAUCUCCUAGUUGGGAUUUGGCCCAUUUAUAUGUUUCCAACGUACAUGCACUAAAUCGACUGUCUUACAUUACAACUUCUUAGUCUUACGAUUAACGAUUGCGUCAGGUUCUCCAAUUAACCUCUUGUUUUCAUCCAACCUUAAUUCAGAAAUGGGAAUUAUGUCGGGCACACCUCCUGUGAACUUUCUCAAAUAACACACAUGAAAGGUGUUAUGAAUACUCUCUAGUUCUUCUGGUAAUUCUAGCUUGUAAGCUUGAUUCCCGAUCCUCUGAAGAACUUUAAAUGGUCCAAUAAACCUUGGACUCAACUUUCCCCUUCUACCAAAUCUUAUAAGUCCCUUCCACGACGAGACUUUAAGUGAAACCGAAUCUCCAACUUCGAAUGAUAUCGGUUGUCUUUUCUCGUCAGCAUAGCUCUUUUGAGCAGCUAACAUCUUUUUCAAUAGUCACUUACAACUUUUCGGCAGUCUGAUGGACUAUUUCAGGUCCCAUAAACUGCUUUUCCCCAGCUUCCAGCAAACAUGAUGACGUUCGACACUUUUCCCCAUACAAAGCGUAAUAAGGUGCCAUCUUAAUGCUUGAGUGGAAACUAUUAUUAUAAGUGAAUUCUACUAGAGAUAAGUGUUCAUCCCAGUUACCUUGGAAUUCUAGGAUACAGUCUCUCAGCAUAACCUCCAAUGUUUGAAUCGUUUGUUCGCUCUGACCAUCGGUUUGCGGAUGGUAAGUUGUACUCAAACACAACUUGGUACCCAAUUCCUCUUGUAGACUCCUCUAAAACUUUGAGGUAAAACGGCUGUCACGAUCGGAUACAAUCGUUAGCGGAACACCGUGAAGCCUCACAAUUUCCUUCACGUAAGAAUUUGCAAGUUUAUCCAUAGACCAUUUCUCUUUGGCUGCUAUGAAAUGCGCACUCUUAGUGAAGCGAUCAACGACCACCCAAAUCAUGUCAUGACCAUUCCUUGUUCUGGGCAGUUUAGUCACAAAAUCCAUAGUGAUGUCUUCCCAUUUACCCAUGGGUAUGGGUAAAGGUUCUAAACUCCCAUACGGUUUCUGAUGUUGUGCCUUAACCCUAGCACAAGUUACACACUCGGCCACAUACUUAGCAACAUCGAGCUUCAUCGUGGGCCACCAGUAAUAGGGUUUUGGAUCCCUAUACAUUUUUGUGCUGCCGGGAUGAAUCGAGUACAUGGUCUUGUGAGCUUCUUCCAUCAGAAGAUCUCUUACUCCGCCCGUCUUAGGUACCCAAAUCCUAUCUUGGAAUACCUUCAACCCUUGGUUGUUUGUNCACUAACGUUGCCUAAACGUUCUUCCUUUCGGUCAUUUUUCUCGAAAGCUUCCUCUUGAGAUUUCCUUAUACUUUUCACAAUUGUCGAGAAAACUUCAAUUCUCAAUGCUCUUGGCCUUUUCUUUUCAAGGUUUACCUUCCGACUGAGAGCAUCAGCAACCACAUUUGCUUUACCAGGGUGGUAAAGUAUCUCACAGUCGUAGUCCUUGAGUAACUCUAGCCAGCGUCGUUGCCUCAUGUUCAAUUCCUUCUGAUUAAAGAGAUAUUGGAGACUCUUAUGAUCAGUGAAAAGUUUACACUUUGUGCCAUAAAGAUAAUGCCUCCAUAUCUUUAAGGCAAAUACUACCGCUGCCAACUCCAAAUCGUGAGUGGGGUAGUUCUUUUCAUGCUCCUUCAAUUGCCUUGAUGCACACAUUAUCACUUUAUCCCUUUGGGUUAGAACAUAACCUAACCCAACUCCAGAGGCAUCACUUUAAACUGUGAAGUCAUCAACUCCGUCAGGUGACGAGAGAGUCAGUGCUUCACACGACGUCUUCUUUAACUUCUCAAAGCUUCCUAUGCUUCUCAUUCCAAGUAUAGACAGCUUCUUUGUGGGUCAAAGCUGUCAAUGGAGUCGCGAUCUAAGAAAAGCCUUGGAUAAUUCAGUGAUAAUAUCCAGCUAAUCCGAAAAAGCUUCAGAUCUCCAUAGGACUUUCAAUCGUAACCUUCGAGUUACAGAAUAAAUCCUUAUUGAGGACUCCUUCUUUUUCUUGGAAUAAGUACUUUCCUUCGUUUAUUGUAACAGACCAAUGGGUCAUGUUCUAAUGAUCUCUCAUUGUAUAUUGCACUACUUAGACUCAGAUCUCCUUGGGAAAAUUUUCGAAACAAACUACACCUUCUUUCAUGUUCUAAUGUGAUACAAUCACAAUUCAACAUGUAUUAUUCCUAAAUAUCAACUUCUUUAACAAUGAGUGCGAUACUUCUGUUGAUCGCUUUAAUCAUCUUUUACUUAAUCUUCUGGCUUAAGUCAAAUGCUACAUCGAACUUGGUUCUCUGAACCACGUAACAUACUCAUCUUAGUCAGACUCGAUUCAAUAUGAGCUCUAAGGUCGGAAUAAUAAUCAUCUUCUUGGUCAUUACCGAAACGAUGGUAACAACAGACUAGAACAAGACGGAAUCAAAUAAUAGCUCCUUGGUAACCUUGUGACUUUCCCUGAUCCAAGUACGAGUCCUGUGCUUUCGGUAGUAUAGGCCUCUACUACCAUUCACACCUACUCAUACUCGUCCCAAGUAUUGUCUCGUAGUUCUCCAAAUCACCAUACAAGAUAUUCACAUAGUCAUUCAAUUCAUCAUAUGACAAAACUAAGGUUUAUAUUAUUUCCUUGAAACGCUUACACAAAAGGUUCAAGUUUACCCUAUACUAUGCCUCUAAUAGGCCUAACCACUUGUUACUAUACACAUUACUACUUUAUAAAUUGAUCUUCUUCUUUUACAGCCUCAGUCAUCUGAAAGGCUCUCGCCUUCGGCUUUGGUGGUAGAUUGGGAUUUGUAGCAUCCUUCCUCUUCGGACAGUCUUUAAAAACAUGCCCUUCUUCAUGGCACUCAAAACAUACCCUCUUGUCGGAUGGACACAUGUUGGCAUAAUGCCCAGUCUUUCCACAUUUGAAGCAAGUCACCUCCUCACUACAUUUCCCCGAGUGCUUUUUCUUGCACUUCUCACACCACUUCACUUCACCUCCUCCUCCUCCAAACUUCUUAAACUUAGAAAAUUUGCUUCUCUUGCUGGAACCUGAAGUUCCUUCAAAUUUUCUCUUUUCACCAACUUCCGCCCUCUCCAGACCCUUCUCUCUGAUCUGAACCUCAACGUUCUUAGCAACCCAGAUGGCGGCUUUCAAAGUGGUUGCUUGCUUAACCAUCGGACCAAAGUCUGCUGGUAAUCCGAGGGCAAACUUGUUGAUCUUAGAGAUUUCAAUUGGAACUAGGUAAGGAACAAGCUUCAUCUUUUCAGUAAAACUAGCAGCGUAUUCAGUAACGCUCAUCUUUCCCUUCUUUAAAUUCUGGAACUCAUUAUUAAUUUCCAGAAGAUCCUGCUCAGAGCAAUAUUGCAGUUUUAGUUGUAGUACAAAGUCAUCCCAAGACAUCUUACUAGCUUCCCCCCUUGGGCAUCGAAUUAGCUAGUAACUUCCACCAGUUCAACACACCAGACUUUAAUAGAGGAAUUGCAAGUGCGGUCUUUUGUUUGUUGCUGCACUCGCAACUUUCAAACAUCGUCUCCAUUUUAGAGAUCCGAUUCAUGACUUCCACCGGUGUCGGACUUCCAGAUAGACACGGCGGUUUAGAUGCCAUGAAAUCUUUGUAUUUGCAUCCGCGUCCAUCAACUCCUCCAUCCUGGUUGUUUUGUCUAACUAUCGGUGGGUUGGCUUGACCAAGAGUCCCACUGUAGUUCCCUCCUACUGAUUGCCCUUCAUUCAAUACGGGCUGUUCAACAGGCAUCGUAGUCUCUUCCCUAUGUUGUUGUAGUAAUCGCCUUGUCUCCUCCAUUUGGCGAUCUAACAUCAUUUGCAUCAUUGCUUGUACCCCAGCCAUCGUCAUUGGCUCAGGUGCAGCUUCUACAACAGGUACUUGCUCAACUACUUGAGGUUGAGGCUCUUGAUCCCUGUUUCCGUUUGCAUUUUCAACUCCACUACGAGUUCUUGCCAUUACAAUCUAUAUACCUAACAAGGCGAAUUUAGGUCUUUACCCGUGAUAGGUAUUUAAAUUCCUUUAUCCCUCAAAAACGUUUACAUGUUAGUUUUAAUCUCGUAAUCGUACGGUUAGAAUCCUACACACAUAAGGUUUCCAGAUCCGGUCGGAAACAGACCAUAGAUCCGAAUAAUAAUGGCAUAUAUGGCAAACAUUUAACAUUUAGCACAUAAGGGCAUUUUAGGCAUCUUUCCUAAAAUAAACUAGUGCUUGUGUCUAAAAUAUGGUAGACACUCUUCUCACAAUCAUCACUUAGCAUUCCAAGUUUAAGUCUAGAAAUUCUACAAUUUCUUAGUUCGCUUAAACUAAUGCUCUGAUACCAACUGUGACAUCCCCUAAUUUCUCGGCCAGAAAAGACCGAUUUAAUUUAUGCUUUUUAAAAUAAAAUCAGAGAAAUCUUUUUAAAAGAUGUUGCGGAAUUGGUCCCCAAACAAAAUAUGAUAAAAGUUUAUCAAAACCCUUCAUUAAGAAGGUAUAUGUUUUCCAUAUAUAUAUCAAAACCUCGGGAUGUCAUGUUCCGAUACAGAUCAAAAGCAUAAACAAGACAUUAUAAGCCUUUCAACAGUUAUUUACAACUACUGGCCUAUAAUCCAAAAAUCUCUCGUCGUCCUCCGACUAUGCUCGGGGUCCACUACCUGUAACAUAAAAAGCUGAGUGGGUCAGGCUUGGGAGCCUGGUGAGCAUAUAGGGUUUUCAACCCACAAUAAUAAUAAACUUACUAAGUUCAUCAAUCAACAAUAACCCUGAUUACCCGUUCCCGUUAUCCUUAAUUUAUGUCCCUAAACACUUAUCACAUGGGACCUAGCCUAAAGAAUAUCAUCAGGAUGGACACUACUGCUAAGGGGUUACCUCAGCCAUACAUGUCCUAAAGGCAACCAUGAGGGGGAUGGAGUACAGCGAAUGAACACUCUUAGUUCAUUAACACCUACAGGUUGCGGACCUGCUAAUGUUUCCCACUGGACUGUCUAGAAAGUCCGUGGUCGUCAUCCAAACUCCGCUAGAUGACUGGAUCUCAAAACACAUCGAGGCCUCUCAUCAAUUUUAUUUUAUCACACAUCACAAUCUACCCAUGUUCUACCCAACAUAUUUGUAGAUAAAAAUACUUAUACAGUUUAAAACUUGUAUAAAACGUUAACUCAACAGUCACCUCAAAUAAACAAUUAAUAUAUUUACACAUAGCACGUAUUAUAAGGUAAAUACUUCAUAUCUGUGUGUAAAAUGAAAGUGACUAUACACUCACAUGGUUUGAUGAUAAUCGGGCAGCAAUUCGUUUCCUAAAACAAUCGUUUCUAAUAAAACCGAGAGUUUUAUUGAGAAACUGGGCUUUGUAAAAGUCGGGCUUCGAAACCGAAAGAUAAAUUUUCUGGGCUUCUCAGGCACUUCGUGGAGUAUUCUGGGCUUGGGAAUAAGUAUCAGGGCUUCGGGGGAUGUUAAAAUAGCUAAAAUAGUGAAAAGGGGGCCAAAAUUGCCAAUUUCUAAAUUCUAGCCGGGAGGGUUCGCACCCUUCUAUUUAUAGGGGAAGCUUUUGAUCCAAGGGCUGAGAGUCUUCUGAUCCGACGGCUGAGAGGCUUCGCAGGGGGGUGCUCGCACAUGGUCUGCGCAUGCGAGGGCUCGCUGGUAGCUUCUAAGUGGACCGAGGCUUGUGUCCGAUGCGCAGGUGGUCAGCAUGUGCGAAGGUCUCGGUGGCACUCGCUGAUUGGACCACGGAGUCGUAUCACACAUGCGAGGCUCGGAGCUAGGGUGCGAGGUUCAGUCCAUAUGCAAGCCUCGGAUUGGACCUCCCUUCGGUCAAAUCAGAAUCUGACACGUGGCUUCGCAUGACUCAGCAAAUUCGGUGACUCAGCAGCUUGGUGACUCAGCAGGACACAUGGCACUUUUUCAACGAGGGUGACGUGGCAACUCGUGACUAUGCAAAUUUUCUCGAUUUUCGCGCCAAAACUUCUAAAAUCCAUAACUUUCGCAUACGAGCUCCGUUUUUGACGUUCUUUGUAUGCACGCGUAGCUAAAAUUACGCUCUACAACUUCCGUUUAGACUUCGUCGGAUAAUUUUGACUUUAAAUUUUAUAUUAUUAUUUUUAACAGACCGGGACAGGAAAUCCGUUAAAAAUUCAUAACUUCUUCAUCCGACGUCCGUUUUCGUCAGACUUUUUACCGUUGUGCUCCUAAUGACGAGACCUUCAAUUCUCAUUUAGGUUGUGUCGGCUAAAAAUCGCUCGAUCUAAAAUUCGAGUUUUUAGCUGUCUACUGCUAAGCUGAAACUUCGAAAAAUCAUAACUUCCUCAUACGAAGUCAGAUUUGGGCGUUCUUUUUAUCGAACUUCUCGGUUUAACGAAUACUACGACUUUCGUUUAGAUUACUAAGGCUAAAAAGUAGUUUAUCAAAAACUCACUUUUUACGACAUUCAGCACCGUGCCGGUUUUGUCGCGAAACUUCGACAGGUCAUAACUUCUUCGUUAUAACUCGGAUUUUGGUAUUCUUUAUAUCCCCGAAAUCCUUGUUUCGACCACUACAACUUUAUGUAAAGAUAUCGGGCUUAUCUCACACUUUAAUUUUGACACUUAUUUUUAUUCUUAAUUAAUUAAGCCCUAAUAGUUAAGCAUAAAACACAUAAUUCACAUAAUAUUCACAUAAUUCCUUUUCAUUUCUUCUAAAUGAGUUACAAAGGUUAACCUAGAACAUUAUGUCAAUAUUAAUGCCUAGCCUAGAAACACAGGCUUUACAACUUGGGACAAAUAUGAAUAGGUGUGGAAGGUAGUAUGGGCCCGUACUACUGAAAGCACAGGACCCAUACGCGUAGCAAGGAAGUCACAACCCCUAGGGUUUUAUCGGGAGUUGGUUCCUAGUUAAUUGUACGAAUUAUCUGAUACCUUGUGUUAUGUUUCAGAAUGGUGAUGACCGGGCACUUUGUGACUGGAUCCGGUUCGGGAUCAGGAUUAGGAGAGGGAGAUGGUGAACAGGGGCGCCAACAGCGCCCGAGACUAUCAGCUAGAUAAGGUCAAAUGAGAUGGAUGACAGGAUCCGAGAGAUCCUGCACGAUGAGGUUGCUGCGUUGUUCCGGACCGAAUUGCCGGAAAUGUUCGGGUCUAUUAAGACCGUUGUGGUGGAGUAUUUCGAUGAUCGUUACGUANGGCUGCCGCAACAGCUUCAACAGCUUUAUUCGCGGCAAGGUUGGGAUCCGGUCAGGCUUUUCAGUAUCGGGACUUUGACAACAUGAAGCCCCCUACUUUUGAUGGGGCUCAGGACCCCAUCAAAGCCAUGAGGUGGCUGUCUGGUGUGGAGGGGUGCUUCUUCACAUGUGUAUGUCCUGCUGACCAGAAGGUCAGAUGUGCCUUGAACUUGCUAAGGUCCGGGGCAAAGGACUGGUGGAGGUUGGCGACUGGGUCGUAUUCGGACGAGCAGAGGGCUGGUAUGUCAUGGGAGCAGUUCCGAGAUAUGUUCCGCGCUCACUACAUUCCUCGAGUCGAGCGGGAAUGGUUAGAUCAGGAAUUCUUGGAGCUGAAGAAGGAUCGGGAGACGGUGACGGAGAUCACUCGUAUGUUCACUGAGAUGGCGAUGUUCUGCCCGGAGUUUGCUUCUGAGCAGGCUCAGAUGACCCGAUAUCUAAGCAUGCUCAAAACGGAUAUUCGUCAGUUUGUGGUGACCUAGCGUUUGUUGGGUUUUGAGCAAUCUAACACUUCCUAAGUGUGCAUGCAACCCUAAUAAACCUUGGAUCUAUGUUUGUCUAAAUACAUGCAAAAUAAUAAUUUUCCAAGGUUCAUAACCUAUCUAACAUGGCAUGGGGUACUUUUAAACAUAAAAGAAUUAGAUGAGAUUACAUACCUUUUGAUGAUGAGUUCAAUUCCUAAGGAGUUUGAGGGCCAAGCACCAAUAGUGUGAAUGCCUCAAAUGGAAUCACAAAACACCACAAACUCUUGGAAAACUUUGAGAGAGAAUACACACUUGUAUUUUCGGCCACACACAAGCACACACACACUAGUUCACUAGUUGUUCACUAGUUACCCCUUAGGGGCCAUUUCAUGCAACAUAAACAUGCUUAUAUAGUGUACAUGAUUAGGGUGAAACCCUAAUAACCCAUGUCUUUUCCUUUCCAAGGAUCCAUGGGUUAAAAGCUCCAUGGAUCAUCCAUGGACUUCCAUAUAAGCCUAGCCCAUUAACAAAUGAGUAUUAGCCCACACUAUAUAAAACAAAUAGCCCAUAAUUUAAUUAGUAUUCCUUUUAAUCUCUAAAUUAAUCCAUAAUUAAUUUAAGACUAAAACUAAUUAAAUAACGUAACUUCAUAUUAAUAUAUUAUAACUCAUAAUAUAUUAAUAAACAUAUGUGUAUAACUCUCAUAAAAUUAUCCAUAAUAGUUUGGAUGAGAUGCAACCCAAAUGGACCAUGCCGGUCGGGUCAAGUAUAUACCAAAUAAGUUAUGGACUUAGACACCUUAUCCAACAGACUCCCACUUGGAUAAGUCUAAUAACUAUAUUUGCCUAUAACUUCAGGAACCAACCAACAAUCGUAGCUCUCGAAAACUCCCUCGAACAAUGAAGACUCUGUCGAACUAUGAAGCGCCAUUUUAGAUAAGUGAUCACAUAAUCCUCUGUUCUCAUGAUAUCAGCCGGACAAACACAUGGAACUAUGUCUUGCUUAUUGUCUAGCAGUUGUUUCUCGAUUAUCCGAUUUGUUUGACGAAGAACUUCACUGAACACAUCGGUUUAGUUCUGACCAGGCCUGGUAUAUGGGUCAACACAAAAUCAUCGAGGGGCCCGGAUAUCGCUUCUAUUUCUAGAAGGAACAGAUAAACUUCGACUGAUAUGCUUGUUCUACUACUUAUUGAAUUGUACACAAAGGCACGUUUUAUAACAUCAAGUUACUGAUGCGUUUACGUGCAAUCAAUGCACAACCAACUCAUAGGUAACAACUCAUAUCUCUAGGUUUAAAGAUUUAUAUGAUGUUAUCGUCUCACGAUCACUCGAGAUAAAUUCCAUGAAGUGAUACAAGUGAGCGUGGGUUUAUACCAAUACUCAUAACUUAUGAGUACUCAUGAAUGUUGCAGCAACCAUUGCCAUGCCUAAACACCUUUAAGGCAUCUACAAACCCAAUUCAUGACAAUCUUGAUUCAUACCUACUUCCGACGUAUGAUCGAUUGUGGAGGUUUGAACAAAUUAAUUAUUCUGGAAGUCAAAACAUGCAAAACUGAAACAAUAGUAAAUAAUUGACAAUGAUAGUAACACUUUACUCAUAAAUAAAUCACAAAUUUUAUUCAUCAUCAAACGUCGAUUACAUUUUACAAGUUUCAGGAAAACUAUCUAAUCUGUAAAACUAAUAUCGUCCCUCAGCCCGAUGCGUCUCGCAUGCUGAAAAUGCUUAACCCUCGUCAGUCCCUUCGUAAGGGGAUCUGCAGGAUUCUCAUCUGACGAUAUCCUCCUUGUCACAAGGAGUCCUUCUUCAAUCUUGUGCCUUAUGAAGUGAUAUUUUCUGUCAAUGUGUCGGGAUCUGCCAUGAUCUCUUGGUUCCUUGGCUAAGAUAACCGCAGCAUUGUUGUCACAGAAAAUCUCUAUAGGUUCCUUAAUAGCUGGUACAACUCCAAGGUCUCCGAUGAAGUUCUUUAGCCAUAUCGCCUCCUUCGCUGCUUCACUCGCUGCUAUAUACUCUGAUUCACAAGUCGAAUCAGCCACCGUCUCCUGCUUGGAACUCUUCCAAGAAAUUGCCCCUCCAUUUAAGGUAAAGAUCCAGCCCGACUGAGAGCGGAAAUUAUCCCUAUCAGUCUGAAAACCAGCAUCACUAUACCCUAAUAUUCUCAAGUCAUCACUGCCACCAAGGGUAAGGACCCAAUCCUUAGUCCUCCGCAGGUACUUGAGAAUGUUCUUUACCGCGGUCCAAUGAGCCUUGCCAGGGUUCCCCUGAUACCUGCUGACCAUGCUCAAAGCAAAUGCCACAUCAGGACGGGUACAAGUCAUAGCAUACAUGAUCGAGCCAACUGCGGAAGCAUAUGGUAAUUGGCUCAUCUCAGCUAUCUCAGCCUCUGUACUCGGACUCUGAGUCUUACUCAGUUUGGUAUUGCUUUGGAUCGGUAAAUCUCCUUUCUUGGAAUUCUCCAUGUUGAACCUUUUCAACACCUUAUCCAAGUAGAUACUCUGACUAAGUCCAAUUAGUCUUCUACUCCUUUCUCUUAAUAUCCUUAUCCCUAGGAUAUAGGUAGCCUCCCCUAGGUCCUUCAUAGCAAAGCACUUCCCAAGCCAGGACUUAACCUCCUGCAAGGUUGGGAUGUCAUUUCCUAUGAGUAGUAUGUCAUCCACAUACAGUACCAAGAAGCUAACUAUACUCCCACUAGCUCUGACAUACACGCAAGACUCAUCUUCGCUUCUCAAGAAGCCAAACUCUUUUACCUUCUCAUCAAAACAAAGAUUCCAGCUACGAGAUGCUUGUUUUAAUCCAUAAAUGGAUUUCUUAAGCUUGCAUACUCUAUUAGGGUACUCUGCAUUGACAAAACCCUCUGGCUGAUUCAUGUACACAUCCUCAGCCAACUUUCCAUUAAGGAAAGCGGUUUUGACAUCCAUUUGCCAUAUUUCAUAAUCAUGAAAUGCUGCAAUGGCUAACAUAACCCUAAUAGACUUAAUCUUGGCCACCGGCGAGAAGGUUUCAUCAUAAUCAAUACCUUGAGUUUGAGUAAAACCCUUCGCAACCAGUCGAGCCUUAUAAGUAUGCACUUUUCCUUCCAUGUCGGUCUUCUUUUUGAAGAUCCAUUUGCACCCGACUGUUUUACGGCCUGGUACAUUGUCAACCAAGUUCCAAACUUGAUUGUCAUACAUGGACUGUAUCUCGCUGUCCAUAGCCUCCUUCCAUUUAGCAGACUCCGGGCCUGCCAUGGCUUCCUUAACACUGCUAGGUUCAUCCAAAUUUACUAGUGUACUAUCACUAAUAAACGUAUCACCUUCCGUAGUAAUAUGAAAACCAUAAUAAAACGAAGGUGUGUUCCUAACCCGUGUGGAACGUCUCGGAGGUACAGACUCGUCAGCUGGAUCAACAGGAGUUUCUUCCUCAGGUUGAUUGCUAGUGUCUGAGGUUCCUUCACCAAUUGAUUCUUGAAUUUCUUCAAGAUCAAUCUGCCUCCCACUGUCUCCUUGGCUUAUAAAUUCUUUCUCGCGAAAGAUCCCUCUUCGUGCUACAAAGACCACAUUCUCACUGGGUCUGUAGAAAAGGUAACCGAAGGAUUUCUGUGGGUAGCCGAUGAAAAUACACCUUUCACUUCGGGGUUCAAGCUUAUCAUGAGUUUCACGCCUCACGAAGGCUUCGCAACCCCAAAUUUUGAUGUGGUCCAAAUUGGGAACCUUCCCAGUCCACAUCUCAUGAGGUGUUUUGGUAACCUUCUUUGUAGGGACUAGAUUAAGGAUAUGGGCGGCAGUCUCUAAGGCAUACCCCCAAAAAGAGAUUGGUAACGAAACUCGACUCAUCAUAGAGCGAACCAUGUCCAACAAGGUACGAUUACGCCUCUCAGCUACACCAUUCAGCUGUGGUGUCCUGGGAGGAGUCAAUUGUGAGACAAUCCCACACUCCUUAAGAUAGUCAAGGAACUCGGUACUAAGAUACUCACCACCUCGAUCGGAUCGAAGCAUCUUAAUGUUCCUGCCCAAUUGAUUUUCUACUUCCUGUUUGAAUUCCUUAAACCUUUCAAAGGUUUCGGACUUGUGUUUGAUCAAGUAGACAUACCCAUAUCUACUAUAAUCAUCAAUAAAAGUCACAUAAUACCGAUUAGCGUCCCUUGUGGCGGUUUUGAAUGGCCCACAUACAUCAGUAUGUAUUAGGUCCAACAAACCUUCACCCCUCUCACAAGUUCCAGUGAAGGGUGAUUUUGUCAUUUUUCCAAGUAGACAAGAUUCACAACUAUCAUCUGAUUUGAGGUCAAAUGAUUCCAAGACUCCACUCUUUUGGAGUUGGUCUAUGCGUUUCUUGUUUACAUGUCCAAGACGACAAUGCCACAAUGAUGCUUUAUCUAGGCUAGUAGAAGAAUCAAUAUACAACACAUUAUUUCCUAAGUUGUCUACAAUCGACACAGUUUCAUACACGCCAUCACAAGGUAAUGCUUUAAAAUAAAACACAUUAUUAAAGAAAGCAUUAAUACCACCACAUUCAUUAUCAAACGAAAAGGUAAAACCUUGUUUGUACAAAGCAUGAAAAGAAAUAAUAUUCCUCGCCAUUUCAGACGAGUAUACACAUUUAUUCAAAUCUAAUUUUAACCCAUUAUUAAGCAACAAAGUAUAAACUCCAAUCUUGGAAACAGGUGAAGCCUUCCUAUUCCCCAUGAUUAAGUUUAUCUUCCCGUGCUCCACAUCCUCACUUCUUCUUAGGCCCUGCAAAUCAGAACAUAUGUGAAUACCACAUCCUGUAUCAAGCACCCAAGAGUUAGAAUAUGUUGAGUAAUUAGACAAUAUAGUGUAAAUACCUGCAUAGGUGGGUUUCACUUUCCCAUCCUUUAGAUCCUGCAAGUACUUAGGGCAGUUUCGCUUCCAGUGUGCCUUUUCAUGGCAAUAAAAGCAUUCAGCAUCCUUUGGAAUGGCAGAAGGAGUGACAGAACCGUUCUUAGUCUUGGAUGAGGAGCCUUCAAGAGACUUUCCCUUGGUACCCUUCGAAGGGUGCUUCCUCUUUUUCCCUUUGCCUUGCCCAAUAGCUAAAACAGGGGUAGAAGUUGGAGUAGGAGUAGUAGAGGUAACAACCGCUUUACCCUUAAGACCGGUUUCAGCGGUCUUCAAGAGUCCUUGAAGCUUGCUGAGGGUAACUUCCUCCUUGUUCAUAUGAUAUGUCAUUCGAAAAUGAUCAUAACAAGAAGGCAAGGAGUGCAAAAUGAUGUCAAUUGCUAACUCCUCGGGGAUGUUAACAUUCAGCUUCAGCAAACGGUCCACAUACCUUUGCAUCUUUUGCAUGUGGCCCGUGACGGAUUCACCGUCCUUCAUGCGGGUAGUUAUUAUGGAGGAGAUUAUUUCAUACCGCUCCUGACGAGCACUCUGAUGGUACCUUUCCAUCAAGUCUUGGUGCAUCUCAAAAGGGUAGAAAUCUUCAUAUGACUUUUGGAGCUCGGCUGUCAUCGUGGCCAUCAUGAUACAUGCCACCUUAGUAGCAUCUCUCUCAUGAGUCCUGAAUUCAGCGAUCUCCUCAGGAGUAGCAGUAGACUCAUCAAGUUCUUUUAACUCCUUAUCGAGGACAUAUUCCUUGUCCUCGUAACGAGUAACCAUCCUGAUGUUCCUAAUCCAAUCCAUGAAGUUGGAACCAUCAAAGAUGACCCUCCCACAAAGAUUCAUGAGAGAGAAAGAACCAGUUGGGUUAGAGCCUGAAGCAUUAGUGUUGGAAGACAUCUGAAAGAAGAAAGUAAGUUUAGAUUAGAUAUUUAGGAUCCUUAAUAAGACACCCAAAUGUAAUAUUAAGGCUAGGAUCCAAUCACAAUAUAUUACACUUAGAAGAGGGAUGCCGUAAUCUAAGUAAUAAUAUAUUUGAAAGGUAGGCGAAUGACGAUUCACCAAUUUCCACCAUGAAAACGAAAUGAUUAAUUAGGUUUAAUUGGAUUUGAAAUUCCUAGAUUCUUUUGAGAUUCAUUGAACUUUUCAAUGGCAUGUUUCAAUCUCGAUUGUGCCCUUCAAGUUUUGUGACUGGGAUGCCGAGGAUCACAAAACAAGGUGUGAAUAACCAUGCUAACUCACUUGGUACUCCUAAUAUUAUCACCUAAUCAAUGUGCCGGUUAACCACACACGCUCCAUUGAUCUAUGACAACAUUAAGUUACCCUUCGUGAUCCUUACUAGUCUAAUUAGUGUGCCGGUUAACCACACACGCUCCACUAACGACUUGGUAAGGUACAAAGUGUGAAUUCCAUGGAUUAGCACCAUGUUCACAUUUUCCUAAAAUAACUAAGAUUGGGAAUUAAAAGAGUUUAGUUAUUUUAUAAUAUUCAUUAUACUUUUAAUGAGGAUUUAAAGUCGUUGUUCUACCCGUUCGGCUAACGACCCUCCACCGAUCAAGCAAGCGGUGGGUGAGAGUAUACACCCAUUAAGUCGCCAUUUUAUAGGCAACAACCUUAUACCCACCUUAUAGACCGGCUUCGUGAAUGAGGCCUACUAACGGUAAAACGACUUAUUCUUAUACAUAUAUAUAAUAAUUAACCAUUAAUGUUAUAAAUAGUAUAAGGGUUGAAUUUUAACUAUUAAAACUCUAAGGUUUGGAAUUAAAGUUUAUUAAAGUGUGUGAAACUUUACAAAUUCCAAAACUUGAGGACAAGUUUUGUAACUUUGCAAAACUCUUCAUUUCAUAACUUAUGAAUUAAAGGUUCAUAAAAAUGAAGACUCUUCAUUUUCAUGUAACUUAUGUGUUUUAAGUGUGUGUUAAAUGAAAGUGACCUUUGGUAAUCCAUAACUUGAGGACAAAUUAUGGACUCCAUUAAAACACAUAAAUGAUUAAGAAUUAAUUCUAAACAAUUCAGCAAAUAAUUCCUAUCAUUUUCUAAAUUCAUAAGAACAUGAACAUGAUCAUCAAAAAUUCAAGAAUUAUAUGAACACAUAAAAUCAUGGAUUUUUGAUAUAUGCUAUUGUAAAUGGAUUAGAACAACCAUUACACCAACUAAAAUAAGUUUUACAACACCAAAACAAUUUAGGGUAAUGUUUCCAGUCCAUUUCCAGCAGCAAAAGUCGAGAUUCUGCAUUCUUUCGAUCCUACUCGCCGAGUGCACGAACGGACUCGUCGAGUAGGUUGAAGUUUGCCUUGGACUCGGCGAGUCCCCCCAAUGGACUCGGCGAGUCUAGCAUGCAGACAGCAACGAUUUCGACUUUUUUCACUAUUUUGCAUCAAGUAUCAAACAAGCAAGCCUAGGCUCUGAUACCACUGUUGGGUUUUGAGCAAUCUAACACUUCCUAAGUGUGCAUGCAACCCUAAUAAACCUUGGAUCUAUGUUUGUCUAAAUACAUGCAAAAUAAUAAUUUUCCAAGGUUCAUAACCUAUCUAACAUGGCAUGGGGUACUUUUAAACAUAAAAGAAUUAGAUGAGAUUACAUACCUUUUGAUGAUGAGUUUGAUUCCUAAGGAGUUUGAGGGCCAAGCACCAAUAGUGUGAAUGCCUCAAAUGGAAUCACAAAUCACCACAAACUCAUGGAAAACUUUGAGAGAGUGUAUACACACUUAUAAAGUCGGCCACACACUAACACACAUACUCUAGUCACACUAGUCACACUAGUGGCUAUUUCAUGCAACAUAAGCAUGCUUAUAUAGUGUACAUGAUUAGGGUGAAACCCUAAUAACCCAUGACCUUUCCCUUUCCAAGGAUCCAUGGGUUAAAAGCUCCAUGGAUCAUCCAUGGACUUCCAUAUAAGCCUAGCCCAUUAACAAAUGAGUGUUAGCCCACACUAUAUAAAACCAAUAGCCCAUAAUCUAAUUAGUCUUCCUUUUAAUCUCUAAAUUAAUUCAUAAUUAAUUUAAGACUAAGACUAAUUAAAUAACAUGACUUCAUAUUAAUAUAUUAUAACUUAUAAUAUAUUAAUAAACAUAUGUGUAUAACUCUCAUAAAAUUAUCCAUAAAUAGUUCGGGUGAGAUGCAACCCAAAUGGACCAUGCCGGGUCGGGUCAAGUAUAUACCAAAUAAGUUAUGGACUUAGACACCUUAUCCAACAGCGUUGUGAUACACUUCUGGAACUACAGGAGGCCGCCAGGCGGCGGGAGCUUGAGAUUGAGUUACAGCUGAGAAAGCAGGGUCAGGCCCCGGCACAGUCGCAGCCGGCGCCAAAGCGGUCUAAGAUCGUUGAUUCAAAGCCAGGAGGACAGUAGGGCCGCACUUGUGGCAAGUGCGGAAAGGGGCAUUCGGGGGCGUGUAGGUCGGGUAGCAAAUGCCGCAAAUAUGGCCAGGAGGGGAAUUUUGAGAGGGAUUGUCGUCAGGCGGCCCCAGUUCACGAUAUGAGGAUCUGCUACCAUUAUCAUCAAGUUGGUCACGUGAAUACCAACUGUCCGCAGGUCGCAGCCAGGCCGGCGUAGGCUCCAGCGCCGGCUACAUUGAGGAUUACUGAUGGGAGGCCAUUUAGGGCAGAACCUCCGAAGGCUCAGGGCGCGCCUUCCAGCUUACCGAGAGGAGGCCAGGUCAGCACCAGAUGUGGUUGCGGGUACGUUUCUAUCCUUUAUAUCAUUUAUUACAUAUGUUUUAUUCUUAUCAAUUGAACAUGUGGUUAGGCACGUUCUUCGUGAAUUCCUUGCCUGCUUUGGUUUUAUUUGACUUAGGGGCGAGUCGGUCUUUAGUAUCUCAGACUUUUAGUAGGGAGUUGGGUGUGCCAGUGGGUGAGCUAGAGUAUCCGUUACAAGUCUCUAUCGCCAACGAACACAGAGUUUCUGCUACUUCGGUUUAUCGAGGGUGCGAGGUGGAGAUCUUCGGAGUGCCCUUUCUGAUUGAUCUGAUACCGAUUCCCAUGGGGGAAGUGUGCGUAAUUGUAGGGAUGGAUUGGCUUAGCCAUUUUGGUGCCAUGAUAGAUUGCGAGGGUCAGCGAGUUAUAGUUCGAACCCCAAGUGGGGGAGAACUAAUUGUUUAUGGUGAGGGCACCAGAGUGGGAUCAGGGUUUUGUUCAGCUGACAGGGAUCGGCAGUACAUUCAGCACGGGUGUGCAGGAUAUUUAGUGUAUGUGGUGGAUACGCGGGUCAUGGAUCAGACUCCAGUUUCAGAGGUUUCGGUGGUCAGGGAGUUUGCCGGUGUGUUCCCAGAGGAGUUACCCGGAGUGCCUCCGGAGAGGCAGGUCGAGUUCAGGAUCGACUUAGUGCAAGUUGCAGCCCCCAUUGCCAAGGCGCCGUACCGAUUGGCACCACCAGAGAUGCAGGAGUUGUCAUCACAUCUGCAGGAGAUUUUGGGAAAGCAGUUCAUUCGUCUGAGGAGUUCUCCAUGGGGAGAGCCGAUACUCUUCGUCAGGAAUAGGGGUCGCAAUUUAUGACACGUCACGACAAAAAUACACGACACGAAAAGAAAUUGGGACGAAACUGAAAUUUGAAUUCGUGUUCGUGUUAACUAUAAAAAAUACUACGUCGUAUCGUGUCGUGUUCGUGUUCAAAAUUCGACACGAAAUUGAUACGAUUUAGCAGUUUUUUAUCGUGUUUUUCGUGUUUGUCGUGUUUUUCGUGUUAUAUUUGAUAAAAUAUUCAUUAAAUAAACUAGUUUUUAGUAUAUGAUAUAUUUUUCGUGUCGUGUCGUGUUUGUCAUUUUUUAAUUUCUUCGUUUUCGUGUUAGUUAAAAAAAAACACGACAUCGUGUCGUGUCGUGUUCGUGUUACAUAAAACCUUGUCGUGUCGUGUCGUGUCAGACAGAAACACGAAACGAUAGCACGAUUUGCCACCCCUAGUCAGGAAGAAGGACAGUUCGCACAAGAUGUGCAUUGAUUACCGGGACCUGAACAAGUUAACGGUGAAGAACCGUUAUCCACUCCCGAGGAUAGAUGAUCUUUGCGAUCAAUUGCAAGGUGCGUCAUGGUUUUCCAAGAUAGACUUGAGGUCUGGAUAUCAUCAGGUUAGGUUCAGAGAGGAGGACGUGCAGAAUACCGCGUUUCGAACUCGUUAUGGUCAUUACGAGUUCGUGGUGAUGCCGUUUGGGCUCAACAAUGCACCAACAAUAUUCACGGACCUGAUGAAUCGGGUCUACAGACCGAUGCUGGAUCGCUCGGUCAUCGUGUUUAUAGAUGAUAUCUUGGUGUAUUCCAAGAAUCGAGAGCAGCACGAGGAGCAUUUGCAAGAGUUAUUGGGAGUUUUGAGGCGAGAACGCCUUUAUGCCAAGUUCUCGAAAUGCGAUUUUUGGUUACGAGAGGUCCAAUUCCUGGGACACCUCAUUAACCAAGAUGGGAUUUUGGUCGACCCGACCAAAAUCGAGGCAGUCAUGUAGUGGGAGGUUCCGAAAUCUGCCUCAGACAUCAGGAACUUUUUAGGAUUGGAAGGGUACUAUCGGAGAUUCAUUUAGGAUUUCUCCAAGAUUGCGGUACCCCUCACUCGUUUGACGAGGAAGGGGUGGAUUUCCGGUGGGGCCCUUAGCAGCAGAGGGCGUUCGAGAUCCUCCGACAGCGAUUGUGCGAGGCCCCAGUCUUUACGCUCCCGGAGGGAGUUAAAGAUUUUUUGGUGUUCUAUGAUGCAUCCAUCACAGGUUUGGGGGCGGUCCUCAUGCAGAGAGGGCGAGUGAUAGCUUAUGCGUCGCGGCAGUUGAAGCCUCAUGAGACGAGAUACCCUACACAUGACUUGGAGCAGGGGGCAGUGGUGUUCGCCCUCAAGAUAUAGAGGCAUUACCUUUAUGGGGUCCGUUAUACCAUAUACACGGAUCACAAGAGCUUGAGGCAUAUCAUGGAUCAGUCGAACCUGAACAUGAGGUAGCGCAGGUGGAUGGAUGUAGUCAAGGACUAUUAUUGUGAGAUCCUUUACCACCUUGGUAAAGCGAAUAUGGUUGCGGAUGCUUUGAGCCGCAAAUCAGCUGGGUCUUCCACCCCAGCGGUAUGUAUGAGGAUAGAGUUGGAUUCUCCGCUGGUGAGUUUGAACAGAGAUGCUCAGGUGGAGGGCAUGCGACCAGAGAAUUGGAAACUGGAGAGGAUCAUGGGCGAGAACGCCCGGUUUGUGUAGGAUAGUCGGGGCUUGUUGACCCGAUGCGGUCGGGUAGGGGUUCCGAUGUCUGGUGGAGUCAGACAAACAGUCAUGGAGGAGGCUCAUAAGUCUCACUUCUUUAUUCACCCGGGGCCACCAAAAUGUACCGGGGUUUGAGUUUGAGCUACUGGUAGCUGUGCAUGAAGCGAUAAAUCGCUUGGUAUGUCGAGAGGUGCUUGACCUGUAGGAUGGUUAAGGUCGAGCAUCAGAGGCCGCAUGGCAAGUUGCAGCCCCUUGAGAUUCCCAUGUGGAAAUGGGAACAGAUCACGAUGGACUUUAUUACCAAGCAGCCGAGGACGGCGAAGGGGUUUGAUGCCAUUUGGGUUAUCGUGGAUCGAUUGAACAAGAGUGCGCAUUUCUUGGCUAUACGGCAGAGUUCAUCGGCCGAGAAGUUGGCCGAUGUGUACGUCCGCUAGAUCGUCGCUCGCCAUGGGGUUCCGAUCUCCAUUGUCUCCGACCGGGUUGUUAGAUUUACCUUCUGUUUCUGGCAGAAGUUCCACGAGGAACUAGGCACCCGAUUGCACUUCAGCACAACAUUUCAUCCCCAGACAGACGGUCAGAGCAAGCGGACCAUUCAGACCCUCGAGGACAUGUUGAGGGCAUGUGUCAUUGACUUUGGUGGGAGCUGGGAUUCCCACCUACCGCUUGCAGAGUUCGCCUACAACAAUAGAUAUCAUGUUAUCAUUGGCGCCCCGCCUUUCAAGAUGUUGUAUGGACGGAAAUGUCGCACACCGAUUUGUUGGGGUGAGGUCGGACACAGGGUGAUGGGACAGACGGAAGUAGUCUUGCAGACUACUGAGAAAAUCCAGCAGAUUAGGCAGCGAUUGUAGACCACUCAGAGUCGACAAAAGAGUUACACCGGGAUACGUCGAUCUGAGUUAGAGUUUCAGGUGGGGUUUAUGGUUCUCCUAAAGUUCUCACCCUAGAAGGGUGUGAUUUGCUUUAGGAAGAGGGGGAAAUUGGGUCCCCGUUACAUUGGGCCAUUCUGGAUCAUUGCUAGGGUUGGCAAGGUGCCUUACAGGUUAGAGCUAUCGGAAUAGAUUAGUCGGAUCCACAACACUUUUCACGUUUCGAAGCUGCAAAAGUGAGUCAUGGAUCAGGAGGCGGUAGUAUCACUGGAUGAUGUUCAGGUCAAUGAGCGCAUGAAUUACGUGGAGAGGCCUGUGGCCAUUUUGUUGGAUUAAUGUCUAAGUCCAUAACUAUAAUUGGUAAGACUUGACCCGACCCGGCAUGGUCCAUUUGGGUUGCAUGGCAUCAUGCACUUGGAUAGACUAAAUGAGAGAAAUAAGACACUUAUAGUUAUUAAUAUAUUAUAAGUUCUAUUAUAUUAAUAAUAAGAAUAAUGAGAUUAUUUAAUUAGUAUUGAUCAAGAAUUAAUCUAGGAUUAAUUAAGUGAUCAAAAGAAGACUAAUUAAAUAUAUGGGUUGAUUGUGUAAAUCAUCCAUACUUGUAUAGUGGGCUAAUGCUCCAUGGAUAAUCAAGUUGGGCUAAAACCCAUAGGAUGGUCCAUGGAUGCUCCAUGGUGUAUUUGUACCCAUGGAUCAUGGAAAUGAAAGGCCAUGUCAAUUAGGGUUUACAUGGUGUAACCCUAACUAUAUAAGCAUCUUAUUCUUGACCAAAAUCGGCCACUAGUGUGUGAAGUAAAAGGGCUAGCCGAUUUUCAUGAGUGUAGUUUUCUCUCAAGUCAUUCCAUGUGUAUUUGGUGUUGUGUGAACCAUUUGAGGUGUCACACUUGGGGCACUAGGCACUCAAGCUUCAUGAAGACUUUCUACAUCAAAGAGGUAUGUAUUCUAUCUUGUUAUAGUCAUUGUUUUGUAUGCUAGAUUAGGAUAAUACCUUGGAUGUUCAUAUUUGUAUGUAUAAUAUAGAAAACGUAGAUCCAAGGUGUUUAGGGUUGCAUGUACACUUAGGAGUGUUAGAAUGCUCAAAACCCAACAGUGGUAUCAGAGCCUAGGCUUGUUUUCUUGUUAUACCUGCAAUAGAAGCUGAAAAAACGAAUUUGGUGCUGUCUGAUCAUCAGACUCGGCGAGUCCAUCAGAGGACUCGGCGAGUCCAUGCCUAAAAUGUGAUCAAUUCGAUCCAACUCGCCGAGUUGGUUCAUGCACUCGACGAGUUGGACCCCCAGACAGCAUAUUUUCGAGUUUUUUUGGCUAGAAAUGGACUAGGAACAUUACCCUAAGUUGUUUUUGAACUUAUAAACUUGUUUUUGAUGUGGUAAUGUUCAUGCUAAUCCAUUUUCAAAGAUAAUUGUCAAUAGAUUCAUGUUUUGUAUUAGUUUAAGGUUUAGACUAAUUACAUGAAAAAGUUUGAUUUGAAUUAUCUUGUUCUUAUGAGUUGCUUAGAUUAAUAGAAAUGUUGAGUGAAAUAGUUGUUUUCAAUCCAUUUUAAUCUAAGAGUUGAGUAUAAAAUGUGUUUGUGUAACUUGUCCUCAAGUUACAUGAAGAGUCACAUUAAAGACUCAUAAAAUUCAUAAAAGUUGGCAAUGGUUACAAAAUGAAGAGUCUUGUGUCAUUGAAUAAUUUUUUUUGACUCCAUAACUUGUCCUCAAGUUAUGGAAGUUCAAGAGUCACUUCAUUAAAGAAAAAUAUGUAACCAUAAUUAAAUCCAUAAGUUAUAAAAUAAAGAAAAAGUUAGUUCUUUUAUUAGUUUAAAGUCUUCCAUAACUUGUCCUCAAGUUAUGGAACUUGAAGAGUUUUUGGAUUAAAACUACUUUAAACACAUAAGUUAUGGAAUUAAUUAGUUUUGAAUAGUUUCAAAACUUGCCCUCAAGUUUUGGAAUUUGAAAAGUUUUCAAGUAUGAAUACUUUAAUUCCAAGUUAGCCCUUAGAAUUUUAAAAGUUAAAAUUCAACCCUUAUACUUUAUAAUAUUAUAAGUUAAUAAUAUAUAUAUGUAUAAGAGUAAAGUCAGUCUUACCGCUAGUACGCCUCAUUCACGAAGCCGGUCUAUAAGGUGGGUAUAAGGUUGUUGCCUAUAAAAUGGCAACUUAAUGGGUGUCCACUCUCACCCACCGCUUGCUUGACUGGUGGAGGGUCGUUAGCCGAACGGGUUUGACAGGACUAGAAUUCUCCCUUCAUUAAAAGUAUUAAUGAUAAUACUAAGUAACUAAACUCUUAAUAAUACCCAAUCUUAGUUACUUAGGAAAAAUGUGAAUAAGGUGCUAAUCCAUGAAAUUACACUUUACACUUUGUCUAAGUCGUUAGUGGAGCGUGUGUGGUUAACCGGCACACUAACUUGGACUUAACAAGGUAGGUAAAGGGUGACUUAAUAUUUAUCAUAGUAUCGAUGGAGCGUGUGUGGUUAACCGGCACAUCGAUUGAGGGGUAAUUUAUUAAGGGUACCAAGUGAUUUGCAUGGUUACUUCACACCUUGUUUUGUGAUCCUCGGCAUCCCAGUCACAAAACCUGAAGGGCACACUCGAGAUUGAAACAUGCCUUUGAAAAGUUCAAUGAAUCUCAAAGAUCUAGGAGUUUCAAAACCAAUUAAAACCUAAUAAUACAUUUCGUUUAUCUUGGUGGAAAUUGGUGAAUCGUCAUUCACCUACCUUCAAAUAUUUUAUAGCUUGGAUUACGGCAUACCUCUUCUAAGUUAUAAAAUAGUUUGUUGGGUCCUAGCCUUAAUAUUUCAUAUUGGGUGUCAUAUUAAGGACUUUAAAUCAACUAUCUUGAAUAUCUCCCAAAAGAUGUCUGGUUUAGACACCUAUGAUCUUCCCAAAUCUCUUGAAACAAGGUUUCCUAAUGAAGAUGAUGUCCCAUGGAUAUCAUACUUCUUCACCUCUUCAAAUUAUUCUCCCUAACCCACAAGUUCUUGAAAAGUUUAAGGUCACUCAGGCCCUAUUAGCAAGGCAAGGUCUAGGUGUGGUCACAUCUUGGAGAUGUAGUCACAUAUUGACAAGCCGGGAGAGUUGGGUGUCAAAGUCUUGAGAAAGUUGGUGGUUCAAUCACUUUCUAAGUCACAUAGUGAGUUCCUUUGGGACACCUAUGAAACAGACUAUGACAAGACCCUUAAUGAUCUUAUCUAUUUGCUAAGAUCAACUUCCUAAAACUUUAUGGACAUUGACAAUGAUGACAUUGGAUAUCCAGUAAAGCAUUCUCUUCCCAAUGGAAAGGGAUCGGCCAUAGUCAACUCGGUUGACCAAAUGGUAAAGAGAAAAGCUAAGUCUGUGAUAGUCCCGUGUACCAUUAUCAAAGGGUCCAUAUGUUUAUAUUGCCAAAGGAAGGGGCAUUGGUUGCGAAGCUGCCAAAUUUACCUAAGGAUGUUAAAGUCAAUAAGUUUGACUCUACUUCAGGUAAAGUCCACUAUCUAACUCUGUUAAGUUUCUAUUCUGAGAUUCUUGAUACAUGAUGUGACUGGGUCACAUGGUGAUGUUUUAAGAAUCAAAGAAAAGUGAAGAAACUUAAAGAAAGAAUAUGCUGAAUCUGAUGGCGUAGAUGGAUUUCUAUCGCAUAGUUUGAAGAUCGGAUUCUUGAGCUACUUCUUAGGAGUUAUGAGAUAUUGCUUAGGAAUAGAUAACAACAAGUUUUCAUAUGGAUUGUAAGGAUAAGUUUUUCCGCAAAGUUUUAAAAUAAAAGAAAAUUUUUUUGAUUUUAUUUAUUUUAAAAUAUCCUUACAAUGGCUUUUGAGGAAAAAUUGUUGCUUAUAUGAUUCCAUUAAGAGCAAGAGUGGAAAUAUGAAAUUGAUUCUUUCAUUUGUGGUAAUGUCUAGAUUUACCAAAUAAGGAAAGAUUCUCAUCACCCAAGUUUCAAUUGGACCGGAACUUGGAAUCAUGCAAGUUGUAUAGCAUGAUGAAUGAGAACUUUCAAGUUUUGGAAAAUUAAGACUAAUUACUUGUUCACAUGGAUGUGUGAGUCAAGUAAAGGACUAAGGGAUCGAGUACACAUUCUUGUGCACUGAUUAAGUCCACCACUAAAGAUCGAUAAGAAGAAUCAAAUUAGGCAGAAGGAUAAAAGUUUCUCAAAUCUGAAAAGAUGGGAGAGUACUUUAGUAUCAGUUUUGUGAUCAUCUUAAUGAUUAAGAAACCAUAUCACAAUUAGUUCUCUAAGGAAAUCUUAGUGCAUUCUUAUGACUAAGAAGAGGAACUUGAAUUGUUGAAAUGGUUAAAUCAAGAAGAUGAGUCAUACUUCGUUCCAAUACAAGUCUUAGAGUCAUACUCCAAGAUUGUCAUUUGAGUGACAUGUCUUAAAGAAGGUUUAAAACACUUGUCAAAUGUAAGAGUAAAAGUUUUCUACUCUUGUACAUUUGAAAUUGGUAAGUUGUGAUGUUUUGGAUAAAACAAAGACCAACUUAGGCCAAUUGGGUAAAGUGUUUUUCUUGAUUAGAAUCCGCACUAUCUCUUGGAUGUUUGACAAGGGAGUCUUAUAUGUCAAGAGGACAGUGGGAGUCUUAAAGGUCUUGAAAGUCUCAAGAAAUAAUCAAGAAUAAAACCUGAAGUUCUUCACUAGCACACGACUUGAGGUUUAUAACCUAUCGUGUUGACAUAUCUGUGCCCAUUCCAGUUAAAGUUGGCUUUGCAUAUGAGUUCUUAGAGUUCUCAGUUUGUUGCAUAACAACUUGGAAGCAAUGGCAGGCCCUUGAGCUGCCAGGUGGCAAGAAGUUAAGAUUGAGUUCAAUCCAUAUGGUUUUGGAUUUGUCAUUAUCUUUGUCUUGUGAUUAUGGUUUGACAAAUUCAUAUGGGUAGGAACUCAUACACCAUAUAAAUCUAAGUGUCAUAAGGUUUCUCUCCGAUUCAUGAAAAUGAUGGUGAGGAAACGCUUUCACUAAGUAGAUUUUACGAAGAUAUCAAUUGUGUUAUUUGCAUUUUCAAAAGUCGUUAGUGGAGCGCGUGUGGUUAACCGGCACACUAACAUGGACUUGUGAGAAAUGGCAAAUGCCUAAGCAAUUGAGACCAUGAUUACGGUAUCCCUUUUCAUGGUUCUUGAAAUUGCUUAGACACACAGGUGAGCUAUCUACGGAAAGGGUGUAUGAAUCUAAAUUUCAGACUGUCCAGCUGAUUUCUGAGUACAUGUCAAAGCUAGUGGGAGCAUAAGUGUUAUGCUAAUAAUCAUCAUGUUAGUGGGAGCAUGAUAAUUAUGAUAAGUAUUGCAAGUUAGCAAUGUUAAUUAUAGAAAACAAAAGUUUCAAUUGGGAAAAAGUUGUUUUGCUAUAAUUAAGGGAGAGGAAAUUAUGCUUCAUCUCAAAUCUAUAAGCUUAGAUCGUGAGGUUUUAAUCAUUUAGUCAAGGAUAUAUAUGAAUUUCAUGUUGGAAUGGCUCAACAUAAGGAAAUUCUGUAUAUGGGUCCAUUAUUUGCGUUCUAAAAUUCGAUUAUGAUUACGGCAUCCCUUUUCAUAAUCUG